AAAAAAAAAAAAAAAAAAAAAAAAAAAAAACUGUCAGUCCAAACUCUCAUCUUCUUCCUUGUUUUCUUCCCACCUUCUUCUUAUGUUUGGAAAGCUCUACCAAAACCACACAGGCUGACUAAACCCCUAAUAACCAAGAUCCAAUAUCAUUGUUGAAAUCCACCUCUCUUCAUCAGAGUUAAUCACACUGAAAUACCCACCUGUAGAUUGAAGAAAACCACGUUGAACGGAACUACCCUUGUCGAAAAAAACCCCCUUUUUCUGCUAGACCCUCGCUGAUGAAGAAUACCCUGACAACCACACUGUAACAACUUCAAUUGCUCUUGAAAAUCUGCAUAAUUCUCAAUAUAAUUUCUUAUGCAAAUAUCCUCAUUUUGGCUUUUACGAUAAGAGCCUUACAGUGGAUGAAGGUUCACUAGUUUACAAAAUUGUCAUCGGUGCAUGUACUUAAUACUGUGACAAUAAAAAAAGUAAUGAGAAGGUAAUCAAAUAAGCAGAAGGUAAUCAAAUUUAAUGAUUAUUUUAGAAGGCUAACUAAAAUUAAAAAAAAUUUAAAUGUAGAAGGUGACGCGCAUUGAGAUAAUCUACGUUUGUUAUUUGUUAAGUAAAUGAUUUUGAAGAAAGAGUUUUUGAGAAUUUAAGUGUUUUGAUGCUUAGCAUUGAGAUAAGGUGACGUGGGGAGAAGGAGAAGGUGAGCAAGACUAAGUAGGCAGUUUGAGGAUCAAACACGAGCUGAAGUUAGGCGUUGAAAGGUAGGCAGUUUGAGGAUCAAACACGAGCUGAAGUUAGGCGUUGAAAGGUAGGAUUUUUUCUAGAAACUUUCUAAUUGUACUUAAUGGGUGAAGUGUGUAAGAGUUUAAACUAAGUAUGGUCAUGAAAAUAUUAAGCUUACGUGUGUAGUACUUUAAGCAGAAGCUGGUGAGUUAAUUAACAAGAACUUACGGAUGACUAAUCUAAUUUGGAUUAGUAUAUAAAUAGGGAAAAAGGGUCGGUUAUGAAAAAUGUAAUGCUAAAGUAUUUGAAGUCACUCUAAGUCAGUAGGCAAGAAGGUCUUUUAGAACCUAGGCGUUCUAAAGACAAAAUUUAUGUUGUGAGUGAUUUUCAAAUAUCAUUUAAAAAUUUUGAAAGCUUCCUUCUGAUUGUAAUGAUUGCUUCUUAUAAUAAUGUUCAUGAAAGAAAUGUUUUCUAAAGAAAGCUUUAAUGUUAUGCUCCAAGUAAAGUUUUAUGUAUGUUAAAUGUAUGCUAUGUUAUGUAUAAAUCAUUAGUCUUAUUUCUAUCAAUGAACUAACUAUUAAUGUGCAUAGAAGAAAUAAAGGCAUCUAUGUAUAAAAUUAUUGCAUGGUGUAAGUGAAGUUAGCUAAUGCGUAAAAGGAAAUACUGAGCUUAGCGGCUUAAGCAACAUGAAGUGAACCACGAUAUUCUCCAAGGGAUGUUGUUGAUGAAAAGGACAUCACAGUAUUCCAUAUGGGGGAAUAGUUAAUGUUCUUGAAAGAAAGGAAUAUGAAAGACUAAUGCAUGUUUUAUGUUCUACGAAACAGACAUUGAGCCUGUUUACUGAAAACCUUUUAACGCAUUGUAUGUCUGAAAAGGUUUUCCAAAACUAACAUUCGCUAAGUUUUUACUUACGCUUUAAAGAUUUUUCUCUCCCAAGUCACCAUGCGUUAAGGCCAAGGUUGGGAUAAGGAAGGUGAACUACCAAGCAGUGAAGCUAAUGCAGAAACUUUUAAGAUUAUUGUUCUAGUUGUUGUAUUUAAGAAGCAUGCAAAUUGUGUUGUUGUGUACAUUAUGUUAAGUUAAGAGAAGAGUUGGUUGAUUAUUUUCCGUUGCGUUAUGUAAACUCUAUUCGCCUAAAGCUUAAGUUCAAGAAGUUAGGUUGAGCAUUCUGGGGUUUCAUCUUGAGGCAUUAGAACUUGCUCAAGUCACAUCGCACGCUGCAUUGCAAGAUUUGGGAUGCGUGCGAGACAAGGUGUGACAAAUCAGAUCACAAUCAUAAUGGAACAAAAAAUCUUACUAAUUGACAUAAAAUGGAAAGUAAUCAUAUCACAAUGUAAUGGUAAUCAGAAACUACUUAAUAAUUGAUAAAAGCUUGAUGGUAAUGAGAUGAAUAUCAGAUUUUACUUAGUAAUUAUAAAAAAAAGAUGUAAUGUCAUUAGAUUGCAAUUAGUAUCAUUUACAAAUAAUUAAAAAUCAAUAUUAAAUUAAAUAAUAACAAGAUGGUAAACUAGUAUCAUUAACAAUCAAAUAACAAUGAACACUAAAUAACAAUAAGAGAGUAAUCAGACAACAAUCAAAUAACAAUUGAUAUCAUUGAUAAUCAAAUGAAAAUCUGAUAACAAUUAGAUGAUAAUCAAAUGUCAGAACUUGAUUCCAUGUUCUGUAUCAGCUUAGUUUUGAUAAUAGUUGACAAUUUGAACUACGGUAAACAUUAUGAGAACAUUUGAACUAUUCAUGUUGUUACUAUCUUUCAAAACUUUCAAUGAAUUCCUCCUUGAUAUAGCAUCUCUUGAAUGCAUUAGAACCUAAAGUUGAUCCUUCUUACACAAGUAAGACAUAAAUAAAUUCUAUAUUUUGGUUACAAACACUUGACACCAUUUAUGGUUAUUUCAUUUUUUCGUGUUUUAUAUGUAGGUCUUCAAUGGUAUUGACACUAACCUUAAUAUGAGUUCCAUCUAAUGCUCCCACACAAUUCUAUAAAAAAAAAAAAAACAAUUGUUUUACUUCAUUCAAACAAGUAUCACUAUUGAAAAAUGUUAAAACUUACUACUUCAAGUCAUACCUCAAACCAUCUCCACUUUUCAUUGGAUGAAUUUACCUCAAACCAUCUCCACUUUUCAUUGGAUGAAUUUGUAGAUACAUGACUUGGUUUCUUUAGGAGGAAUUCAGGAAGACACAAUAUUGAGUUAAGAACUUCAUUAAAGAACAUAUUAACUUAUGAGACCUUGAUCGCGUUUUGAAGCUACACGUUAAGACCACAUGCAACAAAACUUAUAUGUGUUAAGAUUGCAUGCAAUGAGAGCUGGUGAAUAACACAAAGAUAGUGCCAGAAAACAUGAAGAAUAUUUCAACUUUCAACAUUCACUGAUAUGGGUUAUUAGAAGUUAUCUUCUAUGUCCAACAUCUAUAAAAGGCCAAUGAAGUCUUUUUUUCAAAUCAUCAUCUAACUAGCCAAAUAAGCUACUAGAUUGAAAUUUUUGUUGGAACUUAUGGCACUCUAGUUAACAUUCUAAGAUUGAGAUUGUAUUUUAAUCAUCUUUGGUGACAAACACUUGUAUGGAUUCAAUCAACUAAGUGUGAGAGACCUUAAAAUCAAUCAAAUAACAGAUUGAGAUAUCAUAGGAGUACAAUUUAAGUAAUUUCUUUACAGAGAAAGUGAAGAGAUUUAAGAGAGUUCGAAAGAAUCCUAUCUAGUAUCAUUUCAUUGAGACUUUGUAUAAAACCUUGACUUAAAGCUAAGAGCAGGAAAUUGUUACAGCUGCAAUUCCUUCUAUCAUAUUCAUUUGUUACAAUUCCUUCUAUAAUUGUUACAACAUCAUCAUUCUUUUGUCUUUUUAUAUUUUCUUAUUAAUCACAUUCCAUAGCUAAAGUUAUUGUUUUGUUGUCGACACUGAUUUCUCACUUUGUCAUAGCAGCUUAAUUAAUUUCAUAGGAGAAUGAGAUUAGUACAUAGUAAGUUGUGAAGCAUGCGUUGGCAUUCAUAGUCAUAUGGAUGCGAUAUCCUAUUCCUAACUGUUGACCCCAAUACCAAUUCGAAUCAAGUGGUAGCAAUUAACUGCUCGAGCAAAUAAGUGAUUGCAGAAUUUAUUAAGUCGGGUAAAGAAGUUCUCUUUAUUUCUGGACUAACCUUAGCAUGCAUCAUAAAAAUAUGACACAUGUGGCUAACUCAUUGAACGGUGGAGACAAUGCAAGGCUACAAAUAUAAAUAUGACGCUAUCACAUCAUUCACUUCACUUCAUCCUUUGAUCUUAUUCAUCUCUUUUUUAGUGUUGUCACUUACUUGUCACACUCUCUUUAAAUUAGAACACAUACUUUUUUAUAGUUAAAAAUAAAACUACACCUCCUAUAUUUGAUAAACACUCAGUUGCACAGACAACAUUUUUCGAUCUUUUUAACUAUAUGUUGUUUAUUUUUCGUGUUUGACCUCGAAUCAUUUUCAAAAAACCUUUGCUUAACUUACACUUGGGGUUAUAUAUAGAAAAACUUGUGGUAGAGCAUUACCAACACUUUUAAAAAUGCAUUACUAAUAUUCACACACCUCUAUCACAUCGCAUAUUACACCAUCGAGUAUUUUAAACACCAACUACCUGCACUAUUAUUUUCCAUCCAAAUACUUUUCUUCACCUUCUCUAAAUCUUUGAGCAAUUGAAUAAAAGUUUGUGAUGCAUGCUCAAACAACUAUUCAUUUAUGCUACUGUCAAGUAAUUUGACAAUCAUCACGAUCUAGUUACAAAUUGACUCUUUGAUUUUUUCACUUGUCUCUAUUUGAUUCUCAAGUUCACUUGAAACUCUAGCCUCUUUAAAUAUACGUUAAAAGAAUUAGGUUAAUAAUUUUCUUCUCAAGCACCUUAAGUGCACGGGUAUAUAAAAUUCCAACAAAAGUAAAUUUUAUGGAACUGGACGUAAUAAUGAUAUAAAAAUUUCACCAUCCAUUAUCCCAUGUAUGAACCCUUUAUACAUUUCACUCACGUAUCUUCAUAUGAACAAUACAAUUCAUAUUGUUUGUAACAUUUACAUCUCAUGUAACAAUUACAAAGUGGGUCGUAACCAAAGACCUUUUAGAUUAUAACUUGAACACAUGAAUUAUUUGUAUGUCAUCCACGUAUUAUUUGACUAACAUUAUAUAUAACGUGGGUCUUUGUUUAUUGAAUUGAAUUAAUAUUGUCUAAAAGUAAAAUAAAAUAUUUCAGGCUUUCUUAAAUAAAUAAUUUUUGUUUAAUGAAAACUACUAACAGUGAGAUUUUAGGACACUAGUUUACAUAAAUAUCAACAGGGGAUAACAAUGAAGUGCAUGUGAGUUAAGUUCGAUAUCCAUAUACCUAUGAAAAUGGGAAGAACAGGUACAAUGUAAAAUUAAGAGUGUCUUAGUUAGAUACCCUGGAGUUACAGGGUUUUAAGUGCGCAAACCAUCGUUAUGUAAACCAAGCACAUAUAUCAAUCUAACAAAAUAAAGAUUAUAACUCCCAAUACGUACUAGAAUCAUAAAUUGCAUGUUACUUCAUGGGCUCCAACUUGUGAGUGAGAGGUCAGUGUUGUGGGUAAUUUUUUUAAGAAGUUUCGUGGCCAUUAAAUUAGUCGAGGAAAGAUAGCUAGAGCCUAAGCAAUACAUUAUAAGACGAAAAGGAGGUUUAGGAAAGAGAAAGAAAUGGGUAGAAAAAGCUUAUCUGAGAUUCUCAGCUUAGCUUCCACCAAAGUCGGGCCUAGUGAAUUAGCUUGGGAACUUUUCCAUUCAUUCCACCUAGAACAAUAAUGAAAGAGAAAAUGGCCAUGGAACUAUUUCAUUUGCCCUAUCUGGUCUAAUGAGCAUUCAAAAGCCUCCCAGAUGCAUAGUUUUUAAACAGAAUCGUGAGAGGAUUACAGCAUAUGAUAACGCCUGCCAUGACAACUCCUUGGAGAAGGAGGUGAAUUCUUCUAUCCUAAUAUUUUCUUUUUCUUUUUUGGUUCGUUUAUUGAUUUAAGCAUUAGAGUGUGGGUUGGCAUCCAUCACACCAAUGUCUAAAACUCACAUUUUUUUUUCCAAGGAUUUUGAUUUCUUUCCAUCAAUUCACCGUUGCUAUCUUGUUCAAAUUUCAACAUCAAUAACAUAAAAACAUGGUUAAAUUUAUGAAUAGUGUAAUUUAAUAAACAAAUGACAAAUUUGUGGUAGUUUUGAAAUAAAUAUUGAAAAUAAAUAAAUUGAAUUUGGGGGAGAUGCAAAAUAUUGACAGAAAAACAACAACCAUGAAUUGAUAAUGAAAUAAGGUUAAUUUUGAUUACAUCACCUUCUUAAAUUGAUUAUUAAUUAACAAACUUUUUAAUUAAUUAAUUAUAUCACAACUGUAAAGAAAUAUAUUAUAAUGUUAAGAUAAAUAUCUUUGUAAUUGUUUAAAGCCCUUUCUGCAGAUUCAUUUCUAGUGCUUUUUUUUUUCCACGAAGAAAGCGAAGGCACUACAACUACACUUCAAUUAUAUCGUGAACCAUUGAAUAUUAUUCAAACUUCUAUUCUUAUCAUUGGCUUUUUUUUUUUUUUUUUUAUUGCUUCUAAAUUACAAAAUUCUCCAUUAUAAAAAUGACUGAAACUCAAUUACUUUAAUUCACUGGCUCAAAUCUAAAGCAAAAAUUAAAUAAUUAAAAAAAGAAUAGCAAAUAUUUUAUCACCAAGUUGAUAUAUUUUAAUCCUGGCUUAAAACAAAAAAGAGAGUUUGAGAAAUGUAAUACCAUCCUUCAGUUGACAGCAAAAAAAAAUGUCAACUAUAGUAAUAAUUGUAUCGUUCUAUUCUUAAAAAGGUUAUUCGUGGACAUUAAGUAAUACGAAAAUAUAAGAUGUAAUAAACAUAGAUAUGCAUUUACUCCAAAAUAUACUCUUAUAGUAUUAUAUUUAUUUCUACCGUACAAAUUGAUUAAGGGUAAAAUAUAUUUUCUAUAAAAGUAGAGAAUUCGUUCGUUUGAUCUUCAACCAUAAACCUAACGAAAAACUGGAAGAAAAGAUACAUACAAGAUAUAUGCGUUUGUGUGUGUGUAUUCUAAGUCUUCAUUAAAGAGAAAGCUAAGGUUUGUCAAUCUGAGAAACACCAGGAAGAUGAGAAUGGGAAAUAUCUGAUAUAUUUUCAUUUAUGUCCACAUAUUAAUGUAAAGUAAAGUUGUCCUGAAAUUAAAAACUGUCUCAAAUGAACAUGUAUUGGAAAAGCUUUGUCCAAUGGCAACGUUGAUUUGAAAUGAAGUUCCAAAAAGGACGAGUAAUGAAUGUAAAUUAAUUAGGAGAGAUUAUGAAUGUGAUGGGGAGUUCAAAUAAUUAUAUAUGGAAGUCCUUGUGAUAUUUUUGCAAACUGUGUGGAGGGCCAUGCAUUCUUUUAGCCUCCUUUUCUUUGAUUUGACACUUCACUCACGUUUUGGCCCAACAACACGACACCCUAACUUCCAAUUUACAAAAAAGAACUGAUUUACUUUAUUAUUUACUCUUUCAAUGUGAUUGAUGCCCAAUUUUAAACUCUUUACUUUCUCCAGGAUAUGAGAUCUCUCACAUUAGGCAUAAUCACAAUUUUUGUAAUAUUCACCUCUAGUUUUUAGAUAUUGUAAUUUCCUUCCUACUUAAGUCAAGUCGUUGUGAUUUGGCUUAAUUUCGUGUUUAUAUCAAACCUUUGAGGAGAGAAUUAUUAGUAAACCAACAUAGGAUGAAAGUAAAAAGUUAAUUCUUCUAUCCUAACUCUUCUUCUUUUUUUAAUUAAAGUUGAAAAGGAAGAGAUGUAUCUUAGAUUUUGGUGUUUGCCUACCCAAACAAUAAAAUAAACAUUCCUCUCUCACUUUUUCAAAAUACUUUUUUAAUAAAUAUUUAAGAAAAGAACACAAAUUGGCUAUAUAUAUAUAUAUAUAUAUAGUUAUAGUUAUAUAUAUUGUGAACUGCCCCUUAUGACAAGAGGUAUCUUCACCUUUAUUAAUAUUAUAAAUGUAUAUUGAAAGGCAGACAAUGAAUAGGCCAAAUUUGUUCCACCCAAUGUCUUUGGAGUCAUUUUCCACGUUGUAGGGUGAUCAAGUCCAAAGGUAAUAUAAUAUGGUUCCUAUUUUCAUAAGAAGCAGUACAAUUAUCAAAUUGGGUGCAAUUAUAAUAUUAUUAUUAAUUCCUUAAAAUAGUGUGUGAAUAAAGUUUUCUUUCCUUAAAUUAAUUAAUAUAUGGCUGUCACUUGUUAAAAUGUCCAUUAGUCAAGCCAAACACCCUAAUUAGCUGCCUUCCACAAUGUCUUCCUGUUCAACAUGGGACUAAUCUCAAUUAGACUUAACUAAACUAUUCUAUACCUAAAUAUCAUUCUACCAUAGAAAAUUCAACUCCACCUUCCCUUUUUUUUUUCUUCUUAAUCUUUCCCUUUCUUUCUUAGUUAGUUAGUGGGUGAGUCAAAUUAAAGUUUUAACUUCUAAAAAUAAAUAUUAAUACAAUAAAUUUUUAAAAAAUAUAAAUUUUACAAAAUAUUUUCAAUCUAUAGUAAAUUCUAUAACAAAUAGUCAUUGACAUGCUAGAAUAAUCAAAGACUAUUAGUGAUAGAAUCUAAAAUUUUGCUAUAGUUUGUAAAUAUUUUAAUUUAUUUUGCUAUUUUUAAAAAUACCCUUAUUAAUAUAAACAUACUACAUCACAUCAUUUGUAGGGAAAAAAAAAUGAAGAAAAACAGACCAACAAAAAAAAAAGAAAUCAUCCAUGGAUUUAACAAAGUCUAAAAUAGCUACUUUUAUUUUUAUUAAGAUUUAAGAAGUAAAAUAAAUAUGUUUUUAAAAAUAUUAAAAAAAUUUGGAAAUAAAAACUAAAUUUAAACUCAAAAAAUUUAUCGAACUUGUGGUGUAAUAUAAACAUCUAGACACACUAACAUGAUUCACCAAAUAAGAUGAGAUGGAACCCUGGGAGUCUUUUCAAGGAGAAAAGAAAGUAAUGGUAUUUGGAUGGAUUGAGUUAUAUGAAACUAUUUUAAAUGGAAAGAUAAUGGAAAAUAAUUAUAAAAUAUAGUAAAAUAUUAUAUAUCACAAUAAAUAAAUUGUACAUGUAUGUAUUUAAAAUUGGUUCAUCUUAAAAUUGGUUAACUUAAACAGUAAUUUAAGGUAGAAAGAUUGAGAUACAAAAUAAUUUAGAAAUAUUUAUUUGGGUAGAAGGAGUUGGGGUUAGGUAUGUAGAAUAGAAGAAAAAGGGUGGGAAAAUGUAGUAGUGGAUUGUGGUGGCGGUGGGUAAAUAAAAGGAGGAGUAAAGUGGAAUCUAAAAAUGAGGAUGAUUCCAUGCGUGUGGCGGCCAUAAAAAAGAAGAAGGAGAAAGAGAGAGAGUAGGGUCCGGAGAUUGUGGAAAAGAUGGAAGCCAGGGAAAGGAAACUAAACUAGGUUUUAAAUUGGCCUUUGAGUUCCCCAAAUAACAAUGGGCCCAUUUUCAUUUUCCCAUUACUCGCCCCUUCGCUUGCUACGCGGCUAACAUUCCUUCUUCCUUCUUUCAUUAAUCACAUGCCCCAUUUUUAUCAUCCUUUAAUUUCAUCUUCCCAAUUCAUUCUACCCUUCCCUUUUUACAAUUAUUACAUUCAUGCAUCUUUCCUUAUACCUUCCCAAUUCAUUCUACCUUCUUCAUUCUUUAAAUACCCUACCCUCCUCCUUUUUCCUUCUCAUUACUUAUUUCUAAAAUACCUCUCUAUAUGCAUCUUCCCUUAAUACACGUUCCACCAAAAUUCUCACAUCUCUAUAAACUCCGCAUCUACAUUACUGUACUUGUUUUAUGGAUAUUGUGCACCCUUUACAAGUUUGCGGUGUAUUCUUUGAAUUCAAAUAUUGGUUUUCUCUAUUCCUCUGUUUAGGACAACUCCUAUAUAUUACAUUUUUUUUUCAUUUUAUAUGGUUAAAAAUAGAUACUAUCAAGUAUGUAUUAAACUCACCCGCAAAUUUAGUAUAGGCUAAGGAGACUUGUCUUUAUAUAAUAUGUAUAAACAAAAUCAAUUAAUACUUAAUAUUAAUUGAUAGUUUAGUGGUAAUAAUGCGUUCAAGUCUUAUUUGUAUAGUUUUUUUUCAAAUUUUUAUUUUUUUUUUAAGUUACAACUUCAAACCCACUGUCAAUAAAUUUUCUGGACAUAAACUAAGUAUAUUGGAUAACUUAAUUUUAGGCAUUUCAAGAUUUUGUUCAUCUACAAUUCUAGAAAAAAUAUUGUACUUGAGGGUGAUUGAAACAUUAUAUUGUCCAGUGUAACUAGUAGCUUUUAUAGUAGGUGAGUUUAUUGGAUCAAUCCAUAUUAUUUUAGUGUAAGUUAUUUAUAAAAUAUACCAAAAUUUUAUAAUCUACCAUAUUUUGUGAAUAUUUGUUAUAAUGUGUCAUUUCCAAUAAUUUCCUUUUUUCAUAGUAUUUUUUUUUUCUACUAGGAUGAGUCAUAGUUUUUUCUAGUUUUCUUACCUAAAUUCAUGUGUUUAUUAGGUACUAUUAUUUGUUAUUUUCUUUUCAUUCCUCACUUAUGUUUGUUUAAUAAUUUGUGGUGGAAUUAAGAUUGCUUUGAGUACAUGAGGGCAAAUUAUUCAAUGCAUAAAAUCUUAAUUUAAAAAUUAUAUCUUAAUUAUUAGUGUCACAAAUUUGUGUUGCCGUGUUAGGUUGUUUUCAAGUUUUUCAUUCAGAUACUCCAUCACCUACAUAUAUAUAUAGUUAUACCAACAUUUUAGAUAUAUGAUAUCAAAUAUUGACAUAAACGCCAAAGAAUCCUGAAAAUUUUUAAUAUUAAGAAUUCAUAUAUUCAACAACUCGAGUUUAACAAAACCAUGUUUGAAUGCAGAAUUUUCUUUGCUAUGGUUUUCUAUGUUUUUUCUUUUAAUUUUCUAUCUCUUGUUAUCUUGAAGCUGAUCAUCUCCCCUAGUGGACAAUUUGGUAUUUGAAUUGACAUUUUUGUCAUUUCCCUGUUCCCCCACGAAUAAGUUCCCUUCAAAAUUCUCCACAUAUUUUCCUACACAAAUGAACCAAUUAAUUUCUUCUUCGUUAAUUUCAAAUAUAUACCAAAAUGAAAAUAAUGAAAAUAAUGAAAUAAUAGGUGAGAAAUGUUAAUGAAUUAAUUAUCGUCCCUUAAUUGCAUGUAGACAUCCAAACAAUAAUAGGAGAAAAAGAAGGGUAUUUACAACUUAAUAUUCACAUAUACUAAUUAUUUUACAAAACGAAUCCAACGUCCUUUUCUUCAAUUUUCGAUUUCCAUUGAAGAAAGAAAAAACAAAGAAAAAAAAAACAUUUUAUUAAAAUUAAAAUUUUAUUAUUUUCGUCUGUCUCUGUCUACUCAAAACACCAACAUGGAAUUCUUGGUGUCGUAAUUCAUCUUCUCCAGAUUGGGCUGCACUGCAAAUUGAAUCAUCGGCGGCGGCCCACAAACCAAAGCCAAAGUAUCCUCCGCCGCUGCCGGUAGAUGCUCUCUCGUUAUUUCCUCCGUAAUAAACCCAAUGCUAUAUUCCCACCCUUCUCUAAUACUCUCCUGCACCACGUACCAUACUUUUCAAACGCUCGUUCUUCUUCGCCCACGUGUCCAAUUCCUCCCUCAGCAAAAUAUCAUCCUCCGUCCGAUUCGCAUACACAACAAACAUCUCCGUCUCGUCCUCCGGGUCCUUCAAAAUCGCCUGCACAAUUUGAUAUAUCGGAGUUAUUCCGGUCCCACCUGCCAGCAUUGCAAGCCGCUUCGCGAACCGGGGUUUCCCAUGGACCGUAAAGUUUCCACGUCCGGUGUAUUCGAUGUGGCCCAACGGACCCUUAACCUCCACUGUCGAACCCACUUCCAUGUUGUCCAAGAACUGUGACAUGAUCCCCCCGUUGGGGAACUUGGGGUGCACGUUUUUGAAGUACACCUUGACGACCAAUUCGAAGUAGCCCAUCUGGUCUACGGUGCUAGAGGGCGUAUAGGCUCUCAUGCAAAGCUUGCCGUCCACUUUUGCGCAUAUAAAAAUGUGCUUGCCCACGGGCAGCCCAAGUACCUGAUCCUGACCGCCGGGCAGUUCGAAUCUGAAUACACGCACAUCGUGCGAGAUUUCGGUUUUGGAAAUCAGCUUGCAGGGGAUCUUUUCGUUAGGGGCCAGUGCCGCGCGUCUUGUCACCAUUGGGGCUUCUCGGAUGGGCGCUAAAUGGGAGAAGUUGGAGGCCCCGUGAGUGGAGUUGUUAGGGGAGUUGGAGGAGGAGUCGGAAGCGUAGCCGGUGGUGAUCAACUCUCCUAUUCGGUAAUCCUCGAGCAUUUUCUUCGCUUUGUCCGAGUGAAUGGCGUCGAACUCUUCGGUGCAGUCGGUGCCGGCGUUGAUUAAGAUACUGUCGGAGCGCGCCGGGGUGGUCUUUGAGGAAGCGUGUGCAAUCGUAGACAUGGCCGUGGACAAUGAUCCAGGCGGAUUGAGGGGAGUUGUGUUUUUUGACUUCGGAUAAGGAGUAAGUGUUGGAGGCAGUGUUCAUGAAUGGAGUGGAGAUACUCUUCUUUAGGGUUUGGUUUGAUUCGGUGGAUAUUUCUAGAUGUCUCUCUCUGUCCAUCCAUCCACCGGAUUGGUUGCCGGGAACCGUUGGGUGUUCGAAGAUGAUUCCGAUUUCUCCCUUGUGAGGUUUGCAUACGUUGGUUUUCACGGUGAACCAACAGUUAUUCAUCAUUCCCAUAAGGUUCCAUAUGAGUUUCUCAGGUUGAGUGUUGAGAGUUUCAUCCCAAGCACGUACUGCAAUUUCUUUAGCGCCAAGCAGGUCUAGAACCUCCACCUCUAAGGACCAGAAACACCAGCACCAGUAUUUUCCAUAUUUGUUUGGCUUCUCUGGAUGGUCUAACGUGCACACUUGCCAUGUCUCUCCACCGUCCAUUGUCACCUCCACACGUGUCACCUUCUUUCCGCCACCUACACGUUUUUUCAAAACUAGACACGUUAAAAUAGUUGUGUGUUUUUUUUUUUUGAACUUUAAUUCUCCGGAUCUACAUCUACCUUUCCUAGAUAACAACCAAGUAAAUAUAAAAAAAGAAAUACAAAAAACGGCGGCGGCUCACCGGAAUAAGAAUAGCCUCUCAAGGUGUAGGGCCUCUGAGUGGUCCAGGAGUUGAUAGGCAGAAUCUCCUCAUGGCAUGGAGUUGUUAUGACUGAGUUGAUGUUCAACUCGUUGAUUAUGUACUCCGGCUUGUACCACCAUGCUGCAUAUUUUAAAUUAAAUUAAACAUUUAAUUAUAAUUAAGGUUGACAUAAAAUUCAAUCAUAUAGUAACUAUUUUAUACCUUCGGCGUUAGCCAGCUCAGCGUCUACAUGGGAUGGCAAGACUCUAUUGUCCUUGAAAUGGUAAUAGUUCUCUGAUUCUUUGGUUGUAACGAUGAUGCGUUUAAGCCACUUGACCAUUCUACCCCGAUGAAUCCCGGUAUUAUCAUCCUCACAGGAAACCCGUGGUCCGGUGCCAACUGCUCUCCGUUUUGCAUAUACGCUAAAAUGAUGUCCCUAGCCGGAUCCAUAGCCAGCUCUUUCUUGAUACUAGUUCCGUACUUGGACCCUCCCCCACCUGGCAGAUCCUCAGCCCCUUCAAAGCACACAUUCAGCGCCCCCUUCUUCCUGCUCAUAAUCCCACACCGUUUCAACACCUCUCGCAGUGGGACCCCCCUCCAUACUGACGUUGAAACUCCCGCCGCUCCCCAGUUGAACCCGAUGCUCUUUUUCACCAUGUUCUGCUCCUUUCGCCGGUUUCCUGCGCACGACUAGCGUGGCUGGAAACUCUCGGAACCGGUCGUUCACAGUUGGUCCAUGCUGAAACUUAGUGGGGCCGUUUGACCAGACCACAGACCUCGAUUGUCCAGUCGCUCCACUUGGCCUUAGGGACUGCUCCGUGGUUACGCACGUAGUGUAGUGGGACUGGGGUUAUGAACCCAUGGUGCAUCAGAACGAUUGAGAGGUGGCUCCGAGUUGAAGGGGUGGCUUCCCUGUGAGACGGACCAUGGAAGAGUUCCGCUCGAAUCCAAUUAUCAGCCGUCCCUUCAUCUCUAGGGUCCACAGUCGACGGUUCCAGUUCACGGUUCCCCUUCUUGAUCAAUUCACGAAGCUCGUUGUUAUCGUUCUCGUCUCACUACACGAAUCAUCAUCUUCUUCCUCCUGUUCCAUCUUCACGGAGCUCUUGAGAAGGCGAUUGUUAAUGUUGGAAUUGGGGAAGUUGCAUCCACGAACGGGGGAGUCGGACCGGUGUUGGGACCGUGGAUUUGAAGGAGCGAACGACGCCAUUAAGCGGUGGCUGGAGAGAGCCAAAUUGGCGGUUGUCGACAGAAGCCGCCAUGGGAGAUUAUUUGUUUAGAAAAGAAAUGAAAUAAUUCUCCUGAUUUUGCCUCCACCACCUUUGUUGUGAUAUGAUGUUGUAGUUUGAAUUGAAGUUUUGGUGGUGGGAAAAGUAGGGAGGAGAAGGUGUGAUUAUAUAGGAAAUGUAUGUGAAGAAAAAGCCGAAAGUGAGGGCCCAACCUAUUGGACAGGAAAUUUCGAUGGGCUGGGGGAGCUGUUAGUUCAAAAUGACGCCGUUUCGGGAGUGGGGGGCGUGCCAAUAGGGCGAGCCUGACGAAGUACUUACAAAUCAGAACUAUGAAUCUGUGGUGGGUGUGAGCCCUUGGGUUCAUACCGGUCUCAGCCACACGAUGAAUUCAAACAUUUCUCUUCAAAUCAACAAGAUAUCCUCCACAUCUUUUAUUUCCAUAGCUUUUUCUUCUUACUUAUUUUAAUUGCCUUUCUUCUCCCCCACUUCUUAAUUGCACUAUUAAUUUUCUCAAAAUACACACAAAACAAUAAUAAUAAUAAUAAAUAAAUCUCUGCCCACAACCCUUACUUUCAAUUUUCUUUUAAAUUAUUGUCCUUCAAACUACUAUUAAUAACCAUGGCUCUAUGAUUCAAAUUUCUGUUCAAAUCACUCAUUCUAUUUACUUUAAAUAUAGUUUGUUAAACUUUCAAAAACAUGUGAUUAUAAAUCUUUCUAAAAUGUGCAUUUAUAAUUUCUUUUGUUUAACUCGAACAUAGCUUAAAUAGUAAGAGAUUCAAAAUCUUCAUAAAAACAAAAGAGAAAAAAAAUAAAUACUUGAUCUAUAUUUUUGGAGACAAGCUUUUGCUAACUUCUGUGUUUUCUUUAUACAAAAAUUGUGUUCUUAGAGGAGUUAAUUUAAUCUUAGGAGAUUCCAUGCAUGUAUGAGUUUUUAUUUAUUAGUUUUGAAAUUUUGCUUUGACAAAAAUGUACCUGUGUACUAAAUGUUUGAAAAUAAAAAUGUAUUAAAUCAAAUAUGAAGGAGAAAGCAAAUAUUUCCACACAUAAUGAAUAGAAAAAAAGACGAUCUUACCUUACCUUACGCAUGCAAAGACAAACAAGUGUAUGUAUAUAUAUUAUUGAUAGAGAUUUGUUGAAUUAAUUAAAAUUUAACAAUAUAUCUUCUUAUCUUAUAAACUAUAUAUAUAAUUAAUUUGUAAAAAUAUCUUCUUCAAAUAGUCACCAAGAUAUUUUUGCUGACAUACCAAAUUAAGACGAUAAUAUUACUUUCUUCCAUUCUUUUUAUAAGACGUCUCACUCUCAAUGAAAAAAAAAGUGUAAAGUUUCUAUAAAAAAGGAAAAAGAGAAAAAAAGCGUAAAGCCAAGCAUUUAAAAAGUGAAAUGAUUCUUUAAAAUACUAAUGAAAUAUUUGUGUUUUUGAAAAUUACUUUUUUGGCCAUUACUAUGUGCCAAAUAGUUUUUCUACCAACAAUAAAAUAAAGGGGCAGUUUUUCGUAACGAAUAUUUUAUAUAAUUGAGCUGUUUUAUAAAUAUUGAUUACUUAGGUAUGUAUAUCUUUGCCAAAAUAUAUUUAAUGGGAUUUUAAGUAUGUAUUCAACUAUCAACCUAGAUUAUUAUUAUUAUUGUUAUUAUUUUACCAUAUAUAAGGUAGGAGUAGAACCUUUGAGUGUGAAAUAAUUGAAUAGAAAAUAAAUAACUAUGAUAUAGAAUAACUUUAAACUAUAUAUAUAUGUGUAUGUAUGUACAUUUGCAUAUAUGUAUGUAUUGAAAUAAAAUCUCUAAUUUGGAGUUGAUAACGAUAUGCAAAAUCCAAACCCGAAAAGGAGAAGGGCUGGUUAUGGACAUUUGGGGAAGUUCAAGUGAGGAGGCAGAAGAAGGACGAGAGGAUGGGAGGAAGAAGUUUUUCAAAAAAUUAGUUAAAUGAGGCCAAUUAAAAAAGAAAAAUAAAAUCUAACGUACUUAGGAUGACUCAAUUAAUAGGAUACACAUCUCUAUCUCCGAUCAUGGGCUCUAAACCCUUAAUUGAUACACAAGAGUUUAGGGUUUAAAUUAAUCUAAAUAUUACUUUAUAGUUUAGAUUGAAUAUGAUCCCUAGUUGAGAAGAUGAUUGAUGUCAACCUAGUUUAAAUUGAAUAUGAUGGAGUGCUAAGUUUGUGCUAACCUAGUUAGGAUGAUUUGAUGUCCUUUGUGACCCAUAACUUCAUCUAAGAAAAGAAAAUUGAACAUGUCUCUAAAUUUAGAGAUAUAAAUAGAUAUUUUUCCUAAAGUUAUAAAUUAUUAAAGCGUUAUUUUUAACUAAUUGAAAAGUUUAAAUACUAAGUUGGGUUGCAUUGAUACCAUACUAAAUUAUCACUCAACCUAACUCAAAAGUAGAAUGUAUUGAUAGGUUACGGUAAAUAUAGAAAUUUUCGAGAAGUAGAAAUGGAAUUCUCUCAUCCCAAAAUGGUUGAAACUAGUUUUAGAAAAUUUCUUUUAAGCAAUGAAUAUUUGAUGUUUUUAAUUAAUAUAUAAUAUGAACAAUUAGGGAUUGAUUCCCAUGAAAAGUUAAAUUUAUUUUCAAAUUUAAAAUGGAAAUAGAGUUUUUGAUGUUAUGGUUGAAACAUAUGUUGGAGUAUUCAACAUGACAAAUGAUUCAUUAACUUGGCAACUAGCUAAAAAUAGAAUCCUCACUUUUACAAUAAUAAUCAUGUAAUAUAAUUAAAAAAAAGAAAAAUUAACUCAUUCCUCUCUCUUUCUCAUUUUCCUAAACUUAACAUAUAAAUGGUAUUGCACUAUUACUUCAAACACUUUUAUUAGAAAAGAAAUGGAUUUAUAAUUUUAUAGAAUUAAUCAUCCAUUUAGAAUGUCUUUUUAAAUGUUUCAUUUCAACAUGGCCAAAAAAUUGAUUUUGUUAUAAAUAUUAGUAAAAUAGUUAGAUGGUCCAUUAUAUUAUGGGUUAAUUGUCAUGUGUCACUUUCUCUCCAUUUCACUAUAUUGUCAUGUGUCAUUUUCUUCAACAUCUAACACAUUUGUCAUGUAUUGAAGAUAUCAGACCCUUGGAGGCCAUGUAAUUAAUUCGUCUCAUGCUUACCAAAUUGCCUAUAAAUAAUGUCAUUUGGACAUGGAUCUUGUAGGACACACAUGUUGGUAAAAUUUUCAAAUAAAUAGGAGAAAGUUGAAUUUUUUGAAAUUUUUAAAUUUAAUUUAAUUUAAUUUAUUUUAAUAUUAUAUUUUCUUGAUUUUCGUAUUUUCGUUGUGUCUCAUUUUUACGCUGGAGCUCCAAUUGCCUCCUUCGUCCAAGCAUGAGCUCCAACCAUCUUCUAUACUAAAGGUUGGUUGAUUUUUCACCCACUUUAUUAUAAUUAAUAAAAUGAAUGUUAUUUUGCAUAUUGAAUGUAUAUUAAAUUUCUAAUAUAAUUACAAUAUUUUGUAUAUUAUCUUGAAGAUAUUACAAAAUUACAAUUUCUAGUAUUUGAUAUUAAUAGUAAUAAUUAUUUAUCAUGAAUGUUUGAUACAAAAAUACACCUAGAUGUAAUUAAAAAUAUGAUCGUCAGAAAGCAAUUAUUCUUCCUAAAGCUCGUUAUAAAUGAAUACAGUUGAGGCUCCAAAUUUCUAAAUAAAUAUGUUAGAGAAGAAUUUUUCUACGUUUUGGAUAUGCUUCAUGCAAUAGCUUUUGCAUAAUAUCUUCUCAUGAAUGAAAUAACGAGUUAUUGAUUGAAAGACCAUGAAUAUCAAUCAACUAUAGAACCAACAUUUGCUAAAGUGAAUGUUGUAAAUUUUAAUAAUGGUGGAUUAAAAAUUAUGAUUCUUAAUCUUAUUAUCUAAAAUGAAUGUUGUGAGUUUAACAAUUUUAAUGGAGGUUAUAACUACAAUAAAUGAAGAUAAUUAUUCAUUGCGGCUGAUUGUUAUAAUUAUCCAAAUUUUAAAAGAACCACAUGAAAUGAUGGUCAUAAUAAAUGGAAAGCACCUCGAAAAAAAUAGAAAAAUGUGAAAUGACAUUUUGCAUAUAUGAUUAAUAAUAUAUAUAUUUGACCUAUCCAAUAUGACAAAUUUGGAUACGGUAGAGUUUUGAAUCUCUAGAAAAUUGACAUAUUCGAAAAAACAAGUAUUUCUUUUGUGAUUAUAUAAUAGUUAAUGUUUUUUUAUCUCUCAUAUUAUAUAUAUAUAUAUUCCAAGUUUUGUUUUUUUUUUUUCAAGUUUAAAUUAAUUUGUUUAACGAGGAAGCACAAAAAAUUUUCUUAUAUUUAAAUAACUAAAAAUGUUUUGAGUUUUUUAUCUUUUUGAUUAUAUUAUAUUCAUAUAAGAGUAAUUAAAACAUAUACAACUAUUAACCUAGAUUUCAUGAAUCUAGACAUAUUUACAAUUGAAAUAAUCGAUUGGAUCAUCCAGGAUCUAUAAUGAUGAGAAAAAUUAUUGAAAAUUCACAUAUGGACAUCCAUUGAAGAGCCAGAAAAGAUUCUUCAAUCUAAUGAACUAUUAUAUGAUGCUUACUCUCAAAGCAAAUUAAUAAUUAGAACAUUACUAGCUAAAUUGGGAAUUGAAUCAUCUGUAUUUUAAGAAUGAAUUCAUGGUGAUAUAUGUGGAUCUAUUAGCUCACCACGUGGACUAUUUAAGUAUUUCAUGGUAUUAAUAGAUGAAUCUAGUAGAUGGUCACAUGUGUGCUUAUUAUCAAGUUGAANNNNNNNNNNNNNNNNNNNNNNNNNNNNNNNNNNNNNNNNNNNNNNNNNNNNNNNNNNNNNNNNNNNNNNNNNNNNNNNNNNNNNNNNNNNNNNNNNNNNNNNNNNNNNNNNNNNNNNNNNNNNNNNNNNNNNNNNNNNNNNNNNNNNNNNNNNNNNNNNNNNNNNNNNNNNNNNNNNNNNNNNNNNNNNNNNNNNNNNNNNNNNNNNNNNNNNNNNNNNNNNNNNNNNNNNNNNNNNNNNNNNNNNNNNNNNNNNNNNNNNNNNNNNNNNNNNNNNNNNNNNNNNNNNNNNNNNNNNNNNNNNNNNNNNNNNNNNNNNNNNNNNNNNNNNNNNNNNNNNNNNNNNNNNNNNNNNNNNNNNNNNNNNNNNNNNNNNNNNNNNNNNNNNNNNNNNNNNNNNNNNNNNNNNNNNNNNNNNNNNNNNNNNNNNNNNNNNNNNNNNNNNNNNNNNNNNNNNNNNNNNNNNNNNNNNNNNNNNNNNNNNNNNNNNNNNNNNNNNNAACUACGUUAUGACUUGAUCCCUAUAUUAUAAAGGGUACGUUAGGCAGCUUUAGGAAAACCUUAAGCCCAGUCCAGCAAAAAAAAAAAGUUGAACUACGUUAUGACUUGAUCCCUAUAUUAUAAAGGGUACGUAGGCAGCUUAAGGAAAACCUUUAAGCCCAGUCCAGCAAAAAAAGUUGAACUACGUUUAUGACUUGAUCCCUAUAUUAUAAAGGGUACGUAGGCAGCUUAAGGAAAACCUUAAGCCCAGUCCAGCAAAAAAAGUUGAACUACGUUAUGACUUGAUCCCUAUAUUAUAAAGGGUACGUAGGCAGCUUAAGGAAAACCUUAAGCCCAGUCCAGCAAAAAAAAAGUUAAACUACGUUAUGACUUGAUCCCUACAUUAUAAAGGGUACGUAGGCAACUUAAAGAAAACUUUAAGUUCAGUCCACCAUUAUAAAAAAAAAAAACCUUGAACUACGUCGUGAGUUAAUUCUUUUCUUCAAAGGGUGUUCAUCUCUACUAAGGAAUCAUAACAAAAUUGGGGGCAAAUCCCUAAAUUCACAAGAUGAUCUCUAGUAACAAUGAGAUGAAAUAAAUUGAAGAUGUUACAAACUUCGUGCAAAGACUAUGUACAAGUUGAGUGCAUGUAAAAAAAAAAAAAAAAAAAUCUCAAAAUCAAGCUCAAAGGCCGUCAUUAAUGAUCCCUCAUAUUCAAGCAUAAAGGUUUCAUUGAUGAUUCCUUAUAUUCAAGUUUCAAGGCUUCAUCGAUGCUGCAGCUCCAGCUCUUUGAGAGGAUAACGAUGGUACAACUUCGAUAGGACGACGAUCGGGCAGCUCUGCCUUCGCGUCUCCAAGAUGAAAACGAUAGUGUAACAUCGUUCUCUGCCUCUUGAAGAAGAUGCAUACAAUGCCUAAAGCUUUAACCUCUGCUUCAUCUUCAACUUAUUGCAACCGAGGAGGAUUCAUCUUCAUCUUCUCCUAGGAACGCGCAACGAGAAGAUUCAUUUUUAUCUUCUCUCAGGUGUGUAGCAACUGAAGAGGAUUCAUCUUCAUCUUCUCCCAAGUGCUACAACCGAAAGAGGAUUCAUCUUCAUUUGCUCUAAGGUGUGGCAAGUGAGAGGAUUCAUCUUUUUCUUCUCCUAUGUGUUGCAACGAGAGAGGAUUCAUCUUCAUCUUCUCCUAAGAAUUGCAACUGAGAAGAUUCAUCGUCAUCUUCUCCUAAGAGUUGCAACCGAGAAGAUUCACCUUCAUCUUCUUUCAGGUGUCGCAACCAAAGAAGAUUCAUCUUUAUCUUCUUCCAGGUGCUGCAACCAAAGAGGAUUCAUCUUCAUCUUCUUUCAUAUGACGUAGCCGGAAGGCUUCACCUUCAUCUUCUUCUAGGUGCUACAACCGAGAGGAUUCAUCUUCAUCUUCUCCUAGGAAUUGCAACUGAGAAGAUUCAUCUUCAUCUUCUCCUAAGAGUCGCAACCAAGAAUAUUCACCUUCAUCUUCUUUCAGGUGUCGCAACCAAAGAAGAUUCAUCUUCAUCUUCUUUUAGGAGUUGCAACCAAAGAGGAUUCAUCUUUAUCUUCUUUCAUUAUGUCGUAGCCGGAAGGAUUCACCUUCAUCUUCUUCUAGGUGCUACAAUCAAAGAGGAUUCAUCUUCAUCUUCUCUUAUAUGUCAUAGCUGAGAAGAUUCAUUCUUCAUCUUUCUCCCAGGUGCUGCAAUCGAAAAUGAUUCAUCUUCUCUCAUAUGUCAUAGCCGAGAGGAUUCAUCUUCAUCUUCUCCCAUAUGUCAUAGCCGAGAGGAUUUAUCUUCAUCUUCUCCCAGGUGCUGCAAUUGAAUAGGAUUCAUCUUCAUCUCCUCCCAUAUGUCAAUAGUCGAGAGGAGUCAUCUCCUUCCAUAUGCCAUAGCCGAGAGGAUUCAUCUUCAUCUUCUCUCAUAUGUCAUAGCUGAGAGGAUUCUAUCUUCAUCUUCUUCCAAGUGCUGCAACUGAAGAGAAUUCAUCUUCAUCUCCUCCCAUAUGUCAUAGCCGAGAGGAUUCAUCUUCAUCUUUUCCUAUAUGUCGUAGCUUGAGAGUAUUCAUCUUUAUCAUCUAACAGGUGUCGCAACCCGGCCGAUGGAAUUCAUUUUCAUCAGCUCUAAGGUGUAGCAAGCUAGAUGAUUCAUCUUCAUCUUCUCCCUGGUACCACAACCAAGAAAGAAAAAAAAAGAGGAGCAAAGAAGCAAGAAGAAAAGAAGAAGAAAGAUGAAAAUGAAGAAAGAAAGAAGGAAGAAAAAAAAAAAAACAAAAGAAAGAAGAAAAAGAAAAAAAAAAAACAAAAACAAAAAGAAAGAAAAACAAAAAAACAAAAAGAAAGAAGAAAGAAAAACAGAAAAACAAAAAGAAAGAAGAACAAGAAGAAGAAGAAAACAAAAAAGAAAGAAGCAAGAGAAGAAAAACAAAAAGAAAGAAGAAGAAGAAGAAAAAAAUAAAGAAGCUCAAUUGGUGAUAACGAAGAUCGAAGCCCGACGAUGACAGAGUCGAUCUCUCCUACUAGGGCGAUAGAUCUGACGGCAAAAGCCCGAUCGUCCCUAGAAGAAGCUCAACAAAGUCAUUUCUGAUAACGAAGAUCGAAGCCCGACGAUGACAGAGUCGAUCUCUCCUACUAGGGCGAUAGAUCUGACGGCAAAAGCCCGAUCGUCCCUAGAAGAAGCUCAACAAAGUCAUUUCUGCAAACGAAGAUUGAAGCCCGACGAUGACAGAGUCGAUCUCUCCUACUAGGGCGAUAGAUCUGACGGCAAAAGCCCGAUCGUCCCUAGAAGAAGCUCAACAAAGUCAUUUUCUGCAAACGAAGAUUGAAGCCCAACGAUGACAGAGUCGAUCUCUCCUACUAGGGCGAUAGAUCUGACGGCAAAAGCCCGAUCGUCCCUAGAAGAAGCUCAACAAAGUCAUUUCUGCAAACGAAGAUCGAAGCCCGACGAUGACAGAGUCGAUCUCUCCUACUAGGGCGAUAGAUCUGACGGCAAAAGCCCGAUCGUCCCUAGAAGAAGCUCAACAAAGUCAUUUCUGCAAACGAAGAUUGAAGCCCGACGAUGACAGAGUCGAUCUCUCCAACUAGGGCGAUAGAUCUGACGGCAAAAGCCCGAUCGUCCCUAGAAGAAGCUCAACAAAGUCAUUUCUGCAAACGAAGAUUGAAGCCCGACGAUGACAGAGUCGAUCUCUCCUACUAGGGCGAUAGAUCUGACGGCAAAAGCCCGAUCGUCCCUAGAAGAAGCUCAACAAAGUCAUUUCUGCAAACGAAGAUUGAAGCCCGACGAUGACAGAGUCGAUCUCUCCUACUAGGGCGAUAGAUCUGACGGCAAAAGCCCGAUCGUCCCUAGAAGAAGCUCAACAAAGUCAUUUCUGCAAACGAAGAUUGAAGCCCGACGAUGACAGAGUCGAUCUCUCCUACUAGGGCGAUAGAUCUGACGGCAAAAGCCCGAUCGUCCCUAGAAGAAGCUCAACAAAGUCAUUUCUGCAAACGAAGAUCGAAGCCCGACGAUGACAGAGUCGAUCUCUCCUACUAGGGCGAUAGAUCUGACGGCAAAAGCCCGAUCGUCCCUAGAAGAAGCUCAACAAAGUCAUUUCUGCAAACGAAGAUUGAAGCCCGACGAUGACAGAGUCGAUCUCUCCAACUAGGGCGAUAGAUCUGACGGCAAAAGCCCGAUCGUCCCUAGAAGAAGCUCAACAAAGUCAUUUCUGCAAACGAAGAUCAAAGCCCGACGAUGACAGAGUCGAUCUCUCCUACUAGGGCGAUAGAUCUGACGGCAGAAGCCCGAUCGUCCCUAGAAGAAGCUCGACAAAGUCAUUCCUGCAAAAAAAAAAAAAAAAACACAAACAAAAACAAAAAAAACAACAACAAAAAAAACAAAACAAAACAAAACAGAAUAAAAAAAAAAAACACACGCAAAAAAAAGAGAAAAAAAAAGAGAAAGGGAGAAGAAAAGUUUUCUAUACCUUUCUGCUAAUUGGAUGAGGAAUAAGCGUUGGAUGAGAUAUAAGUGAGUAGGGUAUGAGUCUAUUUAUAAGCCCAACAAAUCCAAUUCCUAAAAGGAUUAGGAAUGAUAUUUAAUUAUUUUUUUUAAAACAAAUCCAAUUCCUAAAGGGAAUAGGAAUGAUUUUUAAAAAUAUAUAUAUAUAUAUAUAAAAAGAAAAGAUAAUCCAAUUAUCUUAUUUUAUUUUAAAUUAUUUCUUUUUUUUUGGAUAAAUCUCAAGUUUAACUUUUAUUGAGAUAUUUAAAAUAUUUAAAAAUUUCAACAUUUUUUAAAAAAUAUAUAUAUAUAUAUAUAUAAAUAUUCUCAAUUUCAAAAUUUAAGUUAAAUUAACUUGCAUAUAUGACCUCCUUUUUAUCAUGAAUUUAAAUGGGAGUCAUAAAUCCAACUUUACCUAAGAUUCCAUAUAUAGAGGAUUUUCCUUGAUGACAAUUCCAGCUUUAGGAGAUUCCAUCAAUUGCUUCAGGAUGCUCUGCGCGAUAGCGGAACCUUGGUCUUGCCCAUGGAUGAUCCCCUUGGAACGACUACGGGUGAUAGGUCCCGUGUAGGUGUCGCUUGCAGCUGAAGAUUUGGAUGCAGCUUUCUUUGAUGCCAUUGAUUUGCUUGUAGAUGUAGAUGAUGAGAGAGAGAUGAGAGGUAGAGAUGAUCCCACUGGGCGUGCCAAUUUGUUGGUGAACCCAACGUGAUUAUUAUCAUAGCAUCUUCUUCUAGGUGCUACAAUCAAUUAUUUUAUGUUUUUCUUAGAAUCUCAGUUCUUUUUUUUAUUAUUAUUAAAAAAAGGCAAGAAAAAGGCUGGAAGAGAUCAUAAGCUGUAUAAUAUCAGAGAAAAAGGAGAAGAGAUCAGAGGUGGUAUUAGGGGAGAAGAAUCUAUUGUCAUGUUUGGUAAAAUGGAGAGAUGAAAAAGGAGAAAGUUUAAGUGAUGAACAGAUCGCAGACAACAUAAUCGGAGUUCUGUUUGCGGCUCAGGACACAACAGCUAGUGUUCUCACUUGGGUUGUUAAAUAUCUACAUGAUAACCCCAAAAUUCUAGAAGCUGUCAAGGUAAACUCACUGAUCACUGCACUCCACCUCUCUAUUCAUUCAUUCAAAUAUAUGUUUUGAGAUUUGAUUUUUGGCUCUAUAUCAACAUAAUGUGAUUAUUGUGUUUAUAGGUGGAACAAAAGGUAAUUGAAGAAGACAUCAAUGAGGGGAGCGGACCAAUGAGAUGGGCUCACACACGAACUAUGCCCUUUACCAACAAGGUAGGGAGAGGAUUCAACCAAAUGUUUCUAAAAUAUUCAUAUAGUUAAAAAAAUUCAUAUUAGGGUUUCUUGUUUUAUUUUAAUUUUAAUUUACAUUUGACUUUAUGGGUAAUAUUAUUUGUUUAUGUUUGGAAAACAAAAGGUGGUGUUGGAGAGCUUGAGACUGGCUAGUAUUAUAUCAUUCACUUUUAGAGAAGCUGUGGCUGAUGUUGAAUAUAAAGGUAACAUAUUAAUCUUUCUAAUUUUUAUAUUUCUGUUUAAAAUAUUAUAAAUAACUUGGAAGAAAAAGUGUAUGAUAAUUAAGUAAUUUAUAAUGUAGUUCUAAGUCAUAUCAUUCAAAUUUAUGUCUAUUUUGGAUGUGUUAUUAAUAAGGUUCAUUUAAGUCAUUAAGUAUUCAAAUUAAUUUUGCAUUUAAUAUUUGUAAUACAAUUUUAUAUAAUCAAUAUUGUUCUUUUUUCUCAUUAAAAACAUGUUUUAUAUAUUAAAUUACUAAGGUUGAAAAGAUAAGAUUAAAUGUAUUGUAUAAUGUAUGGAAUUUUAUGUCCAACUUUAUUUGAAAGGUAGAAAUUAAAAUGAAAAAGGAACUUUAUUGGCAAGUUUGGUUUCAAAUAAGUUAUAUUCCUCACCUUUUUAUUAUGGUAUAUAUUGAACAGGUUAUUUAAUACCAAAGGGUUGGAAAGUAAUGCCUUUGUUCAGGAAUAUUCAUCACAAUCCUGACUACUUUGUUGACCCUCAUAAAUUUGAUCCUUCAAGAUUUGAGGUAUAUUUGAAUUUAGUAUUUACCCCCACCCAAAUAUACUUUCUUUUCCUUUUUCCUUGUCUUUUCAUACACAAAGAAAAAUUCUCUUCUUUUCUCUAACUUUAAUGUUAAUGUUACCUACAACAUAAUGAAUUCAUAUGCAUCAGGUUGCUCCAAGACCCAAUACAUUCAUGCCAUUUGGCAGUGGCGUCCAUGCCUGCCCUGGGAAUGAGCUUGCCAAGCUUGAAAUCUUGAUCAUGAUCCACCAUCUAGUCACCAAUUUCAGGUCCUUCAUUUCUCUUUUUAAAUCAAAUAAGUCUAGUUCAAAAACUGAAGAAGAAAACCACAUAAUUGAAUUGAACUAUGUUUAUGUUUAGAUUUAGACUGAAUGUUUGUUUGGUGCAGGUGGGAAUUGGCAGGACAGAGAGAUGGAAUUGAGCAUGGGCCAUUUCCAGUGCCUAUAAAUGGACUUCCCAUCAGAGUUUGGAGAUUAUCCACUUUAAAUUAAAAGCCCAAAACUGUUCUUUUUGUUUCUCUUUGUUGUCUUUUUGGUUCUUGGCCAUUUUGGGGAGGGUGAAGUUAGAGAUCAACCCACCCCCAAGCAAAUAUUAUGCCUUUCAUCAUAUACUUUCUUUUUGUCCACUGAUUAAGCAAAAAAAACCAUGUAAUUUUCUCGAAGCUCUUCACCAAAAGUAUUGACAGAGCAUAGGUUCUCCCAAAGGAGUUUUUUUUUUUUUUUCUUUUCUUUUUCCCUUAAUAACAUAAUAAAAUUUUUCAAUGUGUUUCUGUCCCCUACUUUUAGUGUUUUUAUGUUAUUGUAUCAAUGAAAUUAAUACAAAAAAGAGUAUAUAAAUACCAAUAUUGAACUUUGAGAUCAACUUCCAAUAGUAACUCUUUAUCUUGUGUAUAUAAAUUUUUCUCUACACAAAAACAUUUCCUACAAUUAUUUAAUAGAUAGGAAAAGCAAAGAAAAAAGAGAGAGAGAAAUAAGAAACACAUAAAGAGAGGAUAACAAGAAGAAUAACGGCAGCCACUGCAAGAGGAGAACAAAGAUCCAUGGCGGUUUCAUUUUCAGCAGCCACUGCCUUACAUCUCCACCCUUCUUCUUCAUCUUACACUCCCUUAUUCAACCCUAGCCAGUUCCUCCGCCUCCGAUCCCCUUCCCGCCGCACACUAUUAAUAGCUCAUGCCCAAUCGGAGCACCGUCAAACAUGGCUUCCCGGCCUCGACCCGCCACCGCAUCUCGACGGAACCCUUGCUGGGGAUUUUGGAUUCGACCCACUUGGGCUUGGCGAGGACCCACAAAGCUUGAAGUGGUACGUUCAAGCAGAGCUUGUUCAUUGCCGCUUUGCCAUGCUCGGCGUUUCUGGAGUUCUUCUCACUGAUGUCUGUAACCAAUUAGUCUUACAUUACCACUCGAUAAUUGCACAAAACUGGAAACCUUAAUUUAAAGAUUGAUGUUCUUUGUGUUGUGGCAGUUGCUUCGUGUUACAGGGAUCAGUGAAUUGCCAGUUUGGUAUAAUGCCGGUGCCGUUGAAUAUGGUUUUGCCAACAAACGAACUCUUUUCAUUGUUCAGCUGCUUUUGAUGGGGUUCUAAUUCUUCCUUAUCCUCCAUUUCCUUUCUUUAGGUGUGGCUGUAUUCAUCACCUUAUCUGGUUUUACUUGGCUUUGAAGGUUUGUGGAAACUAAAAGGUAUAUGGAUUUCAAAAGCCCUGGAUCUCAAGCACAAGAAGGAACUUUCUUUGGAUUAGAAGCUGCCUUUAAAGGUCUCGAGCCCGGGUAAUUUACAUUUCUCUUGAAAUUCUUAGAAUGUUAGAUAAAAUAUUGCAACGAAACAGAGUUCCGAAGCUACCUGUAAAUUCUAUACGAAGGCACCGUCUUACUAUUCUGAGUCUCAAUUUUUGUGUAACAUUCAAUUAAAACUCAUACUUCAAAGGUAGUUUUGAAAUGGUCAUAAAAAGUGGAAGGAAGGAGUAUGAUUUUUUUUUAAAAUUAAAGGAUCUGAAGUUUAUAGGAUGCUCUCUUGAUCAUUUUACCAACUAGAAUGCCCUAGAAUAUGAACAGUUUUGACUUUGAGGGAUGAUUACCUUGCAGAUACCCUGGGGGUCCUCUGUUGAAUCCUCUUGGCAUUGCUAAAGAUAUCAAGAAUGCUCAUGACUGGAAACUCAAGGAGAUUAAGAAUGGUUAAAUUUUCCACUCACAUUCUCAUCAAAUUUUUCGUCUAUCGUUUUCCCGGAUUAAUCUUUGUUCAUUCAAAUUACAGGACGGCUUGCAAUGGUAGCCAUGCUUGGGAUCUUUGUGCAAGCUUAUGUUACUCAUACAGGGCCAAUAGAUAACCUUGUGGAGCACCUUUCUAAUCCAUGGCACAAGACUAUUAUCCAGACACUUUCAAGCUCAAGUCCUUAAAGAACAAGACGUUGAAACUUGAUAGUCUCUUUACUCAAUGAGCAAAAUAUAACAUGACAUUGGAGAUUUAUCAGCUAAAAAAGAAUACAGAUGAAAGAACAAAUGACCUUUGUAUUUUGAUUUGAUCAAUACAACAGAUCAAAAAUUUGUUUCGAUUAUUAUAUUUGUCCUUUCUGCUGCUACCUAUUUCAAACAAGAGAUUAAACAAAAGCACAAACUACAAGAGGCUCAUCUUCUAAUUUAUGAUCUUACAGAGCACAAAAUAUGAUAAUCAAGCAUAUGAUUCCUCCCAAGAUCUUACAUUGUCACAUAAAGGGCUGGAUGGGGUUUGUAUCAGAUUCGUGGUUUUGUUUGGUAUUAUUAUUUUACAAAAGGUGCAAGGCCACAAGAAUAAUGAUCAAAUUAAAUUUGAAGUGGAGAAGAUGAAUAUUUGGUUAUGGCUGUGAGGAUCCUCUCUUUAUCUCUUGUAGGAAAUGCUUCUAAUAAGACCCCAUCUUUGUAGAAGUGGAACAGUGGCACAGUCUGCAAUGCCAUCAUCAAAUUUCAACAUUAGUGAACUAAAAUACAAAAACAAAACUUGUUUAUCAUAAACAUUAACAUUUUAGGAACUUAAUUAACUCAAUCACAAACAAACACUAAUUUUAAUGGUUUUCUACCUCUAAAUCAAAUUAUAAUGAAUAUUCAUGAGGUAUUGUUAAGGACUAAACAUAACUUUUCAAACUAAAUACUAAUUUUCUUCAAAUGACAAAAUUUGUAAUUUAACCAUUUCUUAAUACUUUCUUGAUGAUGUUUGAAACAACAAUAAAUAUUAUAUUAGUUAUGUUUUUUAAUGCAGCAAAAAUCUAAUAAUAAUAAAAAUUACUGAAAUCAUUAAAAAUUAAAAAUUAAAAUUAAAAUCGGACCUUACAAUAAUUAGAAUAAGAAGAUUUUAAUAUCUCAAAGCAAACAGAAAGUUUCCGAAGAGACCAAGAACAGUUUGUCAAAACUUCAGUCUAAUUCAACACAAACCCAACUUGGCAAUCAAGAAGAGAAAACAAGCUUACCUUGAUCCUUAGCCGUUCAGCAACCUCAGAUUGUUCAUCAUAUUCAUCCAUGACCUAAAACACACAAUCAAAUUCAAAGCAUAAUAACCAGUCAGUGAUUGUAAUGGAAGUCAAUUUCCCGAGAAAACAUGGCUAAUAUGAAACACUCACAUUAUGCUUCAAGAAGAUAACCGGUGCCUGUUGAUCGCCAGACCCCUUGCACAAUUUUGCAAACCCUUGUUCUAUAUAUUUGCAACUUCCACAAGAUGUUCGAUAAAAGUCCACAACUACCAAACCACCGUUUUCCUUCGCCUUGUCUAGAAUUUUAAUGAACUCUUCAUCCGUCUUGAAUUCCCGCACACAGUCUACAGGGCAAAGAUCAUCAUCCUCAUCACUCAACUCCCCCUGAUUUCCAGCAUUAACUCUCAUUUUACUCUUGUAUAACAAUUGGUUUCUUGGAACUUCGGGUCUUGUAAUCGACAAUCGAACGGGCUCUUUCUCCGAAGAAAGCCAGCGGGGAAUCAAAAUGGGGAUUCUCGGCUCCAUUUUCUCAUUUGGGUUUAAUCCAAAACUGAUUAAAGUUUUACAUUGCAGUACAUUCUGGUUCUGCCUUUGCAUUGCAACAUAUAUAUAUAUAUAUAUAUAUAUAUACCCAAAACUCCGAUUUGGGAGUUCUUUAGUGAAUGAACUUCAGUCAGAAAGCUCUAAUAAAACUGAGCAAUAUAUCAGAUUCAGAUGUAGCAUUCAAGACAAUGUUUCAAACUCAUGAUAAAUCUUAUUUAACAUUAAUCAUGUUAAAGGAGGAGAAAAUUUCGAUUAUCGAUUCAGAAAGAGGAUGAAAAGUAACUGUUAAGAGAAUGAAAGGUGAAAAAUUGAAGGGGUAAAGCAACAAAUGAAGGACCAGUUGAUUACCUCCGAGCGGGAAGAAGAACAGAGGAGCAGCUGCGAACGAGAAAAUGACACGACUCGAUCAUUAUCUUCUUUCUUCCUUUGCCAUUGAUUUUCUUUCACGUGGGUUGUUGUGUUGACAUGGCUUCCUCGAUGAGUUCCUCUUCCUAUUUGAAAAAGCCCAGAUUUUGAAGCCCAACACAUUGAGUGGAUAACAAUUUUUCUUUUAAAUUUCAAAAUUUUCUUUUCGAGGAAUAUUAUCUCAGACUUUUCCUAAACAUUCGAUAACUAACACCGAAGUAGAAAGUUGCUAAAAUACUUAAAGACGAAAAUUGAAAUCCAAACAUUUCCAUCAAACUCAGUUUAUGGCCAAAUUUUCAUCCAAAACUCUUGACAAAAUUUUUUUUUUCUUUCAAGUUAGUUUUGAGACAUUGAUGACAGGUAAAAGGUAAUAUUUUUUUAAAAGUGAACUAUUGCCUCUAUUAUCUCAAUUGAUAGAACUUUGGUUUUUAGAUGAUGAGGACUGUAUUUACCUUUCUGGAAGCUGAGAAAAGAAUACAUACAGGCUUAUAAUUAUUUCAAAUACAUUAGCAUUGUGAUCUUGAAAUAUAAAGUUUUUUCUUACAAUUUUACAUUUGAUUGUACAUACUAGCUAACCUUGUGAUAUCGAGUUUAUGUUCCAAUGUAAUCAAACCAGUCACCUUCUAGAGAAGAUCAAUCGAUAUAUCAUUGAGAAAGUUCAGAGGGUGAAAUAUUAUCAAUACAGAAGGUGAGGAGCUAAGCUAGUUGAAUAAAGAGAUUCAGAUUGUAUAAAUGUAUUAAAAAUAGAUUGUCUGCUUGUCAAUGAGACUAACAUGUUAUGUUGUUUUAUGUCGACUCGACUUUUGUUUGCCUAACAAUGUUAGCAUUUUAGGGAAGAACGACUUCUUCUUUUUCUUUCCAUCCUUAGUUUCUGACAAUGUUUCAGAUCUACCCAAGCCUUUUUGUUUCCGUUCCUUUGCACUUGGCUCUUGGGGAGCUGGAGAAUCUGCUUGCUCAUCAGUUGUUGAUUCUUUUACCUCAAUGUUUGUCCUUGGACUUGUUGGACUUGCUACCUCUGGGUUAGAUUUCUCCUCCUUCCUUAGUUGCUCUUGUUCUGUCCUCAACAAUCUCAACUCUUGUUCUACUGCUAACUUUCCUUCCUCGGUCUCGCUCUCCUUAUCAAUUGCAGCUUUCAGCGCUUCCUGUCUAGCCACUAGUUCACGACUAACUUCUUCAAGCAUUUCCUGAUAUUUUGCUUCGGAUUCCUUAGCGGCCUCAAUUUGUGAAAUUGCUUCUGUCAUCUUGAUUCUGGCCUGCUCCUCGGCCUCACGAGCACGUUCGCUGAGUUCAUUGUAUUCCUCUAGUGAAAUAGUUACUGUGGUUGGUGAAUCUUCUUUUGUGGUUUCAGAUGAAUCGCUACUCUCUUGUAGUGCUUGGAUUGCUGAUAAUGCUAACACUUUUGAGGCAUUUGAAGCUUCAAUCUCCUUCUGAGCUGCAAGUAAUCUACUUUCAACUGCUUUUGAUUCUGCCUUUGCUUGUUCUGCUUCUAUCUUUAUCUUCUGGAGCUCUUCAAGAGCUAUCUGAGCAAUUGACUUAGCCUUAUCAACCUCCUCUUCUGCUUGUUUCAAUUGAUUAGUCAAGUCUACACUACUUUCUUUAGCUUCUUUUACGUUUCCCUGAACAACAUCUAUUUCAGACAUGUUCUUAUCUAAUUCAACUUCAAGUGACACAGCUGUGUCGGAAGGCCUGACUUCCCUCUUCUUAGCGGUGGUCAAAUUAGAUUUCUCCACUUCAAGCUCUGAUUUUAGUGAAGUAGCAGCCAUCUUCAAGCAUUCUACCUCAGCAAUUGCUUUCUCUAUGUUGAGCUUUACUUCUUCCAAUUCCUUCUUCGUUGAAUCAACCGCCAAAAGUGUAGCUGUAUCUAUUUUCUUCACAAUUUCAGAAACGUCACCUUCCAAGACCCGUUCAUCACUUAUCUCCUCUCUCAUUACCGAUUCCAUAUAGGCCAUCAUUUCGGCUUUCAGAUCCGAUAACAACGUCGAGGCAGUAUCUACUUUCAAUUUAAGAUCUUCAAUCGACAGAACUUGCAAAUUUAGUCUACAAAACUCCUCUUCUGCAUCAUCAAGCUCCUUCCGCCAUUUAAAACAAUCCUGCUCUUUCGCCAAGGCAGCACUCAUCCUUUGCUCUUCUGCUUCUAAAUGGGAAGCUUGUGCAGACUGCAAUGAUUGCUUUAAAGCAACCAGCUCCAUAGUCAGCUCCUCAAGUGCCUUCUCACCUUCCACAGACGCAGCAAGAACAUUCUCGGCAUUUUUCACAGCAGCGUCUCUCUCGCACACUAACGAAGCAAACUCGUUACGUAGUAUUUCCAGUUCUUCUUUAAUAGAUUUCUGCUCUGAAACAGCAGCAGCAUGCCCCGCCGUGGCCAUCUCAAGCUGUGCCUUUGCAAGAGCAUCAUCAUUCUCCUGAUCAGUGGUUCCUUGCUUCAUUUCCUCUAGUCUUAGCUUAGCAAGUUCUGAAUCUUGUUUUGCCUGUUGCUCUUCCAUUUGAGCAACCUCCAAUGCAUGCUUUAAUUCUUCUAUGCGUUGUUUCGUGUUUUCGAGCUCAUUCGACACUUGGAAUUCUUCCACCCCAAAUUCAUCCGACUUUUUCCUACAAUGAAGAAUCUCCUCCUGCACAUCCUCAAGUCUUUCCUCUACUGUCCUACUUCUCUGUAGAAGCAGAAAACAGAAUAAUAAAUACCUAUCAAUCACCUUGGAACUAUUGAAAGAUUUUUAUGUUAAGAAAGAAGCCUAAAUUAUGUGCAAUGUGAUAGUCGGUCAACAACCAACAAGAACAAAUUCAAUUAUCUUCCCUCAUACACAUUGGACAGAAAUUCUCUGAAUUCUGUGGUAACUUUGCAGUCAGAUAAAUAACUACACUACAACACACUCAAUCAUUUUUCUUCAUCUAUACUCAAAAGGGAAACGAAGAACAUGAAAAAGUUAGCCAAAAAGCAUAAAUACCUCCACCAUAGAAUGGACACGACGAGCUUUCCAAUCAACAAUCCCUCCAAAUUUAGAGACAGCAGCUUUAACAGAUUCAAUAGGUGCCUUAGUUUCAAUAAACCCUUUAUUCAAACCACCUUGCUUGAGAUCUUUAGAAGAACGAACUUCCAUUGCAACGUGAUUCCCCUUUUCCUACAGCAGAACACACUCAUCAACAAGAAUUAUUUCCAAAAACUAAAACACAAUUAGAAAAAAGAAGACAGAAGAAAGAGUGAUGUUGUUGUGACGACAGAAAAUUACUUGAGAAAUAACAGAAGGAGAAUCCUUGGUAACAAAGAAUUUGGGGGUUUCAGAAUAGAUUACGCCAUUAGCAACAGGAGCUGAAUAUAUAACUCCAUUAGCAACAGGACCUGUUGGACCUCCACCUUCAAAAUUUAUGUUUGCAUUACAAGCAAUGAUAGUAGGAGCUUCAGUUUCAGAUCCUGUCAUCUUUUAAAAAAAUCCUGCGUCUCUGUUUUGAAGUUACAUGUUGAGUUGAAUUGCCUUCAUUCAACGUUACAGCUACAUCCCCCAAUUAAAAAAGAAAGUAGCAAAAUGACAAUCCAUAAACACAAAUCCCAACAAAAAAAAAAAGAAAAAAAUCAGAACCCAAAUGAAUCAAUUUAUCAACAAACUCUUAAAACCAGAAACCCAAAUUGUAAAUUGAAGAAGACAACACAUUUUGAACGAGAAUUCAAAAAGUCAAUAGAAGGGAAAAUCAGGGAGAAACGUACCAGAGAGGGAAAACGGAAAUGAAAAUGAAACAGAGGAGGAAUGGGAAAUGGAAAUUUAAGGAUAGAAUUAUUUGAUAGAAGAAGAAAAGAAAAUGAGGUGGAAAAUUGAAGCCGAGAAUAGAAAGAAUGAAAAUGGGAGGUGGAGGGGCGCGUGGAGUUUCCACCUCUUCCUCUUCCCAUGGACAUCAUCCAUUGCAUUCUCUCAGCCCUUCUCUAUUUCUUUUCUUUUUCUUAUCUUGUUUGUCAAUCGUGUAUGGAUUAACUGAAAUAAUUUGGAGUUAAACAACUCAUGAUUUUGAGGUAUCAAAACCGUAAAUCAAAAUAUGAGUUAAUAUAGUGUGCAAACUCAAACCCACUCAUCAUAAUAAUCUUUUAGUUUCUUACUUCUCUUGUAAUACCAACUUCUUCCUAUUUUUGUUAUUACAUGGACAUAUGUUUUAUUGGAAAAAUUAAAUAAAAAUCAAUCCUUUUAAAAGUUUUCAAAAUCUUUCAUUUGUUUGUUCUACAUUCACUACUACAAGAUUUUUUUUUUUUUUUUUUGAAGAUUAUUAACUCUCCAACGUUUAAUUAUUAACCUUUGAAGAUUAGUAAUUAUCCAAGGUUUUACUAACCUGGUUAAAUUAUUCACUGAAGAAUGUUUAUUAUCAAAUUAUUUUUUCUGAAGGUUUCAUAGAAGAACUUUUUCAAUAAAUGUGUAAAAUUUUCAAAAUUCUCUCGCAAAACCUUUUAACACAUUUAUACAAAUUUCAAAAUGUUUUUACUAAUCCAUCUACCUAAUGGUGGAAUAUUGAAUUACAAUGUUAAAAAAUGACAAUCUACUACAUCAAAAUUACAAUUUCAAAAUGUUCUAUAACAUCAAACUACAACACUUCAUCAACUAGAGAAAUGUUUGCGCAUCUCUGCCAUCAUAGUUUGGAAUCAAUUCUCAAAACGGUUUUCUAGUUCGCUAAUUCUAUUCUGGAGUGUUUGUACCUCAACUUUUCUUUGUCGUUCAGAUUCGUGAAGACGUUUUUAGACUCAUUAAGGUGACGCUCAAGAUCGUGUACCUUAGACGAUUACUCAAACAACUUAGAAGUGGUAACACCUACCCCAUAACGACCACGAACACGUCCAUGUUUCUCCGGUCCAAAUACUUGAGAAGCAUACAAUUUAAGUUCCGACUACAAAACACAAAUUCACAUUUAAUAAUUUUGUUGAAGAAAAUAAUGGUUCAAAUACGACAAAGAGGAGCCAUGAAAACAAACUCAAUUCAAAGUUGGUUGAUUUUCCUAAAUUCACAACAAUUUUUCAAAUUAUAUCUUUUAACUUAACUAGUUUAUGUAGUGAAGAUGGACAAGUUUUGGUUUCAUUUAUACUAAAGAAACAUAGAUUUUUUUUCUUGUGGAACCUAGCUAAGAUCCACAAAACCAGCUUGAAAAGCCACAAUACCAAAGAAAUUUUCUCAUGGAAUCUAGCUUAUAGCAAGUUGAACAUACACAUUAUAUGACAAGAAAGUUAGAGUUAUGUUGUCGUUCCUGUUUUAAUGUUUUAUGGAUUUUCCCUCUUCGUUUUUAACAUUCAGGUUGUCUUCGGCUUUUCCUAUAUGUUCGUAUAACAAAAACCUGGGGUAGUUUUGCAAAUACUUCUCCUAUGAAUGAAAGUGCUAGGUAGAUCUUAUGGACAACACUAUAGUGGAAUGCCUCCUGAUUCUUGUGGCUUUAAUCAGAACCAUCAUGAGACUUGUAGACAAACCUUUCAAAAUACUCACCAUGUCAACCCAGUGGCUUCAAACGGAAAUUCUAAAACAGAAGAAGCCAACAAAAAAAAUGUCAAAUUCCAAAAUCCAAACUCAACAAUUAAAAAAAUGAAACAUGUGCGUAAAAGAGACAACAUGUCUGAGUUCCAAGUCUCAUUAACAAUCAACAAAAAUGGGUCUUAAACAAAGGUAAGAUACAUAAUCAGAAUCCAACCCUGAGAAUAGCCCAAAAGCAGAAGAAAAUAGUGAAAAACAAUAUGGUAAUGUGAUACAGGUUAAAGAAGAUCAACCUAAGACUUAAGACUCAAAAAGAGGUAAAAAAAAGUAAAUAGGUGAUGUAAAGUUAAUACGUAGCAUAUGUUUUAGUGAAUGAGACUUUUUAAGCUCAUAUUAACUUUUCGGGUGAAAAUGUAAAGUAAAUACGUAGCAUAUCCAUCUCACAUUGGAGACUUUGAGCUUCUACAGUUAAAUAAGAUCUCAAGUUAUGAUGAGAAACGUACCCAAAUUCUUGCAAGGAAAGUAAAAGUUUUGUGCAAUCGGAUGAUAGAAUCCAUAAUAGAAUUAAUGAAGGUCGUUUGGUAGAUGAGAUGAGAAAAAAGUACUCCGUACACACGCUCAGAAUUAAAACUUUAAGAGACAAAAGUCCUUACGGAUGAAGAAUAAUCUAACAUCCAAAUUUUGAAGUAAUUUCAAACUAUCUUGAAUUAAUUGUUAUUGUCAAUUCGAGUGAGUUUUUCAUUUUCUUUUACAAAAAAGGAAAAAACACUUAACAUCGAUCCCUUUUAGUUUUUUUUCUUUUAAAUUCUACCCCAAACUACCUCAUAAACACCUCUAUAACUUGGAGCCAUAAAAUUUCAAAAUAAAGUUCAAAUUUUCAUAAAAUUGGUUAGAAUUGCACAUAGACUAAGUCAGAAACAAAUCACAAAAGGAAAAGGGAAAGAGAAAAAGGAAGACCAAUAUGAAAGCCAACAUUUGAUCAACCAUCACAACUCAUCUUUAAAGAUUGGUAAAAGCAGAUGAACAUCGUGUUAGAUUUAUACCCAAAAUCAAAAUGUGCAUCUUAUUGAUAACACACACUGCGCUAGCUACCGAUCUAUCUACACAAGUAAGAUAAUUUUUCUCUACAUAUUUUCUGCAAUCCUCAUCUCAUCUCCUCGAUCCCCACCUUACACUUCAAUGGUGCAAAAGGAAUCCGAGCACAACGAAAAUCCUAUCAACCAAUAAGCCCAUUGACACCUCCAUAAUUUACCAAUCAAAGAAAAGCUUAUGGGUUCAAGAAAUAAAGACUUAAGCUUUGGAGUUUUGGGCUCCAUAUCCUAACAUUUCCUAUCUCUCAAAAUGGCCCCUCUUGUUCAACCUUUGUUCUAAUAACCAACCACAUCCUCCGCAUCAACUCCCAACCUACAAAGAAAUAUUUCUUUGUGUGUUUAAAUUUGAAGACGAUGUAGCUAGAAGGAGAGAGGAGUAUCAAAUGUCAUUAAUUGGAAAAUACAUUUACUAUACUAUAUUUGAAAACUAUACUUAAAAGAAAGUGAUAAAAUAUGGUUGAAUUGAAACCCAAUUGAGAAGUAUUCACACAUAAAUUAUAUUAAAAGCAAGUAUACAUAUAUGUAUGUAUGUAUCAAAAAUCAUCACAAGUAAGAAAAAUAAAAGGACGAAAAAAUAAAAAUAGAAAUGAACAAACUUUGAUUUGAUUUCUAAACCAAAUGAAUCCGUCUAGGAUCAGUGAUAUUAAUGCUCCAAUGCUGAUCCUCAUAGCCAAUAUUCUUAGCCAUUUUCCUAUCCCAAUCCAACUCAAUCCUCCUUCUCUCUGUAAGCUUACAAAAUGAUUGCAACUUCUCAUCCAUCGCGUCAUGUAGCUUCCACCAUCUUUGGUGAGCCACAUCGCUAGCGUAAACCCGUUGGUCGUCUAUGUUCCAAUUGCAAUCGUAGUCCCUAUAGCAUAACCAUGGCUUCAAACCUAAGUAAUGUAUCGCAUAAAGCUUCGGUGGAUCCGCUCCGAACAUCUCGUUCUUCACACUCCUCUCUAGUGUUGUGUUCGACCAAAAGUUCUUUAGGAAGUUUGUUCGUCGUGGUAGCCUGUGCCACCACACGAACACUUCGUUCAGAAAUCCUGUUAACAUUAUAUCAAUAAUACAAGAUAUUAAACUUCUAGUUAUAAAUUAAACACAACUAUUAUUCCGGCCGGUCGAAAAAAAGAAAACUGUAAUCUGAAAGCAUUCGAGUUAAAAAGUGAUCUAACCUUGAUCACCUCCGUUGUAGGAGACGAUCUCGUCACGCCGCUCCAUGAAAACACGAAACGUACAAUUGGAGGGCUCGAUGACCAUGAUACCAGAGUUGAAGAUGGAGUUGUCAUUGCCGACCGCGGACAUCUGAGGGAAAUGAAAGAGUAGGUCGAGAUUGCGAAGAACGAUGAUGUCAGCGUCAAUGAAGAUGAUCUUGUCGUAGUCAGUUAGCUGCCAUAGCCGAAACUUGCUGUAGUUGUAUUCAUUGUAAGAGUCUUUCUCGGCUCGCGGGUUUCGGAUCCGGGUUAUGAUCCGGAUCUUCCACCCGGCUGAGACCAAGGCAGCGCGUUUGGGCAUGGAGAUAGAUUCGUCCAUUAGGAGAAUAAGAUCGCGCUUUGUUCGGGUUUGGAGUAGGCUUUGAGCCAGGGUAAUGGCGCCGCACACGUAAGCUUCUGAAGAGUGGAUUACCGUGGCGUAUGCUUCUCGUUUUACCGUCUUUGUUAAACUUUGGAUUUUGGAAAGAUCGUACACUUUCUCCACUCCUAUAAUUACAUGGACAUCCACGUCAGCAUGAAUAUAACACCAUGGAAAUUUGUAGGAAGAAAAUCAAUAAUUUAACACAUCAAAAGAGUAUGUUCGUAACUAAGUUAGUUGCGAAUUUAACGUAAACACAAAUCAUUCCCACGUGGGACCCCGAUGAUAAAAAGAAAAGAAAAAGGCCAAUUUCAAUUCUCAACCAAAACUCAACCAACUCUUAACUUAGUAAUCAAGCAACCAUCUUCUUCCUCUCCAAUCCCCCAUUUGAAAAACAUUCAGAUUUUGAAAGUUCUAAAUCGAAAUCAUCAUAUAUUCAUAUUCAAUAUAACUCAAAUACACUUAACAUCUUACUUGCAUGUUAUGUACAUAUGAGUAACGUACCUCGAUCCCAAAUGGGCAUUGCCAAUUGACAAGACCCAAUCGGCAAUGAAACCUUUUGCUCCAACCUACUCAUCUCCGGCUCAUAAAACCACCAAUCUCCCUCUCGCCCGAUCAAGUCGUUGCAUCGAAAAAGCUCCAUCAUCGGUCGACAUUUGCUCAAAAACGCCACCUUCGUUCGGGAAAACCAGUCCCUCUUACCUUUCUUUGCAGCCAUGUUCGCCGCAAUCAAAUGUAUUUGAAGUCGGAAUACGUCCCUCCCCCAACUCUCCUCCGGGUAUUGACAUGGCAGCUUCGCCACUAUCAUGUCGACUUUUUUAUAUCUUCGAUAAUCCGGUAAUGGUAUCUCUGGACAUGAUGCACCAUCAAGGUCUUCCUCUUCGUCAACCCACUCCGGAAACAAAUGCUUCCACUCGAAAAAUUUGGACACCUGUUGACGAAGAAUGUGAAUAAGUGAUGAUGCUUGACAUGACUUUUCAAGUACUUACAAAUCAAACAUUUAUACGAAGACCACCUUCUCGAAACCGACAUGUAUGAUAUCAAAACUCGACUCCCAUUCACUGACAUCUUCUUCAUCCAAAUUCACCAUCCCAAUUUUUGUUGAUUUCCCCAUUUUCUUCCAAAGCUUCAUUGGUAUUUCCAACUUUGUCAUAUUCCUCCUCAAAUGUAAAGGCAAUCUUGGUUCAGUCUCCUCCAAAACUGCCUUCAUCUACCAAAUUAAAACCAAUUUUUCAAUACAGAGAGUUCAAAAAAAUAUACAGUAAUUAAGUUUAAGUAAUAUAUAUAACAUUAUUUCAACCAUCAAUUAAAGCAGUACACACAAAAAAAAAACAACACUAAGUUUAGCUCACCUAACCUUGGGAUGACACUCGUGUAAAGAACACGAGACGAAGGAAGCAGCAUUGAGAGAAUACGGGGCGAAAGACGAAGAAGGACGGGGAAGGAGGAGGGCAGCAUAAAUGAGCAAGAAGAAAGCCAGAAAGAACAAGUUGACUCUGAUUAUCAAAGCUUUAGCCUUCAACAUUCUUUGAAGACCCAAUCCUUCAACCAUGUUUGAAUUAAUUGCUUUUUGGGAGAGUGAAGAAAAUUGGAGAUGGUUUUUUAUAUAACAAACAGGCUUUUGUAUAUAAUAUUGGAAAUGGUUAAGAAUGAUUAGAGAGGAGGAAUGUAAUAAUAUAGUAUUUGAUUAUGAGAGAAUUAGGAAGAGAUUAAUUGGGAUUUAAUUAAAAGAGCAAAAGUAGAGUAGAGAUUAAUUAAAAGAAAGUUGAACCAUUGUGAUGCCUCCAAGUGUCACUUUAUUUGGAAUUUAGAUUUCCUUUUCUUCUGAACAAACACAAACAUCAAGGAAAAUAAAAAAAAUUAGCUAAGGUUGGAGCAAUUUAGGGUUUUCUUUGCCAUGUUGGGUAGUGUUGGAUAGUUGUUAUAUGUAUUUGGUAAUAUUUGGCAUACCCAUAGAACUCAAUCUUUAUUUCGUAUUUCCCAAUAUGUCCUUUCCCUUAAUUAGUUAUGUACCUCUCCAUCAAACUAGGAAACAAUUACUAUAACAUAUCCAUAUUUUCUUAAUUUUUAUUUUGAAAUCAAAUUCUUCUAAAUUUAUAUAUAUAUAUAUAUAUAUAUGACCAAUUAAAAAUAAAAUGAAUAUAAAGUGAAAGUGUACGAGUAAUCUAGAAGGUGAGUGAUGGGUAUAAUUGUAAAAUGGGGGUUCCAGGUGGAGAGGCGAGGGAAAGAAAGAGGAAAGUUUGUUGGGGAGUCGGCUUCGUGCAUGCAGUGAAAUGUCGCUUUUAUCCGUUAGCAAAUCGCAAGUCUCCACCAAUUCCAAAAUUUCCCUCAUUUUCUUUUUUAUUUCUUUUACAUAAUUUCCACUUCGUUCAUUCGUCGUCGUUUAGUGUCACAAGUAAGUUUGCUUUCACUUUAGGUUGGAAUAGCAAUAGGGAAAACGACACCGUAAAGUAACCACCAACUUUCUUCUAUUUUUCCACAAAGGCUCAUUAAUUAGGAUCAAAUGGCAAUAGCUAGCGUUUUAGUUAUGGUGAACCAUCCCAUUUCAUUUCACAAUUAUUGCCAUAAAACUUACCCUCUUUUGUUUUUUUUAAUCUAAUAAAUAUUCGUCUCAACAUCAUAGUUUUCGAUCGAAAAAAGAAAAAAUAAUAACACCAUCAUCACAUCUACAUGUACUUUAAUGAAUUCAGCAACAUUUGAGGUAUAUAUUGAUGUUGAGGAUAUUAGUUUCACCAUAAUAUUGUUUACUGCAACCAUAUAUAACAAUAUAUCAAUAUCUUUACUUAGCUUAGUAGUAAUUUUAGGUUUUUAAUACACUCUAGACGUCCUUACAUCUAAUCCUAAUGUGUUUAGAUUUUUUAUUUUUCAAAAAAGUGUACUAAAUUAUAACGUCUUUUAGAUCUUUCUAACGAUAUGAUGUUUUUAUUGAAUAAUAAACAUAUCUUUAUAAAAAUAAUAAUGACACUAAAAAUACAAGAAAUUAAAGAAAAAUACUAAUUUGGAGAAUUCAAAUUAACUUAUAUGUUAAUACCAAUGGAGUUCAUCACUUAACUCUUAACGAAAAAAAAUUUAUUUUUAUCAAGAAAUUAUUUCAGCCUCUAUACGGUUUCUAUGCCCUCUACCAUUAUUAUUACUCUGAUAAACACACAUGAAGAAAAACCCUACUUUAUAUUCUCAAAAUUGUUAUCAUUCUCAUCAAGGUAAAAGGUAAAGAAAAAAAAGCGUGCAAAUAUAAUUUGUACAUGAAAAACACACUUUUUAAACAUAUUAUUCUAUUUUUUUUAUUAAAUUAACGAAAGACUAAUUAUGUCAUUUUCAAGUAUAGCAUCAAAAUGAAAUAUAUAUAUAUAUAUAUAUAUAUAUAUAUAUAUAUAUAUAUAUAUAUAUAUAUAUAUAUAUAUAUAUUUUUUUUUUUUUUUUUUUUGCAAAAGACUACUUAUCAAAUUUCCGUUCUAUCCCAAUAAACAUAAAUAAAAUUUUGUUGUGUUUUGUAAAUAUUUUUUUAAAUUUUGUUCUUUACCAUAAUACUCUUAAUUAAUUAUCCUUCCCAACAACUAUGAUCUUAAAAAUUUUAUUUUUUCAUUAUUUCAAAUGUAUGACUCUAGUUAAAUUUAUGGAUAUAUAACUUUAAAUUUAAUAAAAGUAAAACUAUUAAACUCUUUUCCUAUCCCUUACAUUCAAAUUUUUAACACUUUUAAAAAGUGAAAAAAGAAAAAUGAAUUUAUGGUUGUGCAACUUGUGGGUGAGACUUUAGGGUAUGCCCAACAAAAGGAAUUUAUGGUUGUCGAUUAUGAGCGAGUCUAAAUUGGAUGCGGCCCAUGCUACACCAUCUCCAUACCUUUCCUUCCAUCAUAAUACACACACACAUAUGUAGAGAAUUUUGUGAUGUGACAAUCUACAAUUGAACAUUGGUAUUGGUAUAAAAUGCCAAAGAUGAGUACAACUAAGAAUAUACCUAAAUAUAUAUAUAUAUAUAUAUUGUUAAAAAAAAUAAGAGAAUAAACUUUAAAUGAUAAAUGAAUGGUAAAAAAGGACCAUUUAAAUAUAUUUUAAAAUAAAAUAGGUAAAAUAGGAAAUGUUCUUAUAGCACUCUUAUUAAUUUAAAUUUUUUAUUUGUAAAUUUAGCAUGAGCAUGAAGGUCGGUUGGAUUUUUAUAAAAUUUUCAAACUAUAUAUAUAUUAGCACGAUCCAUAGUCACACUUCCAACUCUAUAUUAGAAAAAUUCCAUCAAAUGAUAAAAACAUUUAGAAAGAAUAGUUUAAGAUAUAUUUUUUUUUUCAUAUUACAAAUAUAGCAAAUUAGUGAUAUCGAACACCUACUUCUUUUAAAUUUGUUAUUUUUAUAUAUUUAGAAAAUAUUGUUAUAUCGACUCUUCUAUUAUAAUUUUUUUUUGUUGCUAUGGAAAGCUCUUAUAUUUUAAUCAAGGUCUAAAGUUUGACAUUCUAAUGGAAUUUUUAGACUACAUUUUCCUCACCGCGUGGUAUAAAGUUAAAUUUUAGACUAUGAAUUGGUCCAUAGUUGGUUUUAAACCACAUAGUAAAGAAUAACUUUGUUGUCAUCUAAAAUUAAAAUAUUUUUAUAAGUCGUAUAUAUCUAUAAACAAAUCUUUUUCACGGUUUUUUUAAAUUUUAACCGUGGUACGUAGUAUUGAAUAUUUUGUAACAAUUUUUUUUUGUUAAUAUGUAAGGUAGAUGAAUCAAACCUCUAAUUUUGAAGUUAAUACCAUAAAUAUUAUGACAAUUGUUGAGUAUUAAACAACUAUUUUUGUUACUAUGAUUAAAGUUUGACUUUUGGACCAUCAUUUAAAUAAAACUAGUUUGAUUUUUUAUUUAUUUAUAACUUGUUUCUUAAAAGCCAUAGAAAGUAGAAGGAUUUUGAAGAUGAUGGUUAAGAAAAAAAACUACAGCAUAUCAACUCUUGUUCAUUUAUUGUGUAGUUUAAUGAGUUUAUUUGAACAAAAUUAUUCAAUGAGAACCUACUUGACCCUACAACAUUUAGGUGUAAAAGAAAUUUGUAGAAAAUUAAUGGUAUAAAAUUAAUUCUAGGUAUGUGUGGCCAUCAUGGAUCGACUUUAUGAUCUCUUAGUUAUUGACCCUUUUACCACUAGACCAAUCCAAGAUGGGUACCGUUGUAAUUAAAACUUAGCUUUGUUUUAUAUAUAUAUAUAUAUUUAAAUUCAACUGAGUAAUAUUUCCUACCUCUCAUCUCAUUAAUUAUUCAUAUUUUUGUUGUUAGUGAUCAAGAAGAUAGUGACUUUUCCUUGCAUCCUACUUGUAUUAAAAAAAAUUAUUUUAACAUUUAAAUUUCUGGAUUUCAAUAUAGCAUAUAUUUUUUUAUAUAAAAAAAAAACAUAAACAUACACAUUAAGAUAUAGAUGGGUUAUAGGUAUACUAGAACAUCUAUUAGAUAUGUGAACACUUUGUAGCAUUCGUAUUGUUGCUUUUAAAUUUGAAUUUUGCUUAACUCUACUCUUUCCUUUUCGCUUUGCUUUAUAGACUUACCUUUUAGCCUUUUUUCUCUUUUCUCAUCUCUUUUAGCAUCUAAUAAUUUUGAAUUAGAUGGAAGAUCAAAAGAUUAACACAGAUAAUUAAGUUGUGACGCUAUUUAAGUUUCUGAUAGAUUCUUUUUGACAAGGAAUUAAAGAAAUGAAAGAAUAUUAAAGAUGGUAAGAACUGCAUCAUCUAUGGGACUGGGAGAAUAUGUAUAUUAAAUUUUAUCAUCUCAUCUGGGUGUUCUAAGUCAUAGCUAUUUUGUAAUUAUAUAUGAAUUAUUCUUUAACACACUACAAUCAGAAGGCUUUCCUACGGCUCCUCUCUUUCUUGUAUUACAUUAUUCUCUUUCAAGUUUCUCUCCUACCUCGUUUUUGUACCACAUCUUUAUGUGAUCUCCAUUGUGUCUUGUGAAUAAUAUUAUAAUAAAAAAUCCAAAACAGAUACUUUGUAUGGAUGAACAAGAAAUUUCCAGAUAUAAGGAAGACAACAAGAAUGAAACAUGAAUGAAUUCUGACUUAACCCAAAUAAUAAGAAGAAGAAAAAAGAAGAAAUUCUAUCCUGUGAAUCCAACUGAUAUAUGUACUAAAUAUAUAUAUAUGUAGUGGGGGAAUAUAAAAGUGUGAAUUUUGAAGAGACCAAAGAUGCUAUACCAAAUGUAUGGAGGAGGACGUACCGUACUCUAAAUGCUUUAACAUGGAGAAGUACUAUACAAAGAAGAACAUAUUCUCCAUAAUCUAAUUAAGGUUUCGGAUAUGUGUAAUUACCAAAAAUGAAAGCUUACCACACACACACUCACACACUUAAGGAUAUGCAUUAUAUUAUUGAUCCUUAGCUAAGGCAAAAAAAAAUUUCUCUCAAUCCUUCAUUCAUUUAUUUAUUUUAUUAUUGUUGUUGUUGUUUUUCAUUAAUAUAUUGUUGGAUAAGAGAUGAAACUCUGCCUCAAUAAAUUCAUAAUCUUCAAUUGGUUAAAUUAUAACAAAUAUCCUCAAACUUUGUAUUUUAUUUCAAAAUUUCACAAACCUCGCUUUUGAAUUCAUCUUUGAUUUUUUUUUUUAGAAUUUAUAUGGCAAUUUAUAUUUUCUUUCUAAUUUUGUUUCGAAAAUUUUUAAAGGAAAUUCUAUCUUCUUGAGAUUAUUUUCUUUUACAAAAAGUUAACGUUAUGCUUGCUAUUAUGGCUACUUUUGAAAGUAAAACGUAUUUUUUAAACAAAAUAACAAAAUUUAAGGACUUUUUUUUUCCCUUUACUUCAAUAUUUUCAAUCCCAUCCUUUUUUUUUUCUUUUUUUUUGAAUUUUUGAAUUUUACAUUCUAGUAUUUUCAUGCACACAACAUUUUUCACAAACUAAUAAUAAUAAGAAAAUUGUUAAUAAAAAGUGAAUGAUUAUUAAAUUAUUUUUUCCAAGUUCUAAAUGUACUUGGACAUAUGAAUAUGCACUGAAAUAAUUUAAUUUUGACAUUUUAAACUCAAAACUUAGCUCAUCCAUUAACAAAAUCAUUGUUUUUCAAGUAGCAUAUGUUGAGUAUCAAUGAUGACACAUCUAAAUAUAUAUAUAUAAAUAAAUAAAUAAAUAAAUAAAUAAAUAAAUAUAUAUAUUAGUUUAAAAUAAUUAAGAAAAUACAAGUUUGUAUUUAAUUAAACCAAAAAAAGGACAUAUAAGCUUAGCUUUUUUUUUUUUACCAACUUUAAUUAAAACAUUUUAUUUCACAGAUAUCCUUCAUUAAAAUAAUCAAGGACAAAUCAUAGGUUACUUUUAAAAGAUUUAGAAAAUUAGUUGAUUUUGGGUUGUAAUUUGGAUUUCAUAAUCAAAAAAUUUUUUAGAAGUAAUUAUGUUCUUAACAUGAGAUUAUAUAUCAUUAAUGUUUUGUUCACUCCAAACAAAAAUGUUUUGUUCACUCCAAAGAAAAGAGAAGGAUCAAAAUUUUCAAUUUUUUUUUUUAUGAAAGUUUGCUAGCUGUAAAUAGAUAUGUAUGAACAUAACUAAUCAAUUACACUAUCAUUUUUGUGAAGAGUAAUGACUUUGCGGAUGCUAAAAGUCAAAAGAAGUUACUCGUAUUUACUUAAUAAAGAUUCUAGAAGCGCGUUCUUUUGAAGAAACAAGUAUGGCAUCAAACACAUCGGUUGACAUGGAUGGAGGAAGAAAUAAAGAAAAGGAAAGGAAAAGGAAGGGAGAAAACAAAGUAAUUUUAAUUCUUGUAUAUAUAAUUCAAUAAUAAACAUUACCCCAUCAACUUUUGCUAAGACAUUAAAAAUAAUUGACUAUAAGGACCAUAGACAAUUUUUAAAAAAAAUAUAUGUUUCUAUAUUUGAUGAUAAAAUGGUCUUUGAAUAUCACACCCCCAUUUCAUUAAUGCAUCUUUUACCACUUUUGGAUAGUAAGAAAUUGCAUGAGAAAAAAAAAGAGAAACACAUAAAAGAUCAAAUUUAAAAUUUAAAAAGAUUUGACAGAAAAUUUAUUUUCUAUGGAUUGAUUGCACCCGAUGAUUUUAAAAGGGAUAAAGAAAUAUUUUUAAAUAAUGAUAAAUAUAACAAAAUUUAUGAACGAUAAACUUAUAUUUUUAUAUAUUUACUUUUAAAUUUGAAUAAGUUAAGUAAAAAAAAUUGACAAUAAAAAAAAAUCACUUUUGACUCCGUUUGGACGUGGAAUCAAAUUCCUUUUACUUUAUAACUAAAUAUUCAUAUAACACGUUAAUUUAUUCUUAUACCAUGGUUAAUUGUUCCAUUAUUUUUAAUAUUUGGGUGAAUUUAUAAUCAUUUUAAAUAAUUUUAAUUUUACACCAUUUAAAAUGUUGGAAUAACAAGAGACAUAAGACUUAUCUUAAUAGUCUCCUAAAAUAUUAAGACCAAAACACAUAUCAUUAUUAUCCUUUGUUAAAAGAUAAAAGUUAUUGGAAUCUAAAAUUCGCCACGCUAACUUGAGAUAGUUCAACUAAUAUCAAAAUACUUAUCAUUUAUCAAUUGAUUAGAGAAGACUAGCACAUUCAAUAUUAGUUAACAGGGAUGCUUUCCCUCACUAUAAAAGCACAUUAAAAAGCCUAGUUUUCAAGCCCAACAAAAAACAAAUUAAAAGAUAUAUGUGUAUAUAUAUACAUCAAAUCUUAUUUCCUUUCCUCGUCAUCUAUUACGGCUUCUUCUUUCUUCUCUUGGAUGGGGAACUCCAAAAGCAAAACGUACAAACGAGUUCUAGUUCCAUUCUCAGAGGAGCAACUGGCCAACGUUUUCAAGAACCAUGACCGAGACGGGGAUGGGCAUCUGACGAAGGAGGAGUUGAAGCAAGCCUUCGAAUAUCUCGGCUCACGCUUCUGCAACUUCCGGGUAGAAGAAGCCCUACGUGCCGCCGAUACCAACGGGGACGGUGUCAUCAGCAUGGAUGAGAUGGGGAAGCUAAUUAAGUAUGCCAAAACUCGUAAAUACACUAUUAGUUAAAAAGUAAAUGUAUGUUAGCUAUAUCAACUUCAGUUGUUCUUGUUCACCUAUAUAUAUAUAUAUAUAUUAUAUAUAUGUCUUCAUAUAUUUAUCUGUAUUUGAAUGAGUGGAUUCGAAUUAAUACCCCUCUUUGUCCAACGAUAUAUAAAUAAUAAUAAAAAAAAUUGUUAAAUGGUUUUGUUGAUUGUGUAUUGAUUCGAUCUCACUCUCUGCUUGUCUCUAAUAUAAAGAAUGGACCUAAUUUAAUUUGCAGGGAGAUGGAACAAUAAUAUUAUGAUAUGAUUUGAACUCAUGAUUCGAUGUACGUCGUGUUUGGAAUCAUUUUUAAUUUUUUUUUCUCUGGAAAUAUUAAUAAUUUAGAGUGUAUUUAACAUAGUCUUCAAUUAUUUGAGAUGAUACUAAAAUUUUCUUUAAAAAAUUCUUAAUAAAUGAAAAGUAGAUUAAAGAAUUUGGAUUCAUUUAAAAUCAUCUUUCAAUGAUCUAGCUGAUGCCUUAUCUAUAAUAUAGUUUUUUUUUUUUUAACUCAAUUACCAUUUUUUUCUUAAAAUUAAUUUUGUUAAAAUAUAUCACAGUUCAAGUAUUGGCAACCUACGAUAUUAAUCCAUUCUAUUCUCUCUCAUGUAUAAUAACAAGAUUGCAUCUUGUAUAUAUACAAACACUUCUAUAAAUUUUCAAGGUCUUUUUAGCACAAUAAAGCUAGGAGAAAUUUUGGUCUUCACAUGCAUCAUUUUAAACUUAAAAAUAAAAUAAUAUUACCAAUAGUCUAAAAAUUCUUCCAUAGAUUCAAUUCUUUUACUAAAUAGAGUUUUCGGUCUCAUAUUUUGUCACCAAGUUUUAGACUAGAAUGUUUCCUUUAAUAGAACAUUUAGAGUUAAAUGACUUUCCACUUCUAGUUAAGAUAGAAGAUCACACCAAUUAUUACAAAUGUACUAAACUUGUUUGGACUAAUCGUUUUUUUCGAAUAAAACGCAAAACCAUAGUCAUGGAUUUGUUUAUACCCUAACAUGAAAGAAUAUUGAUUGUUUAUUUAUUUUUAAUUCUUUUUUGUUAAGCUUCUCAUUAGGUGUUUUUAAUAUUACAAUAAUAAAAAUAAAAAUAAAAAUAAAGGGAAGUUGGUCAAAUUUUGGAAUGAAAUUCGUGAAAAUCUGAUUAGUACGGUCUCCCUAUCUUAGGGGCAAUUCCAAUUUCUAAAUACACCAAAUAAAGUAUUAACAUAUAUAUAAUACUCCAAAAUCAUUUAUAACUAUAACAAAAAAUUUAAAUACAAACCUAUCACUAUUUAGAAUUUAACGACCUAUAAUAAAAUUUAUGAAUAACAAAUUUUACUAUAUUUUAACACAUAUUCAAAAAAAUUUCUUCAUCUUGUAACUUAUAUCUAUAUAUAUAUUAAUAAUUUUAAUCGUCAUCACCAAAUAUAUUUAUAUGUGAUCGACUUGAAUAUAGUUCAACUCAUUAAAACAUUAUACUUAUAUUUUUGCUUGAGAUGUCAAAUAUUCUAUUUUCUCUCUUUACAACUGUGUCCAUGUAAGCAAUGGAAUCCAAUUACAUCUAAUACCCAUCUGUAUUUACUUCUCAAUUUAGAAUUACUUUCCUUUCCCAUUCAAUAUACCUAAUAAAUUACUUAUUGAUAUUAGAAUGCAAACUAUACCCAUAUACCCCAAUUGUGAGCAUCUCAACAAGAAAAAUUCUUUCAACGAUGAAUUGUUUUUUUAAUUAAAUAUUUUGAAGAUACAGUGGUAUUUUAUAAAAAGAAACAAAAUUUUGAGCAUUUUUUAUUGGUAAGAUUAGGUAGAUAUAUAUAAAGAUAUUUAUUUAUCAAUUCCUAUUAAUCAAUUUUAAUUAAUAAUCAGAAAGUUGGUAACAACUUUUUCUGUGGGUUUCUCUCGUAAUGUUUUAGAGAUAGAUAGGGUUUAGAGAAAGAAUAUGGAGAUUUGUAUUAGAGUUUACAAUCAUGAUUACAACAAAGAUAUGACUAAGCUUAAAUAUUAAAGUCUAAGGUCCAAUGGACUUGUGUACAUGUAAAAUAAUAAACUAAUACUGAUUGUUAAUUAACAUCAAUUAGCAUAUAUAAUAUAAACCUUAUUAAUACACAUCAAAACUACAUACUUUUAACCCUUUCAAGUAUGCAUUACUGUGAUUCUUUUUGUAACUUAAUUUAGCCUCCACUUUAAUAUUAUUUUGUUUCUAUAAACUAAAUUUAUAAACACUACUUGUCCAUAGGUUUUUAUAUUUUCUAAUUAUCUGUCUUCUAUAAACAAAUACAAAAACCAAGUUUUAGAAACUAAUUGAAAAACUAGUUUUUUUUAAAAAAUAUUUAUUUUCGUUUUUAGAAUUGAACAUUGAAAAUUUACCAUAAAAAAAGAGAGAAAACGAACUCAUUUUUCUUCUUUUUUUUUUUCUUUUUAAGAUAAAAUAAAAUAUUUAUAAAAUGAAGCACAUUACUUUUGUUGUUGUGUGUUCUUUUAAUGUCAUUUCUUGAAUAUAUUUUAGAAUUUUGAUUGAUUUUGAGUUAAUCUUGACCAUCUAUCUCACACGAGAACAAUAGAAAAUAUAAAUCUACUGUACAUAUCAAUUUGUAAAUACAAGCUAUUAAGGUUAAACAUGUUAACCACAGACGAUUAUUUUUAUGUAUCUCUAUAAUACUAUGAUACAUAUUUUUGAGUUUACACCUUUGUUUUUUAUUUCAUAAAAAAAUUAUACCAAUAAAUUAAAAAUAAUUGCCCCAUUUCAAUUUUCGAAGACAUUGUAUUUUCUCUACUGCGCCAUUGACACUACCCAGACCAUUUGUAUUAUGUUUGGUGUGUACUCAACCUAACAACUUUCCCUAUUAAGUCACACCCUACUUUUAAAAAGAAUAUGCUUUCCAUCAAAUGUUGAAAUUAAUCUUCGUAUAAAAUGGAUCUUUGGGAAUUAAAUUUGUUAGCUACCAACUUUCUGAUACAGAGAAAAAUAAAACUUAUUAUUUACAAAAGUAAUCUCUCGUAAUGAUCUAGGGCAUGAAAACUUGAGUAUUAUGUAUUUUCAAGAAAGACAAAUGAUAAAAACUACAUUGAUGAUAUAGUUGUAAAUGUAUACCUUCAAAUUUUUAAUUGGAAAAUCAAAGGUUAAAAUUGAACCCUUAAACUAAUUACAUAAUUGUAGGAAUGGUAACAAUUGUUUGCUAUGUCUAAAGAAUCAAUUUUUAUCAUUCAAGGUCCUACUCUUAAUAGAAGAAACAAAACACCUUUGAAGAUGAUGAGUCCACCUGUGCAUUAUUUUACAUGUUUAUAGAUAGUUCUUAAUAUAAAAAGAAAAGUUGAAAUGUAAGAACUAAAUUUAUAUAUAUAAAGAAAAAAAAAAACACAUGUUUCUAAAAAGUUUUAAAUUAAUAGAAAUUAGGUGGCCUAAAAAUUCCACUCCUUUUAUCUUCCUUCAUAGGUCAAGAAAAAGGGAAACCAACAAUUCUCCCUCUCUCCUUCGUAACAGAAGAAACACAUGUUCAAAAAAAUUGAGAUUUGGUAGGCUGCUUGCUUCAUGAAGAUGGUGAGUCCAAACGUGUGAGAAAGAAACACCGCACGUUCAUUUUACAUGUUUAUAGAUAUAAAUCUCUCCCAUUGUAAAUUAAACCAACACAAAAGUCUUUCCCUCCUCUUACCUGUUCUUCUUUUAGAGCAAAACCCUUAUACACGUAUUAUAACCCAUCCAUGGGGACCUCCAACGGCUUGAUUUUUAAGUGUUUUCCAGCGUCGUUGACGGAGUUUGAGGUGGCCAAAGUUUUCAAGAACCACGACAAGGAUGGAGAUGGAAGGUUGACCAAGGAAGAGCUGAAGAGCGCCUUCAAGUAUUUGGGCUACAAGUUCACCACCUUUAGAGUCCACCAAGCCCUCCACGCCGCUGACGACAACUGCGACGAUGUCAUCAGCUUUGAGGAGAUGAGUAAACUUAUUAUGUAUACCGCAGGUUCAUAGCUAUAUGUACUCUCUUGGUGCAAGACCGCAGUUUGUUUCCAGUCGUCAUAUAUUUCAAGUCCGUGUGACAAAUCUCUAGUCAGAGACAUAAGUUUAACCUUGUAAUUUAGCUUGAAAAACCAUUAUAUAAGUUGUUCCUAUAAGAUAUAACUAUUCACCUAAAUAUAUAAAAGCAACAAAAUGAAAUUCUGUGUAUAUGACACACAUGUACCUGUGCAGGUGCGUAAAAGUUCAUUUUGUUUGCUUAUAUAUGUAGCAGCAAGCACACAUGGCCAUGGAAUUUUGGGACUAGUGUCUAGAUUUAUAUCUCUUAAGACUAUUUUCUGCCCCAGUGAAGCAACCACAUGUUACAAAAACAAAUAAUAUCAGAACAAUGAAUAUCCUUUUUUUUAAUUUAUGGUAUAAAUACUGUCUACAUUGUCGCGACGUGAUCGCUACGCGGAGCGGCCGACCUCUCCGUUUAUUUAAUUUUAAUAAAUGAAUAGUUUUAGAGUCGCCACCAAUCAUAUUAAGGUGUGAUUGGUCACCCAAAAAAGAAAAAAAAUGGUCUACGUAAAUUAAAAAAUUUAAGUUCGGAAGUGAGUUGUGUAGGGAAGUUGUUACACCCUACAACACCCACAAAAUGGUUAGCCAAUUUUAUCUUUUAAAUUAAAUAUAGAGGUUCACAAAACAAAGUUUUUAUUUAGGUUUUGUUUAAAUGUCUCAUGUUUAUCGAUUCAUAUCGAAGAAGAAAGUAAAACCUAAGCAUGAAUUGAUAAUUAUUGGUGGCAUAAGAGCCAUUAGAAAAUGAAGGUUAUUUUUAUUUUAGAAGAUUUUUUUAUUCAAUAUUAAGAUAUUAAAACUUGAUAUUUUAAUCUCUAUCAUAGGUGUUUAAUGAGAAAUUUCAUGUAUUAAUAAAUUCAUAGAAAACACUACUCAAUCUCAUUUAAAAUAUGAAAUGUGUUUAUUUAAAAACAAUCUAUUAAUUAAAAUUUCAAACGGAAAAAUUUCAUGUAUUUAUGGAAUUUAAAUUAUAAAAUCCAUAAAAAAACAAUAUUUUUCUCCAAUUUACAUUUUUAUAUUUCAAUUGGAAAAUGAAUAAUAACAAUCACAAAACAUUAUUAAAUUUGAAAAAUAGUUGAAGGAUAAUAUGGUGAGAUAAAAUAAAUACAUAAAACAAAUACAAGAUAAUGUAAGUAAUAUGCAAAAUGUACAAGAUGAUUAAUUAAUGUAGGAUGCAAGAUAAUUAAUUAAUACAGAAUGAUGCAAAAUAAUUAAUUAAUUCAAAAUGAUGCAAAAUAAUUAAUUAAUGCAGAAAGAUACAAAAAUAAUUAAUUAAUGCAGAAACAGAAAUAAGCAAAAUAAUUAAUUAAUUCAAAAAUAGGCAAAAUAAUUAAUUAAUUCAGAAAUAUAAAAAACAAUUAAUUAAUUCAAAAAUAUAAAAAAAAUAAUUGAUUAAUUCAGAAAUAUGCAAAAUAAUUGAUUAAUUCACAAAUAUACAAAAUAAUUAAUUAAUUCAGCAAUAUGAAAAAUAAUUAAUUAGGCCAAACCAGAUUAAUGAAUAAUUAAACGAGGAUGUCAAAUGGAUAAAAUAAUAAUUAACUGCAAGAGUGCCAUAAUAGGUUUAAUGCAAUAUGACCAUAAAUAAUCACAGUAGCCAAAUGAAUGUCAAAUAAUUUAAUAUAUAAUGCAAAUAAUUCGAACGAGUAAUUUACAUAAGAGGCCAAAUGAGUGCCAAAAUAAUUAACGAUGUGCAAAUAAUUAGCCUCCAAAAAUUAAAACUGUCAAAUACAUGAUACUAAUUAAUUAACCAUGUAUAAUUAAGAGUGUAUGUCAAAUGAAUAAUUAUUUUCAAAUGCAUAAUUAACACAUAUGUCAAAUUGAUAAUUAUUAACGCAAGAUACCAAAUGGAUACACCCAAUUAACGAAAAAUGUAAAAUGGGUGGCUAGAUAAUUGAAAAGAUAGCAAAUAAUUAAAUCAGUAUGCCAAAUUGGUGUCAAAUGGGUGCUAAAUAAUUAAGACAGCAAUCAAUUAAUUAACACAUCAUUUAAUUAAUUAACCAAAUGAAGUAAUUAACAUAGCACCCAAAUGGAUGUCAAAUAAUUAAUCCAUAACAGAUUAAUUAAGGUAGUAGCCAAAUGGAUGCCAAAUAAUUAAACAGAUGCAAAACAACUAAUUAAUCAACCCAACAAUCAAAUAGUCAAAUGAGUAUCAAAUUAAUUAACUAUAUGCAUGCAAUCAAAAUAGUCAAAUGGCCAAAUGAAUGUCAAAUAAUUAACUCAAGAUGCAACAAAUUAAAAAUGUCAAAUAUGACAAGUGCUAAUUAAUUAAUAGGUCAAAUGAAAUAUGUGUAUUGUCAAAUAUAGGAGGCUAAUUAAUUAAUCAUGCAUAAUUAUUAAUGCAGAAAUAGGUGUAAGUAAUUUACACAUAAUGAAUAUGAGAUGGGUGUCAAAUAAUUAAAAGAUAUCAAAUGAGUGUCAAAUGAUUAAAAGGAUGCAAAUAAUUAAAAGAUGUCAAAUGAUUAACACAGCAGCUACGAGUGAUUUAAAUGAAUAAUUAAGACAACACCCAAAUGAGUGCCAAAUAAUUAAGGCAGUAUCAUCAAGCAUGAAUAAAAGAAAUUAACUUAUAGAUCUGCCUUAAAUGCAAAAAGUUAUAUAUUCAUCAUCUUCACCUCUUUCUAAAAAAAUUUCUUUUACGUGUCUCUCUUCUCUAUCAAAUAAUCCUCCCAACAAAAAAAUUCUCCUAGCACCAAAAAAAUUCCAGCAAAAAAUUCUCUCAUUCUCUCUUUAUAAGGCAAUGUCUCAUUUUUUAGAUAGAAGUGGAGUAGUUUUAGAUAGUGAAGUGAAGUACGGAAAGGUGGAAGAGUGAGAGAACGUGAUAGAUUGAGAGAAAGUGGGAACGUAGUGAUCAAGAAAAACAAGAUGGUUGAGAAAAACAAGAAGAGAACAAAAACUUUUACUUUUACUUUUAAAUUUUAAAUAAGUUUUAUUUUUGUUUUUGUUUUAAAACAUAAAUUUAACUUAAGAUUUAAAAUUUAAAAUUUAAAUUUAAAUUCUUUUAAAAAAUAAUAAAAACAAAAAAACAAAACAAAAUACGAUAUCUACACACAUAUGUAAAAUGGCACCCUACAAAGGGUCUCGUACCCUUCAAAAAUUUACCCAUAUUUCAAAUUGAAAUGGGAGGAAAACUUAAGCCAGGGUAUAUAACUCAAAAGGAUACAAAAUCUCAAAAAUAGUUUUUCAUUGCAAUGAUAAUAUCUUGAGUUUCUUUUUAGGAAAAUUGCAAUGGAAGACUAUUUUAGAAAUAAUAAUUAAGAAUAUAGCAACAUUUUAAAAAAAUUACAAAUAUAGCAAAACUAUCACUGAUAGACUUGUAUCGCUGAUAGACUUCUGAUAGAACUAAGUCAUGCACAGCGGAAAAAGAAUCGAAUUUCUACCCUAAUUGCCAUAAUUAACAUGUAACCAUAAACUAAUCAAAUUAGAGUUUUAAGAAGUAUUACCUUUGAAGCUUUCAAAAGGUUUGAUGUCUUCUUACCAAUUCUACCCGAGACCACCACUAGUACUCAACUGCUAUCCUCUAGACAAAGAACCGGGUUGUGGGACCCAAUUUUGGUGUAGAAAGUAAUGGAGAUAAAAUGAGAUUGGAAGCUUUCUUUUUUCUUUUGUUGAGAUGAUGAAAAUGAUAAAAGAGGCAAAAGUCUUUCAACAUUUGAAAACAUCUCUAUUUAUAGCCUAAUUACAUGCAAAAAUGCAUGCAAUUCAAUUGCCAAAUCUCAACACCUAAUAUUCCACUAACAAUUAGUGGAACUUAGUGGGCUAGGUGUCUAUAUCUCAUAUAGCCACAUAUCCCACUAAGAGUUAGUGGGAUUAUCCAACAAAAUGUUGGAUUUUCCCACUAACUUAGUCCAAGGGUAAAAUGGUCAUUAGAUUUUUCUAGUCAAAAGUCAAACUUUGACUUUUCUAAGUCAAAAGUCAAUAUUUUGACUUUUUACCAUUUUGUCCGUCUUGACUAAUUCCAACCUCCCGAGCAUGAAUCCGCAUUCAUUUUUCCAAAAUUCAAAUCACAUUUGAAUAUAAGGCCGGUCAAAGUUUGACUUUUCAAAGUCAAAAGUCAACAUUUUGACUUUUUACUAUUUUUGACCAAUUCCGAGCUUCUUAGUAUGAAUCCGCAUUCAUACUUAUAGUAUGUAAAACAUAAAGCUCUAUUUCUAAUUAGAAGACCGACGAUUAUAUCACUGUAUAUGUCGGUUUUCCUUUCUUCUCCCUAUUCGAACAAUUCGACUUAUUUCAUCACACUGUUCUAAGUUUAAUCCAUAUGAGCUAGCAGAGGAACCUAAUGGACCUAUAGAUCAUGGGCUCCAACGAUUCAAGAUUAACUAGCUAAACUCUUUUAAACCGAGUUAAUCAACAUUCGUUAACUAACGGGUCAUUCCACUAAAGUCCCGUAGUUGCACUCCCCUCACUAUAGAUAUAUUUGUGUCCAUUUGAUAAAACCAUAAUCAGUAAGUUAAUCCUUCACAGGUUGCUCGUAACCUUGGCUGGGUCAAAAUACCGUUUUACCCCCAAGAUUACAUCUUGCUCCUUAAGUCCCACUAAUCCACUAUUGAACAAUUGGUUUAAGGUUCAACCUAUAAACUUAAUCCCUCUCGGGCCAAUGAGAGGGUGGGGCCCCUUGUUCAAGACUUGGAUUCAGUGCUUAAGAGAGCAACCUAUCUACUAACCCUAAAGCGGGUAGGAGUGAAUUCCAUCUUGUACCCUAUGUUCCCAGCUAUCCACCCGAUCUUACCCCUGAAAUGGGAGGCUUAUUGGGCCAACGCUGAUGAGCUGCCCUCACCUAUGCAGAUCUAAGGAUAAUCUCGUAUGAACAGGAGUUCAUAGUUAACUCAGGAUUAAGACUAAGUUACCUAGGUCAUCAAUAAUUGAGAUAGUCAGUUUUAAACAGUAAACGGUGUUAUAACGUAAAAAUGACUAAUUCAUGGUUCAGUCUUAUGUAAACAUUUUACAUAGGAUGCCCCCACUUUCAUGUCUCUACAUGAACGAUUAGGAUCACAUCGUUUGUACUACAAAGUGGGCCGCAUCCAUAGUCUCUCAAAAUAAGGCGCCCAACCUUUAUUUCAUAUACUAUAGACUAUUUAGGCUAUAUACUCGAACUUGAUCCACGUUUAUGUUUACACAUAAAGUUCAAGUUUAUUCAAAAAAUAGCCUUGGAACUUUGAUUUAUUGGAUUUAAGAUUAUAAUAUUUAAUUUCUCAAUAACAACUUUAUUGAAUAGAAUAUGAUUUACAAACUACGAGUUUUAGGACAAAAAAUUCCAACAACUUCAUAUGAUAUAUCAGUGAUAGACCAAUAUUUGCAACAUGAUCUAUCAGUGAUAGACUUAUAUAAUUGAUAGAAUUUAACGAAUUUUGCUAUAUUUACAAAUCUUUUAAAAUUAUACUAUAUACUUAAUUAAUUUAAAUUUAAUUGUUAAAUUUACAACUCCAGUAGUUUUCUAACAUGAAGAUUUAAAAAAAAGAUGAUAUGACAAUAAUAAUUGCGUGAAUUGGGUUGCUCAAAUUUUUACAAUCCAAAACCCAAAACAAACACAGGGUUGUCACGUUGCCCAAUUAUGAUUGGGCCUGAAAGAUAUAGGUGCAACCAAUUUGGACCCAUAAAGGUAAAUUCAAUAUUUAUAGUUAGUAAUUUUAUAAAUAAUAAUUAAGUAUAUGAUAAUAUUUUAAAAAAUUAUAAAUAUAGGCAAAACUAUUCUUAUAUUUGUUUUUAAUUAUAUAUUGUUAAAUCACCUUAACUAAAUUAUUGUUAAAUCACCAAAACUAAUUUUUUUAAGGUGCUAUAUCAGGGUAAAUUUAAAUAUUAUAGUAAUACUCCAACAAUCAUGACUAUUUUUAAUAGGUUUGGCUAACUAUGUCCUGUUAAAAAUAUGUGAUUUUGAUAUAAUACAUUUUUAUUUUAGAGAUGUUUGUUUUUUUGUUUUUUUGUUUUUAAUUUCUAUCUGCAAAUUAUUGUAUCUCAAUGAAGAGUUUUAUUGCUGUCAUAAAAUAAAAAAUGACAAAGGGGCUAAAUAACAUAACAUAUCUGAAUAAUAAACUAUAAAAUUAAUAAACACAUUAACAAGACUGAUAUUUUUGGUUAAAAAAGGCAAAGGAACGUAACAUCAAAUCAUAGGGGGGCUUAAUUAAUUGAUAUCAUAAAGUGUAUUUACAUGAUAUUGACGACAUAAAAUAAUCAAUAACAACAAAUUUAAUUAUCAAUUAUGUUAGGAAGGAAUUAAAUUCUUUUACUUUAGAGUUAACAUAUAUAUAUAUAUAUAUAUAUAUAUAUAUAUUUCCGAAUAUAUUAAAUUAUUCUUAAUCGAUAAUCAUUGAGUUAAUUUUUAAUCUAGAGGAUAAGAACAUGAAACUUAUCUUGGAAAAGAAAGGCAGAGAGAUGCUUACCCCACGAAUCUUUGUCAAAUUGGAAAAAAAUCGAAUAAAUACCAUAUGUUGAAGCUUGGGAUAUCUUUUUUAAUAUCUACUAUUCUUUACCAAAUAAUAAAUAUACAUAUAUAUUAUACCUACCUAUUUUUAUUUACGUAUAUAUCUUUUUUUAAAUAUUAAUAUUAGUAAUAAUAUUUUAAAUUAUUUAUUUAUUUUAAAAAUGUAAAAAAAUUAGUAAUCAAUUUAUUUUUAAAAAAAUCUUUUAAUAUCAUAUUUAUACUAUUUUAGGUAAAACAAUGGAUUCGUUUUAAAAUAAAAUAUUAUAAUAUCACUUUUAUUCUUUUAAGUAAAAAGAAAUCUAAUUUUAAAUUAAAAAUCUUUUCAUUUUCAUUUGAUUUAUUAAUUUAUUUUUAAGAGAAUCUCAAAAUAUCUAAUUCAAUUUAUUCAAGAAAAAUAAAAAUUUGUUUUAAUAUUAAAUUUUGAUUUUUAUUCUUAUUAUUUUUUUUCUAAUUUACCGUACACCCCAGUGUAUAAAAUCUUAUUUAUUUUUUUCUUAUUUUUAUCUUGAUCUUUAUUUUCUUUACUCUAAUAAUAUAAAGAGAAUAAGAUUAUGUCAUUAUUAUUAAAAAAUAUAUAUUAUUGUUAUUGUACUUAUAUUUAUAUUUUCUACUGUUUUUUAUUAUUAUCACUAUACUUUUAUUAAUAUUUUUUUUAUAUUACUAGUUAUUCUCUUUUAAUUUCUUCUUAUUAUUACUAUUACUUAUAUAUAUUUAUAUAUAUAACUUAUUAUUGUUAUGUGUAUUAUUACUUUUUUUCUUUUAUUAUUAUUAUGGGUGGCGACCCCUCUAUUUAAAAAAAAAUCUUUUUCUUUCUCUUUUAUUUCUUCUUUCCCUUUUUAUAUUAUUAUUUAUUUAUAUAAUUUUGUUUUUUAUUUAUUUUAACUUAUUUUCAUUGCACGUUAACAUUGUAUUUUAUAUCAAUUUUUUAUAUCAUAACAUUUUAUCAUUCUAAAAAAAUCCGACGAUCAAAUUAGAAAUAUCUGGAGGUCAGUUAUUUGGGAGGGCAAGAUUCGAUUUCCAAUAUUAUUUUAAAAUUAAAAUCUUAUUUUACUUGCUUAAUUCGUUGUAUAAUAUAUUUGAUUCCAUUAUGCAUUAUUUACUAUUGACCUAAUUUUCAAGACCUUUCUUAAAUUUCAUUUUUUAACCGUUUAUAAAUUUUUACUUUAAAACUAUCCUUUUUAAUCUUUUUUAAAAAAGGUUUAAAAUAUAAAUCUAUAUUUGAUAAGUUUUCCCUAAUCAACUUUUUUAAUAACCCACUUUUAUUUUGCUAAAAAUUUCCUAUGAUGAAAUCUAAGAAAUUUGAAAGUUCGAUUUUCUAGAAUUUUUAAUGUGAUGGAUCACAUUUUUAGAAGUCCAAGAUGUGAUCACAAGAAAAAAAAAAAAGAAUUUAAUCGAUAUUGUUUUUAUAAAAAAAAAAAUUAUUCCAAGACUAGUCUAUAAUAAAUUUUGAGAAAUUGUAAUAUUUUCUCAUUUUCUUAAGGUGAGAAAUUUUUCUCAAUAUAUAGUUUAAUUAAUGGAAUAUUAUUUUACUUAUUUUAUGAAAUCAUUGCUUCAAAUAUUGGAGCAAUGAGGUGUGACCUUAAUUUUAAAAUAAAUAAAAAAUAUUUUCAAUUCAAGAUUUAAAAUUUGGCCACCGUUUUUUCUAAAUGAGUGUUGUGAGAUGCUAAUACUUUUCCCCACACAAAUGAUUCACGAACUCAACUCACUUUUUCGCAGACCAUGUUUUUUAAAAUUGUUUACUUUAUUUCGAUGUCCAAUCACACCGUAAAAAAGAUUGGUGAUGGCUCCUAUUUUAUUUUAAAACUAGCUUUUUUGAGAACGUCGGCCGCUCCGCGUCGUCUCAGACACAUGCUGACAUAUAUAUAUAUAUAUAUAUAUAUAUAUAUAUAUAUAUAUAUAUAUAUAUAUUAUAUAUUAAUAUAUAUAUAUAUAUACUCCUCAUAGAGUAAUAUUAAUUAAGGAAAAUUGCAAAACCAUCCUAAAAUAAGGUGGUAGUUGCAAUUAUACUCUUCAAACUUUCAAAUUUUAAAAUUAAAUCCUAAAACUUACAUAAAUAUAUAAAUUGUAUAAAUUUGAUUGAUUAUAUACCUUCGAGGAUUCAACCAUUUUUCAUUUUUUCAUUUUUAAAAUUUUAAUUUAGACAUCUAAUUGUUAUUGUUGAAAGUUUGAAGGGGUGCAAAUUGCAAUACUCCUCUAUAUACUUUAGAGUUGGUUUUUGCUUCUCCUUUUAAGGUGAAAGAAGAUUAAUGGAGUUUUUUUUUUUUUUUUUUUGGCCAUUUUAGGUUCACAAAUGAGUCGUUUUUAUAUAUGUGUAUAUGUAUAUGAAAAGAGAAAGAAUUACAAAUAUUUGAGUGUGGAUCAAUGAAGUUGAUGACUAUAUAGUAAUGGCAGUUGAUGUUGGUACCAUACAUUACAUCUCAUCCCUUGCUCUUGGAAUGGCAUACAUGGAAAAGGAAAAGGAAAAGAAUAACGUUGAUUCAAAAUGGUUCAAACUUAUAUUGCUGAUUUAAGGUUAGAUUAAUUAGACACAAAAAAUAAAGAUAAAAUGAUAAACGACUAAAUUUUUUAGCCUAAUUAAUAGUAAAAGAAAAAAAGAAAACAAUAAUAGUAACAGCAACAACCAUAAGAUAUUGGCUAAUUUAGAAGUUGGAUUUCAAAAUAUGAUAAAGAAAAACAGUGAUAUAAUUGAAAAAAAUUCAACAUAUUCAAUUUGUUCCUAAUUUUUACUUUUUAUAUUUUAUAAAAAUAUUAGGUUGUAGAUCGUUUUAAUUGAUAACAAUGAUUUAAAUUUAAAUUUUUAGUUAUUUGUUUUAAUUUAAUGUCAAAAUUUAACAUCAAGGAGACUUACCUUUAAGAACAAAAAGAAAUAUAUCCUCAUUCUUAAUUUUUUUCCAAUAAUAAAGAAAAAGUCUACAAUUGCCUUCCAUGUUGAUGCACAUAAGUUCAAUGAGAGUAAUUAAAUAGAAAAUUCUAUAGUAUUGUAACAAGUGUAAUGACUGAUUCAAUACUUGACAUAUUUGAUGAUUGAUGUUAUAAUCGGAUGGAUUGCAAGGAGGAGCAUUCUCAUUGUUGGUUAUGUUGGAUUGGAGUUAAAGUUGAUAUGAUUUUAUUAUCUUUGAAAUAGUUUGAUAUAUACUUAUUAAUUUUUUUAAAAAAUACAAAUAAUGGGAUAUUAAAACAUUAUUUAUGUUCUGCACUUGUUGUGUGUAUAUAUAUAUAUGUAUAUGUACGUAUAUGCAUUGGGAUAAAAUUAUAUUGGCUCCACAAAAGAAAAUUAACUUUUUAAUUGAUGAAAACACCAAAUUCUCGUCAAAUAAAUUUAAUAACACAUACCAUUUAUUCUUUAUGAUCCACAUCUAUAAAAGUAUUAUUAUUUUACAUAUAUAUUAGACUAUUUUAAAAUAGCCGUUGAUCAAAUAGAUGUGAAGAUUCCAACAUAUUUGAGAACACAACUAGUGGAAGAAUAGAACCAUCAAAUCUUAUAUAGAUUUGAUCAAAAUAAAUGGUAUCUCUCUUUUGAUGUUUUUCAUUCAUAAACUUUAACAUUUUUGUUAUGGUAAAAAAAUCAAUGUAAAAUUCAAAAUUUGAAAGAUUUGAUAACAAUAAAAACAUAGUUACUUAUCUCAAUUAUCACUUAGUUGGAGAGGUUAAAAUUUGAGUCUAAAUUUAAUAUUUGUUAAAAAAAAAGUUUAACAAUUUUAAAAUUUUAACCAACGUACUUUGAUGUUUUUAGUUAACAUUAUUCACAAAAAUGUGAAAUUCUUCUUCUCCUGUGCAUUGAACAAAAAGUUUAAUUGAAUAUUUAGUCAAAAAGGAAUAAGGAGACUACCAAAUUAGUUGGUAGGAACUUGAAGUGCUUUUCAUAUAUUAAUAAGCAACAAAAAUAUUCUUAAACUCUUGGUUUAUAUAUUUCUUUUGAGUAUUAGAACAGUUGUUAGAAUAAAUAUUUACAAGUUGAUAAACAAGCAAAGAGGGGAAUUGUAUUCUUUCUACUUUUUAGCAAUAUCUUCCUAAAUAAGUUAAACUAUUCUUUAAUUACAAAAAAAAAUACUUAAUUAGUGUAGGUAAAUCUGCACAAUUUCAUUGAUAUAAAACUUAUAUUAUUGACUUUGACAUUGGUGGUUUAAUUUUUUCUCAACAACUAAAAUGAAAAGUUCAAUUUUCUCUAUGCCACAUAUUGUGAUCUAGGAAAAGAAUAGAUUAAAGAAAUAAAACUCAGGUAUACUCUUCAACUAUCUUAUAACCCAAUUGUCCAAUUAUAUAUAUAGCUUGCUACAUGUCAAUUAUAUAUAUGCAAAAAUAUUUAACUUAGGAAAGGGUUAAAUAUGUCAAAAAUAAUUUUAAAAAAUUGUUUUAAAUAAUAAAACAGUUAAAAAAUAUUUACAAACACACAGUAAAGUUUUAUUUUCUAUUUGUCAUAAAACUCUUAAAUUAAUAUAGCAAGAAACCAAUCUUUAGGAAUUAAGCACAAAAAAAAAAUCAUAAUCAAUACUUAGCUUGUGAAGAUAAAAUUAAGAUAGAAAAGAGAUGGGCACUUUAAUUAAAGAGUACCUUUUUGUUGUCUUGCAACACACAAUUUAGGAAGAAUUGUAGUUGAUAAUAUUCUUGCCACUAGAAAAUCUUUGAUAAAUUAGAAAAAUUGUAUUAAAUAAAGAAGACAGUGUGAUGAUUAGAAGAUAUACUAUACUUUGACUGCCUAUUAUUUAUUAAUUGUUAAAGUACUCCCAAAAGUUACUCUCUCUUUUCCAUCUUUAAGUGGAAAAUUUUAAUUUAGUGAACCAAUGAGCUUUUAGAUUGGCUAUAGUAAUUACUAAUUAGUAAUGAUAAAAUGACUAUUGUUUUAGGUAGGGCUAUAGUAAUGACAGGAAAAAAGAAAAGAAUAUAUAUUGAUAUAAUCUUCACUAGAAUGCUUGAACUCUUGGCUAAAUGGAAAAAGGAGUCGAUUUGGAUAUAGUUACGUAUUAAAUUUUAAUUAUAAUUAAACAUAUAAUUCUUUUAAUGUAUCAGAAUAAGAGUUUAUACUAAUUUAAUGAUAUAUAUUUUAUUUUGUGUUGUGUUUUCAAAUACAACAAAAUGGAACUAUUUUAAAUUUUUGCAUCAAUUUUUUAGAUUUUCUUAUAAAUUCUUCCAAAUUUUCCUGCUAUUUUAAACGUGAAAAACUUGAAGGAUUUAAGGAAAACAAAAUGUAGUUUGCUUUUCCAGAAUAACAAAUAAAAUUGUUUUUUUGAUUGUAAGUUUAUAUAUAUUCCAUUUGUAACAGGACUGUAUGAAUAGUUAGGCAUAUAUAUUUUCUUUUAAGAUCACUAAUUAUAAUACAUUAUAAUUCUAAAACCUUGUACUUUCUAUAGAAAAUAUAUCCUCAGAAUGCACAAAAGUGGAGAAGGGUUGGCGUAAAGACUCUUUCUCCAAUUGCACAGUGACAGCUCGUACACAUCUUUAACGCUGAAACAAAAACUAUACCAAACAUUGUGUGUAGUUUUCCAAAAAUAAAAAUCUAAAAUCGUUUAGUCUAUGUUUAAUUAUAUUAAUCUAAACGUAAAGUAAUAAAUAUAAUCUAAUUAAACAUAUCAAAACUCAUUGUUUAUAUAGCAUGCAUUUGCUAUACAAAAUGAUAAUUUCUUUCAUAUAGAAACUCUAAAAGAAAACGUUCAGAAUAUAAGAAUAAUAUAUAAAUCCCAUGUGAGAGUGUGAACAACAACAUGCACACUUUUACACAGUAUAUAAAUCUCCAUUUCAAAGAGCAAACCCUAACCACUAACAUCCCAAACAAAAUCUCUUCUAAUUUCUUCUUGUUCUUCGUGUGCAUGGGAAACAAGUACAGUUCUUUGAGUGAAGAACAGCUCGCCUGGAUUUUCAAGAAACAUGACAUCGACAGAGACAGGAAGCUGACCAAAGAAGAGUUGACACGAGCCUUCAACUAUUUGGGUUCAAGGUGGACCGCCUUGAGAGUCAAGGAAGCCAUUCGCGCUGUCGAUGCAAACCACGAUGGCGUCAUCAGUUUGGAUGAGAUGAGUAAGCUCAUUGUGUAUGUCAAAGGUUGUCGCACCUAAACAAUUAAUAAUACUUAACUGCAACCAUCUUUUACAUGUCAACCUAAGUGGAACUUACUUGAUGUCACCAUGUAGUUGUGCCUCUCAGUUGAGUCGUAAAAUACAAAUGCAGCUUAGUUAGCAGUCGAACACUUUACGUCGCAGAGUUAUAAAUAUUAGCAAAAAGAAAAAAAAAAUCCUUUUUAUUGGAUAAAAAUGUAAAGUGUGAUAUCCACUCUCUGUCAUAGGUCGGAAAUCUACAUUUGCUAACGAUGUUUAAGGGGAAAAAAGUGUAUAAUGUAAUUACUUGUCUGUUUUCUUUUUAAUAAAUCGUUAACUGUGUUGGUAAAUUACUAUUGGUGUAGUUAAUUAUAUAAGAAGCAAGUGGUUUUUUUUUCUUUAAUUUUAUUUUAUGCAUGGUUGUGCAAAUGAUUACUAAAUACAAAUAUGUCAAAUAAAAUUUGAAGAGGAAUUGAAUUCUUUCUAUUUGUGAACAAAAUAUCCUCCGAUAUGUCAUAUAAUUAUUCUUACACUCACUACCAAAAUUAAAAAAAAAAAAAAAAAUCAGCUUGUAUAUCUAUUCUAUGAUUAAAAUAAAUUUUCCUAAAUUAAAAAAUAAUCUUCUAAAUUCUUAUUAUGGGGUAGGUAAAUUUAACUAUAUUACUAACAAUGGACUUGACUGCAUAAGCGCGUUUUAAAAAUAAAUCUCAUUAAGAACAACCAUCUUGUCCUGCUAAUUAAGAUGAGAUUUAAGAGAGUAAUUUUUUUUUUAAAAAAAGACAAGGAAUAUUAGAAAAGUGAAAUCGCAAAGAUAUGAACCCAAUUUUCCAAGUACUAAUUAUGUUUUUUUUUUAAUGAAGUAAUUUUUCUUUGUCCAAUGUUAAGGUUGCUAUAAAUUAAAUUUAUCUUCAUAUAUAUAUAUAUAUAUAUAUAUCAUCAGAACAUGUAAUCUAUAAACAACUUUAGACGUGAGGAAAAUGUUAAAUAAUAUAUAAAUUAAAUUUACGUUUCAUCUAUAUCUUAUGUUUUUACGUCGUUAACCAAAAAAAUAUAUAGAGAGUAAAAAAAAUAGUUAGAGUGGUUGGCCACUAAAACUUAUGUGAAAUAGGAUAAGGAUGGGGAUAAACAAGAUAGGGUUGGAAUAUAUAAGUUGGAAUAAAGUACUAAUCUUCAAAUAUUCAUUUCUCUUAUUUUAGGUAACUAAUAAAGCCAUUCCCUUGAACUAAUGAACAUGGUAGGCAGAGAGAUACACAAUAAUAUAACAAAUGGAUAUUAUGUUCCCUCACACCAUUGCUAGCUUCCUAUCCAAAAAGAAAAAGAAAAAAGAAUGUUCUGAUCUAUUAUUUCUUUGAUUAUGGAAACUUUUUAAAUAUAUAAUUAUCAUCAUCACACUUGUGGAUGCAUGCUUGGCUAAGAUUUAGUAUUAAUAUGGUUGAAACGAUCUAGUUGAAAGACGGAUAUAAGUGUUAAACAUUAUGCAUAUACACACUUAAGUUUGUAAAUUUGAUAGAAUUACUGGGAAGUUUUACUAAACUAUAAGAUUUAAUUUUGUUAGACUUUCACCGAGUGUUGAGGAUAAUAUAUUGAUUUAAAUUUAACAAGCUAAUUUAGAAGUAUAUUUUACUAAUAAUCUUAGUUUAAGUUCGAGUUUUCAAAUAACUUAUAAUAAAUAAUUUGUGACGCACCCAAUAUAGACUACAUACAAAUCUAUGAUAUGGAUGUGAAGUUGCAUUACAUAAAAUAGUUGAUGAGAAAAAUACAAGAGCUUUUGACCAAUUUUUUACUUUCUUUUAACCACUCGUGCAAUGCUUUAAUGGUUUGAUUUUUUACUUUUCAUACCAUGGAGAUGAAUGAUAAUCUAUGGGAAAGUUAGUUUCAAUCUCUCAAUAGGGAGCUGGUGGAAAGUGAAAUGAAUGAGACUUUUAAUUGUAUAUUCGAGUAGAGAAUUUCUAACCGUUCGAAGUGUACACGGCUCAAUAAAUUUCUAAAUUAACGAGUUAGGGAUGUAGGGUUACAGUCAACUAUAUAAUUAAGCCAUCAAAGUCAUUCAUUCUAAACAUGUCGAAACACACCACUACUAAGUAUUCAAUUCCAACUUGUUUUGUAACUUGAGUGUCAAAGCGUUGGUAGUUUGACGUUGCACCAGUGUUGAAUUUCUCCAUUCUGCCAAGCACUUGAACUAUUUUCUCCCAAAAUAAAAUUUUAUAUACGUUUAUUCAUUACUCUUCCAUGGGAAAAAAAGAAAUGGUGUUGCAGAAACCCCGCCUUGAAAAAAGUCUCUCAAACUCUGUCACUGUUUUUAUUUUAAUCGUAUAUCACACUUCCAUAAAGAAACUUGCUGAGUAAAUUGGACUUUGUAAUGGGCCAUAAACACAAAACAGGCUUUAAAUGUUUCGGCCUCUAAUUUUCUUAACACCAUGCUUUGAUUUCACUUUUUUCUCUUAAUUCCCAGACUAUUAGUAAAACUUUUUUGGACAAAACUUGGGAAAUAAUGAAACAAAACUUAGAUGAUAUAGUUUUCCUUUGAAUAACGUAGUUCAAGAAACUUACUGAUUCUUAUGUAAUCUUACAGCAGUUAAGAUUCUCAAGUGUAGAUUCAUUAUUUAAUUCUCGAAUUAGUAUAUGUUCAUUCCCUUAGUUUAUCUGCUCAAACCCCAAGAAAAGUUACUAUUUUCCUUUUGAGAGGCACACUUCCCAAUAUGCCUCCCAUAAGAUAUUUAUGGGCUUCAACCCAUCAUGCAAAAAACGGGAAUCGUAUGGUUCGUGAAGAUAUAAACUAGAGUGAGGGUAUAACUCUCCACCGAUGUAUGUCAAAGAUGAUGGGUCUUUUUUUUAAAAUAUAAGAUAAAGUAUAGAUAGAAAAGGAUUAGUAAUUAGGAUCUGAAGUAAAGGGAAGGUUAAGAACAUGAAAGUUUGAUCAAAUCAUAAUAGAAUCUAUUGUAAAUGGAAUGAAAUUCCUUUAAUAGCCUUUAAAGAACAAAACACAGUCGUCCAUAAAGAAAUUGAGAUGAUUAUUAUGGGAAUCCCUUUUUCAUUUUUCAAAUUUAUUAAAUUACAAUUACGACUAAAGAAUAUAUUAUAAGAAUUAAAAUAUCGUUUUUUAUUUUAUUUAAUUAUUAAUUCUUUUCAAAUGUUUAUUCUUGAAAAAAAGUAAAAACUUUAAAUUAAAAUAAAAAAUAGAUUACCCAUCAAAUUUCAGUAUUUUUACACUUUCAACUUUCAAAACAAAAUCCAAGACAAUUGCUAAUUUCAUAAAAAAAUUAGUCAUUUAUACUCUUUUUGUAAUGAGUAAUAAAGAUAGAAUGAUCAACAAACACACUUAGAUUAACACACCCUUAAUGACUUCAUUAUAUGAUGCUGCACUAUUCGGUGAACUAAUAAAUGAGUAUAAAUGGAUUUCUAAGUUAAAUGUUGGGAUAGUUUAACGAGAUCGUUUUUUGGUGCAUAUAUUUAUCGACCUGUUUAAUGAAACAGAUGUAUUUUGUUAAAAAAAGAGUUUAUUGGAUUUUUAAAAUCUUUUUUUCUUCAAGCUAUUUUGAUUAGAAAAUUGAGGGAGGUUAAAUUUUAAGUUGUUGUUUCUUUUUCUAUAAUAUUAUAUUUAAUUUAUCGAUUAUGACUGCAUGUUCCGAAAAAACGAUCUCCCAAGUAUCAAUCAAUGUUUUAGCCCAUUUUUUCUUUUAUAAUUAACUAUUAACAUUGCCUAUAUUAUGCCUCAAAUUCUUUGCCAUGUUAUUAGUGUUUUUCAAAAUAACUCAUUUCUAAAAUUAAACACUUGAAAAUUUUAAUGGAACAUUUAUUUUAAUAACUUUUGGAUAUUCAAAAUAUCGUCAGUCGAUGCUAGGUUGACACGUACAUAACCACUCUGUUUAUGCCGACAUCCAAAAGAAAAUUAUAUACAUAUGCUUAUAUUCUGAGAUUAAUUCCUUAUGUUUAUAUUCUCCAUCCUCCCAAGUGGUAUUAGGAAAAGUUUGAUGCCAUCUACUUUAGGUUCUGGUGCUACAUAUAGUAUUUUCCUUUGAAUGAAAUAUGUGAACACAAGAAAAUAAAAGAAGGUAUUAUUAGAUUUUCGUUGACAUCAUACAAAAGAAAAUUAUAAUAGAAUGUGUUGACAUUUCAUGAUCACUAUAUAUUGUGUUGACACGUAAAUGUGAGAUUCACCGAUAUUUUUAUUUACAUCGAUAUAUUUUACACCUAUAUCGCAAGAGAACCUUGCAGACACUCGAAUUUUCAUUGUUGAUCCAAAUUGUAAACCUUGCAAAAGGUAUUUUGGAUACUUUAUUCCGAGUUGAUAGAGAUGCUCACAAAAAGACACAUUAUUUCUUCUACGGCAGAAAUGCAUGAAGUAAACUUUGGUAAAUAAAAACUCCCUCAAAGCAUCAAUUCCAUUUGAGAUGAUGUGUAAUAGAUAUCAUCUCAAAGAGCAAAAAGAAAAAAGAAAAAAAAAAAAAACCAUCUCCUUGUGUUAGGGUUUUUGUCUUUUACAUACCAACUCUAUAUAAAGACUCCUUCCCCAUAGAGAAAAAUCUAAGGCAAACAAAAACUAUAUUAUCAUCAACACAAAGAUAUAUUAUUAGAGCUUACGUUCUUGAAUAUCAUUGAAAUGGCAAUGUCAAGGUCUCAACUGAAGUUGACUAGGGAUGAGGUUAGGGAGAUCUUAGAAGAGCAUGACGUGGACGGUGAUGGUAGCCUGACGAAGCAAGAGGUGAUGCAAGCCCUGAACUCCAUGGGUUCUAUGAUGUCCUUUCAGAAAGCUCACUAUGGUGUUUCUCAUGCUGACAAAGAUGGGGAUGGUAAAGUCGAUCUAGGAGAAGCAGAGAUGGAGAAUCUUAUUGACUAUGUCAUGAGGUUUCAGACCCCAAGGGCCCCAAAGACCCCAAAGGUCCCUAAGGUGCCAGCCCAAAAGCCUUGCCAUGAUGGUAAAUCAAUUGUGUAAUAAUCUUAGCUUAUUUCUAUUUAUUAUGUGUCCGUCUUCAGUCUUCGUCUACGUCUUCAUCUUGUUUUUCAGUCCAUAUAGUUUAUGUUACAAAUUGAGCCAUGGCUGUGCUCAAAUUGGCAAUUAUCCACGUAUGUUCGUUAUCUGCAGUAUUGUGUGUCACUGGUAAUAAAAUUAUCUUCUUGUUGUAUCCAUAAAUUAUUAUAUAAUAAACAUUCCUAAACUAUUAAAAAUGUCAGAUUUUCAAUUUCAUUUCAUGCCAUCGUGUGAUUUAUUAUUUAACUUUGCACUAUGUAAAUAUAAACUAAGAUCUUUUAUAAAUAUUUACAAGUAACAUAAAGUUUAAUACAUAGUAGAAUGUUUUGAAUGUAUUAUUUAGCAUUUCUAACACCCAAAAUCUAAGUGGUAUUCAAUAUUUAUUCUAUCUAUGUGAUUUAUGAUUGACUCUUAACCUUAGAAGUACUUUUAUAGUUUAACAGCUUUUAUCUGAUAAGAAAACUUGCUCUCUCCAUCGAUUAGUGUACAUCUAACUCAUGAUUAAUCAAGUAUUUAAUUGUAUCAAUGUUUACUGGUUUUUUGUUGCCCAUUUUUUCUUAACACUGUAGCUAUAAAAUUGUAUUUGCUAACUGACAAAAUUACAUGACCCAAAUAUACUAGAAAUGUUGUAAAUAAUUAACGCCAUAAUGAACCAAAUAAAAGUGUAAAGAGAGUAUACAAAAGGCAAAACACACCAUAUGAACAUUCUCAUGUAAGGAUACAAAUGUAUAUAUAAAAUGGGGCCAUUCGUUUUAUAAUAGCAGAAAGCAGUAAUUAGAAUCGAUGAUAUAUAAAAGGAAAAAGAGAUUCAUUGGACGACAUUUAAUUAAGACAAAUCAAAUAAGCCUACCAUCAUAAUUUUCUUAAAAAAUCUGUUACAUUUUUUUGAAUGGAAUACUAGUAGACCAGGGUCAUUAAUGCACCCAACGACUCAUCCAAGAUCGUUUGCCAUAGCAGCUGCAUCAGUCAUCACACUCCAGCCCAGCCCCCAUGUUGUUUACUUUUGUAUAAAAUGGUAAUCAAAUAUAGAUGUUUAUUGAAAUGUCAAUCUGUUUAAUUAAAAUACAGUAACUAAUGAAUAUGUAAUAAAGAUACUAUCCAGCCCUGCCUGUACUACUUUUCUUGGUAAUAAAAUUCUGGCGUUAGGGCUUUGCCCACUCACCUUGUUUCCUCUUAAAAAAUGAAUAUCUAAUAAGAAUUAAAAUAACCUUUUCUAAUUUUAUUCUUUAUUAACUGUCAUUUACAGCUUGUUCAAACAUUAACACUUAAAAGAUUUAAAAUUAAAAUAUGGUUUGACUUAAACUCACCCAUCUAAAUUCCAAAACAUCUUAAAGUGAAAACAUUAAUAAACUUAAAUUAAUAUCUCAUCUUCUUUUAUUUUUUGUAACCAAAGGAUGAUAUAUGCAUACAGAAAUAUGUAUUAUUGUACGUGAUAGACCACCAAAUAUUUGCUGAAUAUCUUUAUCCCCAUCGACUGGACAUUUCUAUAACUUUUGAAAAACGAUUCUUCUGUUUUGGUAGGGUUUUGUUUUUCUUUUCUUUUCUUUUCCUUUUGACAAAAAUGAUAAUAACUUGGAUUUUUGACAUUUUAUGGUUGAGUUUCAGUUUUCUUUUACAAGUCUAAAUCGUGGCUAGCUUAAGAAAUAUUUCUACAAUUCAAUUUACACUUAUAUCAUACAUUUUAAUUUUGAAUAUUUUGCUACAUCAAAUUUGAGUAAUUACAUUUUAUUUGAAUAAAUACAUCAAUUAGAGAGAGGUUAGAAAUUGCAUCCAAAAGUCUCAAAUAUGACCUUAUUUUGUUCUUCUAAAAAGAAAGAAAAAAUAUUCGUGAAUAAAGUAUAAAAUUCCAAAAAGCUGAGAUUUAAUUUAGGAUUCUUUUCAAAAAUAGGAAAAAAAAUCACAAAUUUGUUCACUCCAUAUAAAAAAAUAUUAAAAAAAAUUCAUUACAUAAAUAAUAUUUAAAAAAUUGCAUAGGACAAUAUUUUGAGAAUAUGAUAUAGCAAUUAUAGAACACUGUUUUAGAAUUUUGCAAAUAUGACAAAUGUUUUACUUCUUCAUCUUAAAUUUGUUAUUAUUCUUAAACUAUCAUUUAAUAAUUUAUUUCUCUUCCUCUUUUUAAUGCCCUAUUCAUUAUAUAUUUAUUCUCUCACUUUUUAAGGCCCUAAUUAUUUGUUUAUUCUUAUACUAGAAAAAUUAUUUAUUCAUUAUUCUCUCACUUUUUAAGGUUCUAAUUAUUUGUUUAUUCUUAUACUAUAAAAAUUAUUUAUUCUUCAUGUGUUAAUCUUAAUUUUAAAAUAUCAAUAGUAUAAUAAUUGCAAUAUGAAAUAUAAUAUAAUGGUUGGUGAUCGGAGUAAUUAACUUCAUUUGUGAUUUCUUUUUUUACUUUCUUCGAUGUGUAUUUUAAGCUGAAUCUAAUUUCAAAUGAUUUUGUUUUAUUUUUUUACAUUAAUUUUUUGAUUUUACUUUGUCUCAGUUUCAUAUAUCAGUGUUAUGAUAUACUUAUAUUAUAUAUAUUAGUUAGUUAAUAUACUUACUAUGUAAUUUUUGUUUUCUGAAAAUUUUAUAUAGAUCAUUAGAGUAUUAUUAAGUAUAUGAAUUAUUUAACUUAGUGUAUCAUUAUCAAGUAUAUCAACAAUAUAUUGUUAAAACAUAUCAAUAAAGUGAAUCAUUAUCAAGCAUAUGAAUCAAAUUUACAAGUGUAUAUCAAUAGUAUAUCAAGUGUAUAAGUAUGACUUCAAGCAUAUCGAGUGCAUUUAAUCAAUCAAUUGUGUAGAUACCGUAUUUUGUCCUGCCUUUUUAUUUUUUUCAUUAAUUUAUUUAUUAUUUUUUUAAAAGAAUUUGAAUUUGAAUUUAAAUUUAAAUUAUAAAAUUUAAAUCUUAAUUUUUAAAUUUAUGUUUUAAAACAAAAACAAAAAUAAAAACAUAUUUAAAAUUAAAUUUAAAAGUAAAGAUUUUUUUUCUUCUCCCUAUUUUUCUCAACCUUCCCCUGUUUUCCUGAGUCACAACCCUCCCACUUUCUCCCAAUCUCUCACGUUCUCCCACUCUUCCAUCUUCUUCCCCAAUCUCUCACGUUCUCCCACUCUUCCACAUUUCUGUGUACUCCAUUUCACUAUCUAAACCUACUUCACUUCUAUCUAAAAAAAGGAGACAUUUCCCUAUAAAAAGAGAAUGAGAAGAUUCAAUGGGGGGAGAAUUUUUUUUGCUGGAGAAUUAUUUGGUAGAGAAGAGGGACACGUAAAAGAUUUUUUUUGGAAGAGGUGAGGAGGAUCAACCCAGAACAUUUUGCAUUUAAGGCAGACCUUGUAAGUUCUUUUUUUUAUUCACGUUUGAUAAUACUAGCUUGAUUAUUUGGCACCCAGUAAUUAUUUCGCACCCAUCUGGGUGCUGUCUUAAUUAUUCAUUUAAAUCACUCGUUAAUUAGCUGAUGCGUUAAUCAUUGGGCACUCAUUUCACAUCUUUUAAUUAUUUGCAUCAUUUGAAUUAUUUGGCACCCAUUUGACUCUUUGAUUGCUGACCUAAUACAGUGUAUCAGGUGUAUCAAACAUAUAUUAGUAAUGUUUCAGGUGUGUAUAAAAAAGUAUCGAGUAUAUCAAAGAGUAUCCGAGCAUCAAGUGUAUCAAUCAAAUGUAUCAAAAAGUAUAAGGUGUAUCAAAGAAUGUAUUAGGUGUAUCAGACGUGUAUAAGACGUGUAUAAGGUGUGUAUAAGGUGUAUCAAACGUAUAUUAGUAACGAGGACAUUUGUGACAUUUUACCUUUUGAUGUGUGGACUGGGUUUCGUUUUUGCCAUUUUCGCAAAUAAAAUGUGUGUGCUAUAGACUUAAUUGUUAUAACUUAUUUUGUCAUUUUUGCAAGUGCCCCUAAAUAUUUUGUCAAAUUUUCUAUUUUUGACAAUUUUCCAUAAAAAAUAAUAUUAAUUAACGUUUAAUAAAGUUCAAAUCUCUUCUCUUCUCGGAUUGGUCCAAAAUGGUGAAAUUAAAUAAAUAUUAAAAGAAAAUGAGAAAAAAAAGUGUCAAUAGAUAAUUGCAAAAUAUAUACUUUUGAUUGAUGAGAUUUGAAAUUAUUUUGUCUAUCCUAGUAUUUAAAAUUUGAAAAGAAACACUUGACAUCUCUAAAAAAAAAGUUUGACAAGCAAGCAAUGGAUCGAUCCAUAAUUUUUCUUAAGAGGGACUUAAGUUAAAUUAUUUUGCAAAAAUAUUAAAAUACAACUUAAGUUCAAGAAACUUUCAAUUUAAAUUUUGCCAUAAAAUUGAAAUGAUGUCUCAUGUGUUAUUAUAAACAUUCAAUUUUGUAUUUAGUAUACAAAACACAGGAUGAACUUUGAAUACCUAAAUCCACGCAAAAUUAAAAAAAUUAUUUUAAGUUCACACUUGAAUUAAAAUUUAGAGAAGACAUCUUCUUUCCUUUUGUGAUUAUUAUUAUUUUCUCAACAGAGAAAUUAGAAGUUGGGGUAUCGGACAAAGUUAGAAAGUUCAAAACGUUCAAAACGUUCUUUAUUCUCCAAAGCUUCCUAAUCAAGAUAAGAUGGAACCAAGAGGCUACGCUUUUUAAGGACCCUUCCCUUCCACUUUCUUCUCAACAGUUCUUCAAUCGAAGAAAAACGGCGAAGGUUGCGAAGUCGUCUAGGUUUCAUCUAAAAUGACUCGUCAAUUAUAUGACAAGAAGAAAUCAGGGUACAAGUUGCAAAAAGAAGAAAUGAAAGAAAUGUUUAGGGAGCAUGAUUUCAAUGGCGACGGUCGCUUGAGCAUUAAAGAAUUGUCGAGAGCAUUCGGCCAAUUUGGCGCAUUCUUCCCUCUCUACCGUGCAGCUUUUGGGUUGUUCCUUGCAGAUGAUGACGGCGAUGGAUUUAUCAGUGAGCAAGAACUAGAUAAAGUGGUAGAUUAUGCUAUUAAAUGUAAGUAUAACCUACUUUAGUUAUCUUUUCCAUCCUGCUGUGGAAGGUUCCCUAGUGAGUGUGAGUUGUUGAUGUAAAAAAAUAAUAUACAGAAAGGUAAUUUGUGUGUUCAAGAGAUACCUUCCCCUAUUAUUGUAAAAUGCCUUUCCUGAUGGCUGAUGCGAAGAUGAUGAUGAUAGCAUUUCCAAUAAAAAUAAAUUUUAUGCUUCAUUCUUGCUCUUGCAUGAUAUGAUAACAAUUUUCUAAAUAUAUGUAUAUUGUUACAAAAUAAUAGACGCACUUUAUUUUAACAAUGUACCAGGAUCUGUUAACCUAUUAAUCUCUUGUAUCCAAAAGUUUCAAAAACAAAUUACAAGCUGAUAUAAACAAUAAUGAUUACAAAGUAAUACAAAAAUGUCAGUGUUGAAGUUUGCAGCUUAAUUAAAACUUUACAAAUAUAUUGAUAGAUACACAUCGUACAGGAACGUCCACCAAUAUCAAAAGGUACGAAAAUCAAACUAAACUGACCAAUGUCCAAUUAUCUUCAAAAUCGAUCGGUUUGGUUCACUUUGGUGAUCUAAUUAAUUUUGUUCCCCGGCAUCUUGGCUUCGGUUUUAUUAACAUUUUUUUGUAUUCUCCAUUUGUUAUAUUGGCCAUCAAAUCUAGGAAGAGAAGAGGGUGAAAUAGAGUAGGAUGUUUAAUUUGGGAGAGAAAGAGGUUCAUGAAUCUUUGAACCAUAAACUUCGUCCUAUUUGGAUGUCAAGAUUCAUGUCUCAAAUAAGUAUUUGGUAAAUUAGAAUGGUGAACCGAAGAAAUAUCUUCUCGUAAAGGCUUGUUGAACAUAUAGCUUGCUCGCUGUAUAUGAUGUACUGAUUCAAUAUCUGAUCUAUGAAACAAAACAAACAUGGUGAACUUACAUUUCUUUUUUUAAACUUUAGAUACUGUUGUGUAUUUUCAUUUCUAAAACUUUGAGAAAAAAAACUAUUUACUUUCCUAAAGUAAAUAGUAAAAUAGUUUAAAUUAUGUGAAAAUAUUUACAAAACACACAAAAAUUUCAAAUUCUAUCCAGAAUAGAUAAUGAUUAACUUUUGUUGGUGUCUAUGUUGAGUGCAAUGUCUAUCAUUAAGAAAAUCUUAAAUCUAAACUUUUGGUGGCAACAAGCAACAAGCAACGUACAUCUUGAAUAUAAUUAUUACUCAAAUUAUUUUUCUUAACAAAAUAACUAAUGUUGUUAAACAUUGUUCAUGGUAAAGACGUAGAACCCUAAUUUGCCCACACAAACAACGAAUGCUCGAAUUCUAUUGUUAAUAAUUUAUCCUCAUAUGUGUGGGUUUUUCUCUAGUAUAUAAUAUUUCGGUAUACCUACUAAUCCAUUCUAGAAUAAUUUCUUGGUAAACAAAAAAAACUAUAAAUUAUAAAGGAAUGAAUAAAUUAGAAUAGACUAAAAAUAGAUUACUCAAUUUUUUAAAGUUAUUAUUCCAAUCUUAAAGCUUAAGUUCAACAGAUGAUGUCAAAACACUAUCUACGUCAAUCACUAUCUGAUUUGCCACUUUUGUUAAUAAUAUAAACUCAACUUUUCUAUUUUUGACAACUUUUCUAAAUUCUAAUUUUUAUAAUUAAACAAAACGUACAUACAAAAUAUAUAUUUACAAAUAAAAUUCUGAAGUGAAAUUCUAUUUUAAUUUAAAAGUAAUUGACAAAUUUUGUUAUAUUUUUUUAAAAAAAUAUUACUAUAUAUUUGAAAUGUGCUACUUGUUGCAUUUACCAUAUUUUUUAAUCUUUCACCAAUAAAUUUAAAAUCCUAAUUUAAUUAAUCUUCAUUCUCAUAAGAAUGAUAAUUGCAUAAGCAUAAUAAUUUAUUCUUUCACAUUAUUUCCAACUUCUAUACAAGUAUUUAUAAUUGAAAAUUAUUAAAAAUAACAAAAAUUGUUGAAAAUAUCUAUCUAAUAUAGUAAAAUUUUCCAUUCAUCGAUAAGGGUAGAUUUGAAAAAAUGAUAUCAAGUUAUAAUCUUAGUUCUAAAAAAACCAAAACUUGUAUUUCUAUUUCUUCAACCCUUUCCACAUAACCAAGGUCCAAUAUUUGAAAAGGAAAAAGAAAAGUAGGUAUUCAAAAUUAAAAGAUGUGGGAAUUAAAACAGCCGUAAUUAGCAUAUGCAAGGUUUUUGUUUUUAAUCAGUAUGUUGUUUCUUUAAACACUUAUUAUUACGAUUAUGUAAUAAAUUUAAGACUUAUUAGAGAAAUGUUGUUGUUAGGUUUUUGGCGAUUCCAACAUAUAUAUCGUAGUUUUUUUAAAAAAGAAAUAGAAAAGAAAAAGGAACUAAGGAAGGGGAUGGAAAAACCUAAAUCGGAGGUAUGGUGAUGGGGAACGGUAAGGGAAGUCGGAAUCCAUUUCCGGCAACGAAAAGUAAUUAAGGAAAGAAAAUUCCAUAAAUUAUUAGCAGAAUCAAUAAUGGGAAAAAUAUAAAGGUAUGCUUGGAUGCAGGAAUGAUUUAUGGUGGACUACUCACUCAAAAUUAUUCCUUUGUUCCUUCCUUUAUUUAUUUUGAUGCACCACCACAUUUUCAAAUUACCACCAUGCAUGAAGAUAUAUAUAUUAUAUAUAUAUAUAUAUGAGCCAUGAAUAUUUUUUAAAUAUUAAUAUUAGAAAUAUAGAAGAAAACGAAAACCUAAGUUAAUAUUUUGUGUAAAUUUGGUAGUGAGGGUGAAAGUGGGAAGAUAAGAAUAGGGAACAAAUGAAUCAGCCACACCCAUAAUGAAGAUGGUACCCAACUUGGAAAUCUGAGUAUCUUUGAACGAACAGUAUUUUGGUAUCUCUUUUUUUUUAUAAAGAUACUUUGAGAUAGCUGAUGCAAGGCCACAUGGGAACAUAUCAAUGCAUCAACUAUAGCCCCACUUCAUUAAUAAUAAAAGGUGAUUACAAGAAGCGGGGAAUAGAAAGGUUAGAGGGCAGCCCGAUUAUCCCAAAACGAAAGCAUGUAAAUUUAAAGCAAUAGAACUGGACGGGUAAUUUUUGAAAAGAGAAGAACGACUCGACCAUAGACCAGUUAUAGCUUGAAUGUCUUCCCAUACAGAAACAUCUGAUUUCUCUUCUCCCUUAAAAGUCCUUAUGUUUCUUUCAUUCCAGAUAUUCCACAGGGUAGCAGCCACCAGAUGUUGUUCAAUGGUUUGUCUUUUUUAUUUACCUUUAGUUUUGAAAGGUUGUUUGCAUAAAACAGUAGAAUCUAUAUGGGGGAGAAGUUUGUCUAGUACCUCUUCAACUUUUUUCCACAGGUUUUUUUUGUGAAGGGGAAGAGGGAGAAUAAAUGAAUACUAUGUCAUUCACCAUUUUCUAAUGUCAUACUUUUAAUGGUAAAUACUUAGACGUUUCAUGAAAUUUAUUUAUGAUUUAUCUAUGUACGUUUACUAAUUGGAUGUUUAAUUACAAUAUUUUUACCAAUGACGAGAUUCUUCAUCUUUUUAGUUUUUCUUAUUCCUUGAUGAUUGUAGGAUGCAUUCAAGAUCCAUCCAAUUUCAUUUUUAGAUUUUUGAAAUUGUUAAAAUAAUUUUUGUCAUAUUAAAAAAUAAUUUAAAUAUAUUUUAGUAAUUUUUCUAUCGUUUUGUUUCAUAGCAAAUAUAAUUUAAAUUCAAAUUCGGUAGAAAUAAGAGAAAGAUGUGAAAAAAUGGUACAUUUUUGCAAUACGACAACGCACUCUUUCAACUAAACUAUAUAUGCUCGAUUUGACUAGUAUUAUUGCAUUGAAAUCGACACAAAAUGGGUAGAAAAUAAGUGGGUAUUAUAAUACCAAAGCAUCAAAUAUGCAAAGCCACCACUGUGAAACUCUUAAAGCCUAAAAGAUAAAACGCAAAUUGCCAAAAGCAUCUUCCAUCCUUUACCUUGUUGGAAAAUUCAUUAAGUACUUAUUAAUUAAUUGCGAUAACAAAGGAAUAAUUGAAUUGUGAAUUUGUCACUCUUUAAUCACUUUCUGGAUUUGGGUGAUCAAGUUUAACUUUAUUAACUUUCAAUUUUUAGGAAUUGAAUUCUAGACUCUAGUGAGUAUUAAUACACGUUUAAAUUGGUAUUAAAUUUGUUUUUAAUGUUAUAUGUGUUUUAGUCUCCUUUAAAUAUCUCUACCUUGUUAAGAUAUAUACAUUUCCUCUGCCUCCUUGUUAAAAGAAAAUUGGUAUAAAACAAAGAUUUCCAAAAACCAACAAAUAAAUCAAAAUCUCAAAAGGGCAAAAAAAAGAGUAAAAGCCAGAGUCUUGUCAAAUUAAUUAUAAGAAUCCUCAUAGCUAGCUUUAACUGCAAGUUCUAGAAACAAAAUGAAUAAAUUUAAUCGAUAUCAUUCUUUUAAUAAAUGUUUCAAAGUACGUAAAUAAAACUACACAUAGUUAGAUAGUUAUUAAUUAUUUGACAAGGUGUAACAGAUAAUACCCUAUAAACAACGAUCCAUUUUUGACAAUUUUUUAUUGCAACCCAAACUUUAUCUAAAAGUUUUUCAUGCAACAAUAUAUCAUGACUAACUUUACAAGACCAAUAAGGUUUUACAUCCAAAGAAAAGAAAAUGUAAUAGAUAAGUAAGGAUAGUUAUUAAAUUUUUUUUUAUGCAUGAAAACUUUCUGAACUGAUAAUGAAAUCAGAAGAAUAUUGACUACUUUCAAGACACGUAUUCGAUUCUUCACGUGAGCUUCGUAAAGUUGAUGUUAAACGUUUUGGCAGUAUCCUCUUUUUUCUUCUUUUUCCAUUUUAUUAUUUUUAUAUAAAGAAAAAUGAAAUUCUCCUUUCUAAAAAUUCAGAAAAUACCUCAUAAAAAAAAAAUAGUAAAAUGUAAUAUUUUAAUUCUAAGAAAAGAUUCCAUAUAUCAUUAUGAUACCAAUAUGAUUACAAAGAAAGUGGGAGAAUUCUACUAUAAAUACCCCACGAUCCAUACAUCGAUAAACACCAAGCAAACCAUAAAAAAAAUACGAACAUUUUGCUCCAACACUAAACCGUAUCAUUUCUAAGAAAAUGUCUCGUGCAGCAACCAGGCUACAGCUCUCCAGGGAGGAUAUAAAGGAGAUUUUUAGAGAGCACGACAUCGAUGGAGAUGGUCGAUUGAGCAUGAACGAGAUGGUGAAGGCCUUCGGGUGCUUUGGCAGUAUUCUUCCUUUCUACAAAGCACACUACGGAAUGGCUCAUGCUGAUGAGAAUGGCGAUGGCUUCAUCGAAGAGGAGGAGCUCGACAAGCUUGUCGACUAUGCCCAGAAGUUUCAGCACAAGAGAAAGUGCUGAGGUUAAUUAUAUGUAAUUUUCCUCAGUCUGCUGGUCAUAAUGUCAUUAACACUUUCAGUUUACAUGCACUACUUUAAAUAUUAUACUCUCAUGUUUAGAAGUUUUAAUGUGUUGUUGUAUAAAUAAAGAAAAGAAAAAGAAGGGCUAGGCUACGUAGCUAAAAUUCCUGCUUUGCCUUAGCUAUCAAAAGGGGAGACGUUGUCUUUGUGUUUCAAAAAAUAAAAUAAAUAAAAAAUAAAAUCAUAUUGAGAUAGUUUAUCUCAUUAUUAUCAUAUUUGUAAGUUGUGCGUUUUUUACAAAGAAAUUGGAGGAAAAUGAUCAACAUAAGUGCAUCCAAAUAUCUCAAUAGAUUGUGUUUACUACUUUUAAAGAUUUUUCUAUAAAAAAAGAAAAGAAAGUAAAACAUCAAUCUAGCUAAAUCCUUUUGAAUACUUCGACAUCUAUUUAUCUCUUUACUCUAUUAGUGUUUUCUUUUUCUUUUUAAAAAACUAGUCUUAAUAUUAUUUAAUGUUACUGUAUAUAUCAUAUAUCGCAUUUUAUAUAAAAUUGAAUGGUAUAUUUAAUUUUUAAAUUAAAAAAUUCAAUAUUGUACGAUCAUGUAUUCAAUACAUGAUUACAAUACCUUUGUUUUCAAAGCACCUUGGUUCUUGAAAAAUCAGAACUCUAUGAUUCUUCUUAACCAAAUCGGUUAUGGUGAUUGCCCUAAUUUUGCAUUCUAAGGGCUCAUUUUGGGAAGCUUGUCUAAAAGUUACAAUAGCAUAUUCAGAGCGUCGUAUCACACUUUAAUUCUCUGUAGGACAUGUGUUUCGAUGAAACUCUAAAAAAAGGUUUAAACAAAAAUAAAGUGUUUUAUUGAAAAAUACAUUUUUUUUAAAAAAAAUUCAAUCUAACUAACCCUUAAAUUUUAUUUAAAUUUCUAAACUUUUGUCUCGCUAUUUUGGAAAUUUUAUGAAGUUUACGUUUGGAUAACCUUUAGAAGUAAGACUUUAUUUUAGUGUGCAAUUGUUUUAAACUGAGUUUAAAAUUUGAUUAUUAAGGAUGUGUUCUCGACGAAGAAUUUUGGAAUAUAUGGGCAUAUGGAUGGAAGAAAACUAAAGCCCCUUGGAUGACGAUAAACGUAGGAGGAAUAUAAAUUUACAACCCAUCAUACUUUUUUUUUCCUAUGAUGAACCAUAGUCAAUCCACCUUUUACAAUUAUAUUUUUAAAGGCUCAUCUUGGUCACCAUCUUACUUUUAUUGGUUUGUUCUCAAAUUAUAUUAGUUUUUACAGUAACAUUUUAUUAAAUCACUUAUGUAUCUUUUUCAAAAAAAAAAAUAAAAAAAAAUCACUGAUUAAUUAAUAAAAAACUUAGGCUAAAUGUUGAUAGAACGUAUAUUUUUAGUACUUUAUGUUAGUUCAGGUACUUAGUAGUUCAAAGUUGUUUAUUUAUACAUUUUUUUUAAGAAAGCAAUUGUUUCUUAAAUACGAUAAGAACAUAUGAAAACACAAUGCCUAUCAGAAAUUAUUAAGUAAAAAAUUAAGAUUUUUAAUUAACCAACGUAGGUUUUUUCUAGGUCUACAAACAUGACAGCUUAAAGAAGAUGGACAGCAACUUAAAAUUAAAAUUAAAAUAAUAAUAAAAGAAAUUCCUCAACUUUGUCCUUUAUUUUAAAAAUAUUUUUAUUCUUUCGAAAGGUAGAAUAUUAUCUUUGACUUUGAACAUUACAAAACUGUUCUUUAGAAAUAUAUGUGUUAAAAUAUCUUAUUGAAGUUAGAACCUGAAAUAGUAUAUGUUGAUGACUGAGAAUGAUGCGGCAGUAUUAUCUUUGAGGAUGGCCUAAUUAAACAUUGUUUUUAUCACUUUUUGCAUUAUGCUCAACAUUUUACUAACAUUUCUUAUCUCUGAAGUAUAUAUUUUUUUACAGAAAAAAAAAUAAUGUUACGUAUGUACAUGUUAAUCUUUCUUCGUUUUCUUUAUAAGAAACCAGAAGGCACAAAACACACAAAACACAAUUACAAAAACUUUCUAUAGCUGAAAGAUGAAAUGGGAAUAUGAUUCCAGUGAAGAAAUUUAGAGAUAAUACGACUUUUGAUAAUGCAUUAUAAAUACCAUUCGCUUUCACUACUUGAUGAUACAUAUCAAACAAAAUCUUAAAGCCACGUCUAACUAAAACCCUAAAGCCAACCACAAGAAUGGAAGAAAAAAGUCUUUUUGUUGCACUCCAAAAGCCUCUGUCAGAGAAGGAAGCAAACCUUCUGCUCGAGAUGCGCGAUGCCAACGGCGAUGGAGUUCUCGAUAAGCAGGAACUGAUGGCUGACUUGACACACACUAACAAAAAACCCUCCACAAGCUUACAAGACAUGAAACUCACAAGGGAAGAGAUCAAAGAAAUUUUUGUAGGUUUCGACAUCGAUGGCGAUGGUUUUCUAAGUAAGAAUGAGGUAAUACAGGCCUUCGGUAUGAUGGGUUCAUGCUCCCCGAUUAUGAAAGCUCACUACGCCAUGGCUUGUGCUGAUGAAGAUGGCGACGGUCGCAUUAGCGAGCCUGAACUUAAUAAACUCAUUGAUUAUGUUCAGAGAACCAUUAACAGGAGGAGGUUAAAUUAAUUAGCUAUGAGACAUAUUCAUAUGUAUGUAUGUACUGCUACAUAAUAAAUUUAAAGUUUCAAAAUAACUUUUGAAUUUAAUGUGGGUGGAGGAUUGAACUCAAAUUAAAACUAUUAGAUUAUUGGCAGGUUAAAAAUAGCUUCUAGAUCCUAAACCUUUCUAAAAGAAAUAAUUGAGUUAUAUAAAUGAAAAUAUAGUUUGAGACAAUUUAUUAGUUUGGUGUACUUUUGAAUUUGAAGCAAUUUGGUUCCCUAUACUUAUAUUUGUAAUAAUUUAUGAAAGAAGAGUUGUUGAUAUCCACUUUCCCUUCCUUUCAGCUCCCUCUCUUUUUCCCUUUUGGCACCAUCACCACAGUUCACAUUAGAGCAUUCACCAAUCGUUCACCCGUUGGAAGCGAUCAUGCGCCAUUCGUCCUCAUUUAUCAGCCGUUUUUCAUCACCGUCAACUUUCGUAGGCCACUUAUUGUUGGAUAGAAAAUUAUUGCGAAUAUCACGUGACUAUAAGAAUAUAUUGAUUAUAGUAGUUUAUCGCUAAUAAAUUUCGUUAUAUUUAUCAAAUUUUUGUAGAAUAUUGUCGUACACUUAAAGUCCCAAAGUUGCUGGGCUGCUGCUUUGUUAUGGCCCAAGUGGGAAUAAGGGUUUGAUCCGAUCUGAAUUUUGGUGGCAGGUAUAAAGGAGGGAGAAGAAUAGGAAACAUGGAGGAAUUGCACAUGGGUGAUGUAAAUUCAAUAAUCCUAAUUUCAAUUGUAUAUCCUUUGAUUUUUUGAAAUCAGAAUUGAAAAUCUCUCUCUAAACUCUGCUCUUUCCAUUAUGAUUUUUGGAAUAAAAUUACGAACAACUCAAACAUGGAAAUAGAGGAAAGGCCAUGAUGUACGUGGUUGGGUUAAAUGAACCCUAACCAUAAGUGGAAGAUUUAUUCUUUUGAAGGCUACAAGAAGAUAUAUGGUUUAUUUAUUUCAUUUUUUUUUUUUUAAUUUUACAGCAAUGAUCUAUUUGUGUAUGGGUAUUAUCUGUUGCAAUGAAACUCUUAGGAAAAAUAAAGCCGUUGGAAUCAAAUUAAAUAUUCUUCACCAUGUAUACAAAGUGAAGACAUUUUACCACGGGUGACACAUACAAUAUUGCAGAAAACCAAAGUACAACAACAAACAACAUACAUGGCUCCAUUGUAGAGCAUAAACCAUAUUGACCCAAAACCAUACGAGCAAACACAUAGACAUAAAUAAUACAAAAUAGAUUACUUGGUCGACCGACUUGAUUUAUCAUCCUGCCGUUGCUUUGCAUUAUUAAACCUCAUGACAUGGUCGACGAGUUUCUCCAACUCGUUUUCAUCACAGAAACCAUCACCAUCUUUGUCAGCAAAAGCCAUCCCAUAGAAAGCUUUCUGGAAUGAAUUGAUCAUAAACCCCGUAGAGCUUAGGGCUUGCAUCACCUCUUGAUAUUUUUCUUCUAGUAGUUCAACAAAUCUUGCCUCAUCUUACUCCUUAACUAAAUCAUCUCUCUAACCUUUUCCUAUUUUGGUUUUGAUUUUUGAUUUUACCUUUUUCAACUUGUUAUUUGAAAAUAAGCUAUUAGCUACUCUCAAGCAUUCUCAUUCUCAUUCUCAGUUGAAAAUACAAUGGCUAAAAACUUAACAAAUUUAGGACUACAAGAAGCAAGAUGAUAUUUUAACUUUUUUAAAAAAGAAACAUUUAUUUUUCCAAUUACUAUAUGUCGAAUCCCACUAAAAAUAAUCCAAAGUGAAAGAGAUGAGAUAUAUCUAAUUUCCCCCUCGCAUUAUUAUUCAAGAGUCUCUAUCAAUGCAUGGGAUUAUUCUAGUUGGGUGGAAUUGAAUGUGGCCUUCUACUUCUAGAAUCUAACCUAAUAAUCUUGACUUACUUCCAUUUGGUCCUUACGAAUUCGAUUCCACAUAAUCAGAAGGUGACGACAUCAUAUCCAUAUCUAUCAUCCUUGUUGAUUCUUUUAACAUUAAAUAAAGAAAAUUUGUAAAAAUAGCAAAAUAUAUAUAUAUAUAUGAUAAUAGAGUCCAUGUCAUUUUACAUUUUUAAAAUUACAAAAACAACAAAUUUAAAAAUAGUGAUUACUGUCAUAUUUGCAAAUUUUGCAAUAUGCAAAAAAGAGGUGUUAAUUAGCUGUUUUUUCCUAUUUUUUUAAUCAUUUAAUGCAAUUUUUCUUAAAUAAAUUAAAAUUUUGUUUAUUUGUCACAUAGUUGGUAGUUUGUUGGUUCAGUUUUACUCUUUGAUUUAAACUAAAAGUGAUUAGACUUUAAAUGGAUAUUUGUUUUAGGAUAAUAAUUGAGUGCAUGUCCAGUAGCACCUAUCUCUAUGGAUACUAUCUUUAUUAUUCACAAAAAAAAAAGAAAUAAAUUAUUGUAAAAAACGCAAACAAAUUGUUAUAUGUCAAACAAUAUGGUUGAACUAUUUGGUGAAAUAUAUACAUGUAAGUAUUAAUUUUGUUAUUUUGAAUUUAUUCAGUAUAGUAUAAUAAAAAGUGUAGAAAAUUCAAAUAGGUAUUUGAUAAUAUACAUACAUAUAUACAUAUAUAUUGUAGAUACCCUAUUUUGUCAUAUAUUUAUUUAUUAUAAAAGAAAAAGGAAAAGAAAAAGAAAUUAAAUUUGAAUUUGAAUUUGAAUUUAUAUUUUAAAAACAAUAAUAAUAAUAAAAUAAAUACAUUUAAAAAUAAAUAAUAAAAAUAAAAAUAAAAGGUUUGUUUCCUUCCUAUUUUUUCUCAAAUAUCCAUUUUUCUUCGUCAUCACUCUCCCACUUUCUCCCACUCUAUCACUUUCUCCCACUCUUCCACUUUCUUCCUAUUUUUCUGUAGUCUGCACUCCAUCUCGUGAUCUAAAAAAACAAUGGACCUUGCCCUAUAAAAAGGAAAGAGAAAAAAAGAAAAGGGAGAAUUUUUUUUUAUUAUUAUUGGAGGAAAAAAGAAAGAAGAUCAAGAGGAGUAACCUUUGGCAUUUAAGGGCAGAAGUUUUUUUUUUUUUCCUAUUUUUAUUCUUGUUUGAUGAUACUGCUUUUAAUUAUGAACUAUCGUGUUCAUCAUUGUUCAUCAUUUUACCGUCAUUUGACAUGUUAAUUUAAUUAUUUGUAUUUUUUUUAAUACUAAGCAUUCUAUCUUCCGUUCUAUAUUAAUUUUUUUUAUUUUUUUAAAUAUUGAGCUGUUCUGUGUUAUUUUUUUUUUUGUUGGGUAUCCAUUGUGUUAAUUUCCUUUUAUUAUUGGGCAUCCACUCUAUGUUAAUUUACUUUUAUUAUUGGGCAUCCACUCUGUGUUAAUUUUCUUUUAUUUAUUGGGCAUCCAUUCUGUGGUGAUUUCCUUUUAUUAUUGGGCAUCCAUUCUGUGUUAAUUAAUUAGCAUCAUGUAUUUGUAUUUGGAUACUCAUUUUUCAUUGGCACCCAUUUUACAGUUAAUUACUUAUAUCCAUAUGACAACAUGCCUUAAUAAUUAUGCAUAAUUAAUCAAUUAACAUCAUGUAUUUGGUAAUACUCAUUCUUCAUUGGCAUCCAUUUUACAGUCUUUGUUAAUUACUUUAUCCAUAUAUCCAUAUGGCAGUACUGCGUUAAUAAUUACUGCUAUCCAUAUAUUAUCAAUGUUAAUAAUUAUCCAUGAUAUAAUUAAUAUUUGGCAACACCCAUUUUUCAUUUGGCCUAUUAAUUAAUUAGCAACUUGUAUGUGACAUUUUCACCCACUCAUUCUAAUUAUUUGCAUGAUGUAUUAAUUAAUCAGUAUGCAUCUGGCUAUAAUUAUUUGAUAUUCAUUUUGGUGUGAUUAUUUAUUUGCAAUAUUAUUUAUUUGCAUAUCGGGUCAAACCUACUUUGGCAUUCAACUGUUAAUUAUUAUUUGAUAUCCAUUUGGCCCUCGUUUAAUUAUGCAUUAAUCAAUUAUUUUGUAUCAUGAAUUAAUCAAUUAUUUUUUGCAUCUUGCAUGUGUUGUAUUAAUUAAUUAUCUUUGCAUGUGUUGUAUUAAUUAAUUAUCUUGCAUCCUACAUUAAUAUCUUUUACAUUUUGCAUAUAUUAUCAAUGUAUUUAUUUUAUCUCAGCAUAUUACACUUAAGUAUUUUUCAAAUUUCAUAAUGUUUUGUCAUUGUUAUUAUUCAUUUUUUUUAUUUAAAUAUAAUAAUGUAAAUUGGAGAAAAAGUAUUGUUUUCUUAUGGAUUUUAUAAUUUAAAAACCAUGAAUACAUGAAAUUUUUCCGUUUGAAAUUUAAUUAAUAGAUUGUUUUUAAAUUAACACAUUUCAUAUUUUAAAUGAGACUGAGUAGUAUUUUCUAUGAAUUUAUUAAUUCUAGAUAUAUGAAUUUUUUCAUUAAACACCUAUGAUAGAGAUUAAAAUAUCAAGUUUUUGGUAUCUUAAUAUUCUUAAGGUGAAUAAAAAUAUUUUAAAACAAAAAUAAACUUAAUUUUUCUAAUGGCUCCUAUGCCACCCAUAAUUAUCAAUUCAUGCUUAGGUUUUACUUUCUUCGAUAUGAAUUGAUAAACAUGAGACAUUUAAACAAAACCUAAAUAAAAACUUUGUUAUGUGAACCCUUAUAUUUAAUUUAAAAGAUAAAAUUGGGUAACCAUUUUGUGGGUGUUGUAGGGUGCUAACACCUUCCCUACACACAACUGACUCCCGAACUUAAAUCUCUGAAUUUACGUAGACCAUUCUUUUUUUUUUUUUUUUGGUGACCAAUCACACCUUAAUAUGAUUGGUGGCGACUCCAAAAUUAUUUAUUAAAAUAAAAUAAACGGGGAGGUCGGCCGCUCCGCGUAGCGAUCACGUCGCGACAUAUAUAUAUAUAUAUAUAUCAAACAGGGCUCAUUUCCUUUCAAAAAGAGUUAUGUAAUGACAUGAAACAUCACAAAUAAAAGUUGGAAAAAGAGGAAUAGAAAAAUUAGAAAAGAAAAGAGAAGGAUUAUCACCUUUUGUAAGAAUAUGGUCCCUUUUGUCCCUUUCGAAAGAAAUGUAGGAACCUAUUUUCCUCAAUUGUUAAAUUUCAAUAUAAAUAAUCAAAAUGAUUGUAAAUUAAAAUAUUUAUAAAUAUAAUAUAAUUAAAUAAUCUCAAAAUUUUCUAUAUAUAUUUUUUAUAAUUAUUUUAGUUUAUUUUAUUAUAUUUGGAAUGUUAUUUUUUCUUCCAUUAUUAAUUUUUUAGGUAAUUAAAGUGAAAGAUUUGAUUCAAGUACUAGUAAUUGCAAGGUUUUUAUUAGCACCCAUCGCUGGAAUUGUUUAAAUAUAAAAUUUAUAUGUGAAAGGAUUAAUUAAAGAAUAAACUAGUUUAGGGUAAUUGACUCACGGAGUGAUCUUCAUCCUACGUAUAAUAGUGGUGUUUGAGCAACAAUGUUGCUAGCUAGCUAGCUUGUGAUCUCUAUCUAUGUCUUCAUAUAACAUUAAUACUUCUAUUGAUCUCAAUUUUCCUCUAUGCUUCUAUCCGUUUAAUUAAACCAAUCUUCGUGUUAGUUUAGAAUAAUCAUAAGUUUUGAAUUAAUUAAUUUUUAGUGAUGACUUUGUUUCUCCACCCCUCACAAAGUUGAACUAAAAAAAUUGAUUAAUAACCGGGGUUAUCAGUCCUUUAUUUUCUUCAAAAUAAUAUUUACUUAUAUUACCCUAAUGUUUAAAAUUAUAUCCUGAAAACCAUGUGAAUAACACUUAAAAGAACAAAAAGGCAUUGUUUGAAAAAAAUUAUUUAAAAUAUAGAAUCUUUUGAUUUUCAAAAGCAAAGAUUCAGUAAAGAACAACUUUGGAGAUCACUAUCUUUUAGAUGUGAUGUGUGGAAUAAUCGUCCCUGAAGUGGGAGUGAUACAGAUGAUAUACAAAAGAAAAUAUCAGAAAGCACUAACAAUUAAUGAUGUCUUUAAUACUCUUCUAGUGAAUCUAAUUUAUUUCCAAGGACUCUACCAUAUGUGAGGAAUAUUUGACUGCAUCCAUUUUUACGAAGUCUACUUAAUUGUAACUUGUCCUAUGAUAAAUAUUAGUAUUACACAAUCCACAAUCAAUUAGGCCUAGUACUUGGGAAGUUCUCCAAAGAGCAUAUACAGUAGCAAAGUAUUUGAUGGAUGAUAAAUAGAAAUAGGUUAGAUUUUUUUUCUAGGGUUUGCAAUUGAAGAGUUAAUUUCUUUGAGGAACAAUAUUCACAAAGCAAGAGGGAUCAAGAGAUACAUUAAGACAUCUAAACUAAAUUGACACAUCUCUAACACUUUCAACAAAUUCUAUAACUGAAAGAUGUAUUAAUUACAAUGAGAGAGAACAUAAUGAAAGCCAGAAGGAAGCUUGGGACAGUACAUAGAGUUAGAGCUAUACAAGACGAAGGCUUCCAAUUUAGGAAAAUUUUGACAAGGAUAACAGUAUAUCUAAUUUUUAAUAGGAAUGUAAAUUUGAAAACUUGCAUACCCCUAAUAAUCUGUAGAUACAAAUUUAAGUACUUUUAAAAUUUAAUUUUAUGAAUCAAUUAUACAUUAAACUGCAGAGAGCCAUACUAAACACUUUUCAAAACCGUUACCCAGUGAAAUAAUUAAUUCCAAGAACCAUAAUAAUUAAAUAUGGAGUAAUUUUGUAUAAUAAUCAAGUUGAUGAUUGAUUUGUUGUGAAAUAUUUAUGCUCUUGUCUUGUCAUUUCAAAGUACUGUAGCUUUAAGUGGAUGGUUCUUUUUCCCUCCGAUGCAAAUUCCAAAUUCCAAAUCAACUCCAAAUAUCAUAAAUUUAUUCUUCGACAAAUAAAGAAAGAGUACUAUAUAUGAUCAUAAAAUUAUUUGAAUUGGAAUCAUUCAAAUUGUUUGUACUAUAUAUGAUCAUAACACAGUUUUUUUGCAUAGGCUACACUCAUCUCUACCUUAUUAUUAGAAGGUAACCUGGUUAUCAUUGAGCAUGUGAAAGGUAAAUAAUGUAUUUAAUAUAAAAAUCAAGAUCUCUCUAAUUUUUCUUCGACGUGAUAUUCUUUAACCCUAGUUAGUGGGGUACGCUAAGAAAAUGUAGUAUAAAUACACAAAACCACGACCACCAAAGCUCACAAAACAAAACCCCCAUUCCUCCUGAACCUCCUUCUCCAAAGAAAAAAGAAUGGCGUUCCGUUCAGUGAACAAUCUUCAAUUCUGGAAGGAUGACAUGAGGAGAGCUUACAGAGAGAAAGUUGGGAGUUCAAGAAGAAGGCGUAUCAAAAUCCGCGACAUCAUCGACGUCUUAGAAAUCGUCGGACCCAUCAUCCCUCAUUUCUUCGGUAGUAACUCUCUCAGUGCCGGUCCCGACAACUACAGUAAUUAUGGUAAUAACCACAUGAAUGGUAGUUAUGGUCGUCGUGACGAUGACAUGCAUUCUUUCCACUGUGGCGGCGGCGGUGGUGGCCGGUUCGGUCUUGACAUGGGUUCUGGUGAUUAUGGGAAUGAAAGCAGGCACUACGGUGGACGUGGAAAUGGUAACAGUCAGUACGGGAUGAGGAUGGCUCUUGCUGAAGACUAUUAUGAUCGUGAAAUCACCGAGGAAGAGUUUGAGAGGCUUCUUGACUUUGCUGAGCAGAGUCAUAACAAUAAUUCCAGAAUGUACUGAUCAAAAUAUAAUAUAAAAAUUAUAUGUGUGGGACAAAAUAUAAUAAUAUCAACCCCUUCCUUCUUGUAAUCUACACCACUUCUACUCUAUUAUCCUUCUAAUAAAAUUUAAAAAAGUAAUAAUGGACUGCCUUGCUACUCCUUUUUCUUUCUUUUUCAUAAUAAAAAAAAAGUUACUUGAGGUUUUUCUUUCGAUAAAAAUGUUAGAAAUUAAAAAUUUGCAAGUGUUAAGUAAUAUAGGAUUUAUAAUGGCAGUGAAUAUUAUUAGAUAAUAUGAUUAUAUGAAAUUGGUUUUAAGUUUAUCUUAAAUUUAAUUUAGCAUUGUAUUAACUUCAACUAAUUUAGAUUUAUUGAACUUAAUUAAAUUUGAAAGACUAAUUUAAAUUUAAAAACCGUUAGCAAAUAUAAUAAUUAAAUUUAAAGCAAUAGAAUUUAUCACACUUGCCUAUAUUUACAAUUUACCAUUAUUUACCAUUUCUUUUUAAUUAUUAUUUCUAAAAUAUUUUUAUAAUAGUUAUCCUAAAAUUUAUAUAAUAGAUGUCAUUGAAAAUUCAUCUAAAAAAAUUUAUACACCCAGAAGAGUUCGGCCCAUUGAUUGAAGCAGCCUUCUUCCGAUCAUGUUUAAUUUUAUCACUCUUUUCGCCUAAUUAUAUAAGCAUUUCGUAUGAGGAUGAGGGAAAGACAUUAUUCAUUAAAAGCACCUGCAUCAUAUUAGGGAGAGAGUAAAGUUAUUUUUCGUUUUUAAAGAAAUAAAAGUCUUUUUUUUUUCUGUUGAGGUGUCAAUUAGAGAUUUCAUAUCACUUGUAGAAUACGAUGAGGAUGCUAAAAAUGUAUUAAUGUAGUUGAGAGAUGAUUUGGAUGCUUCUGGUGAUUCUAUCAUUUAGUGUCUUUGUUGAAAAAUAUAUGAGGAUUUUAACUUCUUAACGUUAAACUAGAAAAAUAUCCUUAAAUACUAUGGACUAAGAGAGAGGGUCAAUGGGCUUUUACAUGCCAAAUAUACAAACAUGAGAGAACUAAAUAACAUAAAAAGAAAAAGGAAACCGAGGAUAUAUAUAUAUAUAUAUAUAUACGUGAGGACUAUGAACACCGAUGAACAACCUUUGAUUUUCCAGCCACGGUGUAUACUGUAUAACUUGUUUUGUUGUUAUGUAUUAGACUUAUUUAUUUUUCAAAAUAUUUAUGUAUAAUUGCUUUUAAGAGAAAUGUAGUUGAGAAAUGUAUAAUUAUUUUUGAAAAUAUAUAUAUUCAAACAAGUGAUUUGAUAUAUAUAACAGACGAUGCUUUUAGGAAACUUUAGCAAAGUUUAUUGCAUAAAAGAAAAUAGAGUAUUUUUAUAGCAUCUCUAUCACUUCAGAAUAAAAUAUGACAGCAUGAUCUUCCGCGUGGUUUAAUUUACAAUUUGGAUCAACAUUGAAACUUCAAGUUUCGUAAGAUUGUAGGCAAGGGGUUACGACUUGAUCAUAUUUUAAUUUAACAGUAUUGGUGGAUCUCAUGAAGUUUUGAAAAUGUCAACACACGCUGUAUUAUUUCCUUAAUUAAAUGCAUUUAAUUAACACAUUUCAUUAAGUUUUGAAAAUGUCAAACAAUAUUCUUUCAAUUCAUAUUAGCUCAAAAACUUCACAAUCACACUUAGUGAGUUUUCUAAAAUAGCUUGAAUUCGUUAAUUAAAUAAAGGGAAAUUAUCAAACCAGAUUAAACUUUUUUAUGUCAACAGAGUGAUUUAAGAUAGAGCAUGUAGUUUAGGGCUGUUUAAAAAUAUAUAUUUAUUAACUUCUUUGGUACUUAAAAUUUAAAAACAAUUAUUUAACUCAAACGGGUUGUUUUAUUUAAUGUUUUAUUAUACUUCACAUUUUUUUUUUUUAUUUGCCAAUUCAGUUGAUUUUUUUUAUUCUAAUUAAGUGGCAGGGCCUCUUUAUAAACCUUAUUAAAAGGACUGAUACUAGAAUUUACUUUUUGAAAAAAAUACGUUGGAUCAGUAGGUGCACUCGGACAUUUCUAUAGAUAGACACCCGCUUAGCAUCCAGACACUCCACUAUGUGCAUCUAGACAAAAUACUAAGACCAAAAUUAGACAUAUAUCAAAGUGGAAUCAAGAAAUAAACCAUUAUAUUCUUGGAUUAUUAUAGUUUGAUUAAAAUAAUUUAUUUUUGUGGUGUAGAUUAUUUUAGUUUGAGAUAUAAUAGUAUGUGUUCAAUAUAGACUAUUUUAGUUUGAUAAGAAGUAAAUAGUAAACAGUAAAAAAAAAUGAUAAAUAGUAAAAUAGUAAAAAAUGUAGUAAUUAAACAAAAAAAUAUUUUAACAAAUUGAAAAUUUGAAAUAACGUUUACCAUAACUAAUUGAAAACUCUUAAAUACUAUUUAGUGGAAGAAAAAAGGUAGCAUGUUUGGUGCAUUCAAACAAACUCAAACCAAAUAUCUCUCCAAUCAAUUUUCGUACAAUUCUCUCUCCUUUUCUCUUACUCUUCUCUACCUCGUAGAAUCAAGAGAAAUUGUAUUAGAUGACAAGAAUAUUUAAAAAAAGACAAUAACUGACACUUUUUUUCUUUUGUAUAUUAUGAAUAUGACAAAUAUGAUUGGUAAUUAGUGAUACUAGAUAAUUAUCAAUUUUCAAAAUUUAUUAUUCUAAUUUAGAAAAUAUAGUGAAACGAAUUCUAUAAUUAUAAUUAUAUAUAUAUAUAUAUAUAUUUUGUUAUUUUUUUUGGAAGGAUUCCUAAAAUUAAAUAUAAUAUUCUCUCUCCAAUAUUCUCUCCCUUUAUUAAAUACUAACAUGUGUCCUGCAUGUUAAUUUUUUUAAUUACAAUUAUUUCCCAUCUAAGUAAACAUAUAUUAUUUAUAUUUUAUUGGCUUUUUUAAAAAAAAUUAAUUAUUCUUAAAAUAUAAAUAAAAAGGAGACAUCACCAACACUUAUUUUUACAUUGACAUAAAAUAAAUAAUUUUUAAUUAAACAUAAUAAAAAUAAAAUGUAAAAUUACACCUAUUUAAAAAAACAUUUUACUUUAUCCAUCAUUUCUCCGAUAUUUAAAGUCACGAUGUCAUAAAACAUAUUAUAUCAAACUAUUUCUAUCAAUUAGACAUAUCAAAGUUUAAGGAAAAUUCUCCUAAAAAUUGGCAAAGUAUUACAAUUUCUCCUAUCCGUGGUAGGAUAUCCUUUGAUAAAAUAUUGCUUUUUUUUAAAAAAAAAAGAUUAUUUUCAAAUCUAUUUAGAGAGUUUCACAUGGUAAAGAUAACAUUUUGUCUCUAAUAGAAAUUCUAGCCAUUGAAGUUGGUGAGUAAGGAGACUUUGGAGGUUUUACUUAGCUACUACAAGAAAUUAAGUUUUCACUCACGUAGAAAAAACGUUAUUAAAAUAUAAAAGAACAUUGUUAAAAAUAUUAAGAACAUCAUACCAUUCGUUGCUAAGAUUGUUGUAAUAUUCUGUAGCUAAAAAUUUCAGCUACACAACAAAUGCACACGCCGCAAAAUGUCUGCUUUUAGUGAUAUUUGUGCAUUACUAAAUACUUUUAGUAACAUAUAUGUUUUGAUACUAUUUAUCUUUUAUAGUGACCUAAAUUAAGUUAAUUUUUUAAGAAAAUUUAAUUUUCAAUCUUUCUUUACAUAGUUUUUACCUCUCUUAAAUAUAAUCUUAGAAGGUAUUUGGAAUGCAAAAAGUGAGUUAUAUAUUAUAUAAUUUUAGGUUAUUAUAAUUUGCUUAGAAUAGUUUAUUUUUUAGACGUAAAUUAUUUUAAAUUGAGUUAUAAUAUUAUGUGUUGAUGUGUAUGCUAUUUUAGUUUUAUAAAAAUGUAGCAAACAAUAAAAAGAUGAACGAAUGUAAAAUAGUAAAAAAUGUAACAAGUAAUUGUUACAUUAACGAAUUGAGAAUUUUCAAAUAAUAUUUAUCAUUCAAUUUUCAAUAGUAUUGUGUGGAGCAAUAAAUAGUUAUUAUAAAGUUUGAUAAUGUUUGCCCCAUAACCACAUUUUUAUGUAUUAAAAAAAACUGAAAUCAAAUAUCUCUCACCUCUUAUCUUCCGAUCUGUUCCAUAAAAUCAAAUAUAAUAUUUUCUCAUUCCUCACUUUCUUUCUCUCUGCAUUCUCUUUUCGUUUAUUAAAUAUUAACAUGUGUCGGGCAUGUUUAAUUUUUUAUUUUUAUUUUUAAUACACCAUAUGAUAGAUAUCGGUUUUUUAAUACACUAUAAAAUAAACUAAUAAACUUGUGGAAUUUUUUACUAAUUAAUUAAUUAUGACUAUUAAUUUUAAUUAACUAUUGAACAUUAUUAAGGGUACAAAGAAAUUAUUAUCAUCAAUUACCAACUCUAUAUAAAGACUCCUUCCACAAAGAAAAACUCAGGCACAAAUAAAUUGUUAUCAUAGAUAUCAGAGGUUGGCCAUUUGGCAAAGUACGCCCGCUCUCGAAUAUAUCAUUGAAAUGGCAACGUCGAGGUCUCAAUUGAAGUUGACUAGGGACGAGGUUAGGGAGAUCUUAGAAGAACAUGAUGUGGACGGUGAUGGUCGCCUGACUAAGCAAGAGGUGAUGCAAGCCCUGAACUCCAUGGGUGUUAUGAUGUCGUUUCAGAAAGCUCACUAUGGUGUUGCUUUUGCUGACAAAGAUGGAGAUGGUGCAGUCGAUCUAGAAGGUGGUGAGAUUGAUUCGCUUGUUGACUAUGUCAUGAGGUUUCAGGCCUCAAAGGACGUCCCUAAAGAUGCCAGCCCAGAAGCCUUGCCAUGAUGGUGAAUCGAAUUGUGUAAUAAUCUUAGCUUAUUUCUAUUUUUUAUGUGUUCAUCUUCGUCGUCGUACCUGUUUUUCAGCCCAUAUUGUUUAUGUUACAAAUUGAGCUAUGGUUAUGCUCAAAUUGACAAUUAUCCACGCAUGUUUGUUGUCUACAAUAUUAUUGUGUCAUCGGUGAUAAAAAUGUCUUUCUUCUUGAAUCUACGGAUUAUUAUAUAAUAAACAUCCCUAAACUAAUAUUAAAAUUGUCAAAUUUUUCUGUUUCAUUAUUUCAUUUCAUGCAAACGUGUGAAUUAUUGUUUUAACUUUACACCGUAUAAAUAUAACUAUUAAUUAAAUAAAAUCUAACAUAAAGUUUACAAACAUUUACAAUCAGAUAAAGUUUAGUACAUAGAAGAAUAUUUUGAAUAUGUUAUUUAGUAUUCCGAACACCCAAAACUUAAGUGGUAUUCGAAUACUUAUUUUAUUUAUGAUUUUAACCAUAAAAUUAAGAGAAUUGUAAUAUAUAAACUCAUAAUUCUAAAGAGUGCUUCUUAAUUUAUAGUUUGAUAAUUUUUCUUUUUUAAAAAAACUUGCUAUCUCCCUGAAUUCAUGGAUCCGUGUACAACUAACACAUCAUUAAUCAACUAUAUAAUUGUAUCAAUUAUCUAUUGUUUACUUUUUUUUUUUUUUUGUUAAUUUUUUGUUGCCCAUUUCUUAACAUUGCAGGUAUAAAAUUGUAUUUGAUAACUGGCAAAAUUACAUGUUCAAAAUAUAAUAGAAAUGUUCUAAAUAAAUUAACGCCAUAAUGAACCAAUUAAAACAAGAAGUAACCAAAUAAAUGUGUUAAGACUUAAGAGUAUACAAACGGUAAAACACACCAUAUUAACAUUCUCAUGUAAGAAUACAAAUGUGUAUACAAAUCAAGGUCUUCACUGUUUGCAUAGCAUAAGCAACACCUCUUUGGAUUCAGACACAUGGUCUUACACUUUUUUUGCAUGACUUCUAUUGUAUUUAUUUUCCUAUGAAAAACUGUUCAGAGAAAGAUUUUUCAUUUCUUUGGAAUUGCUGAAGUCCAAAUUAUUUCGAAGAUUUUUUGGUGCUCGUUCCUUAGAUGAUGUCGUUGGGGGUCUUGUAAUGCCUUUUCUGCCGAGUCUGUGGAGAAAUCUCUGUUUCCAUUUUUUAUUAGAUUGGUGAGUUGGUGCCUUGCAGUGAGUUGUGUAUUGGAAGAAAGGAUUUUACAUUAUCCCAUAAAAUGAUCUCUCUAUCGUUUAAAAGCCUUCUAGGCUUUAUGUUCCAAUCAUUUGAGUUAGGAAGCCAGACUUCAUUUACUGCUUCAGUUUUUGAAUUGUGCAAAGCAUAAAGCCUUGGGUAGGAAAUGGCUAGGGGACUUUUAUCAUUCCAUCUACCAUACCAAAAGGAUAUGUUUUCUCCAUUGUUAAUUUCCCAUUUGAGGUUGCUUUCAAACCAUAAUUUGUUUUUGAUUAUGGACAUCCAAGGGGCCCUUGCACUACAAAACUUUCCAUGUGGUGGUAGAUCUCCAAUGUAGUUAGUCGAGUACUUAGCGCUGACGAUCUUCCUCCAUAAGGCAUUUGGUUAUGAUAAAUAGCGCCAUAGCCAUUUACAUAGGAGAGCAUUAUUUGUGUGAUUCAGCUUGGUGAUCCCCCAGACCUCCGUUUUCUUUUGGACUGGUGACAAUAUCUCAGUUGAUAAGAUGAGAUUGUGAGGACUUAGAGUUGUCAGAAUUUGAACCCCAAAGGAAGUUUCUCCAGAUUUUUCAAUCUUUUUUUAGACCAUUGAAGGAGCUUUGAAGACUGAAAGUUGAUAGGUUGGGAGGCUACAGAGGCUGGCUUGAAGAAGAGUGUACCUUCCACCUUUAGAGAGUUGAAAAUAUUUCCAACCGUUGAGCUUUUUUUGGAUUUUUAAGAUUAUAUUGUCCCAGAAACUCAACGAGUUUGGUUUACCACCUAAAGGGAUGCCGAGAUACAUUAUAGGGAGAUUUUCAGAAUUUAUUUUAUGCUCGUUUUUCACCACAAUGCAACGAGAAAUUGAGACAUUGAUCGGACUUAUUGUUGAUUUAUUUUUAUUGAUGGAUAGACGGGAAGCCUUUUCAAAGAGAUUUAGAGCACACCUUAAAUUUGUAAUGGCCUUAUCAUUGUCUUCAACAAAGAUCAGAAUAUCGUCUACAUGAAGAAUAUGGUUUAGGUUGCUGUCAUUUUUGAAAACCACACCUUGAAUGGCUUUGGAGGAAUUUAAAUGAUUCAAAAUUGCACUGAGGUAAUCUAGAGCCUAAGACAAACAUGAAAGGAGAAAGAGGGUCUCCUUGUCUUAGACCUCUUCUAGGCAGAAUUUUGCCUUUUUGUUGGCCAUUCAAUAUGAUUGAGUAAUGAGCUCUUGUGAUUCACGCUUUAAUCCAAUUUCUCCAAUGAAGCCGAAAGUUUUUCUUGAUUAGCAUGAAAUCGAUAGAUUUCCAGUUAAUUGUAUCAAAAGCUUUUUUCAGAUCAAUAUUGAUCACAAAACCUGUUUUUUUGUGCUAGUUUUCCAGUAGUCUAACCACUUCAUUGGCCAAAAGAAUAGCAUCUGUGAUUUGUUUGUGGUUCACGAAAGCAAAUUGAUUUUCCGCAAUUAUGCUUGAAAGCGUCUUUUUUAGCCUCUUAGCUAACACUUUAGCAACAAUAGCUAAGUAGUAAGAUUUAUGGGCCUAAAGUCAGCAUGAGAGGUGUAGGCCUUUCUUUAGCAAUAAGGGAAAUAAAUGUGUUGUUGAUGUUUUUGUUUAUUACUCCUUUUGUAUGGAAAUCAUUGAAAAACUCCAUGAUAUCAUUCUUUAGUAAGUACCCGAACUUUUAAAGAAUUUCAUUGAAAACCGUCUAGUUUGGUCUCGAUGAUUGUUGUUCAUAAAAUCUUACAUUAUCAAUUUAAUCCAAAAACUUAAAUAAUAGAUAAAAGUAAAUAUAAUAUAUAUAGAAAUAGUUAUAAAAUAUACAAUUAAAGUUAAAAUAAUUAAAUAUACCACCAAAUUUUUUUAAAAUUAUAAAUAUAUAUAGAUGUUGCCGAUCUAUAAUUAUAAAGUAAUUAAAUGGAUAGAAACAAUUAGACAACACUACGUACAACGUAUUUUUCAAUUGCAUUUAUUUUCCAGCCUUCACCCAAUAGUCUUACAUUAACUAUAAAAUAAUUUUCUAACUAAAUUUUAUAUUUGUUUUGUUCAACCAUCUUAAUUAUUAUUUAUUAUUUUUUUUAUCAAGAAAACAGUCUAAAUUUAUUAUUCCUUCUAGAGACGAAGGUGUUAAAGAUAUAUAACUUCUACGUGUGAUAUACCAAUAUUCCUUGAUCUCCUAGACUCAUCAUAAAGUUUGAAAAAAUUAUUUCUUAAAUUUAAAUUAAUAUAAUCUCUUUAUAUUUACCAAUUCAACUAGUUACGACUUAGACUUUUUGACUAAUAAAUGGAAGGUUGAAAAAUUUUAACUUUAAAAAAAUUUGAAAUUGAGAAAACCCAAGAAUAAUUAACAGAAGAAAAAACCAUAGACCAAAAAUAAAUUUAAUUAGUAUUUAAGCUUAUGUUAUUAAUUGUAAUUAAUUUUUUUUAAAGGAACCCUAACCAUGUUUCUCAAUCUUUCUCUUCAUAGUCUUUGUCUCUUUCAAACGUUAGAAGGUGUUUAGGGACAAAAAUUGAUUUAUUAUAGGUUAAGGGUGUGUUUGGUUUAGAUUAUAAAGUGUUUAAUUUUGUCAAAAAAGAACUAUUAUGAAAAAAAUGGUAGUGUUUGGAAAAUUAAAAUAAAUGCAUUUUAUAAAAAUUCAUUUAUAAAAUAAUCUAUUUUGGAGAAGUCUUUAAAAACCAAAUUCACACGCAGAAAAGUCUAUAAUCAAACAUCAAGUGUUUAAAUUUUAAACUCAUUUUAAAAAAGUGUUUAAAAAAAAUGUAUCAUUGAAAAAUAUUUUUUUUAAUUCAAUCCAAAUAAAUACUAAAAUUAUUAUAGUUUGUGUGUGAGGCGUACAUUAUUUUAGCUUUAAUUAUAAGCUAGGCAAUUGAAGAGCAAUAAAUAACUCAUGUUUGCCCCCAAAACCUAUCACAUGUUAUUAUCAAGAUAACAUUAAAACCAAUAAGAUAAGACAGGUUUUCUAAUACCCUAUAAAAUAAACUAAUAAACUUGUGGGAUUUUUUACUAAUUAGUAAAUAAGUAUUAAUUAAUCAUGACUAUUAAUUUUAAUUAACUAUUGAACAUAAAUAUAUUAUUCAAACGUACAAAGAUCAAUUAUUAUCAACUCUCUAUAUAAAGACUUUCUGCAAAGAAAAACUAUCAUCAAUUACCAACUCUAUAUAGACUCUUUACGCAAAGAAAAACUCUAAGAAGACAAAGAAAUUAUUAUCAUCAAUUACCAACUCUAUAUAAAGACUUCUUCCACAAAGCAAAACUCUAAAGGCACAAAGAAAUUAUUAUCACAGACAUCAGAGGUUGGCUUUUUGACAAAGUACCCCGCUCUCGAUCGUAUCAUUCAAUGUCGGUGUCUAGAUCUCAAUUGAAUUUGUCGAGGGAUGAGAUGAUUAAGAAGAUUUUCGAAGAGUAUGACGUGGACGGAGAUGGAACCCUCACCAAGCAAGAAGUGAUGCAAGCCAUGGACGCCAUGGGUUUUAAGAUACUGUUCCAGAUGACUCAAUUUGGUAUUUCUUUUGCUGACAGAGAUGAUGAUGGUAAGGUUGAUCAAGAUGAGUUGGAGAAACUGAUCGACUGUGUCAUCAGGUUUCAAACCCGCAAGAGAGUCUGCAGGCGGCCGGUUAAUUCGACAGAAAAAACAAGAUGAUGAAUCGAGACCAUGUAAAUCUAUUUUCAAUUUAGGUGUUUGUUUGUUUUCAGUCAAUAAAUGGUUUAUGCUACCAUAAUUGAGCGCGUUAUGCUCAAAUUUAUGUGUUUGUUUGUUUGUUUUGUUAUACUUUUGUUGUCUGUAUGCAGAAUAUUGAUGUCUCUCCCUCUCUAAUUUAUGAAUAUAUAUGUUUCAACUUUACAUUAUCUAUAGAUACACACACUUCCGUAAUUUUGUUAAAUAAAUAGUUCAAAUUUGUAAACAAUGAAACAAUCGUGGCCAAAAUCACAGCAUCAAUCGCACAACCAGUCGUGUCAAAUUGUAGCUAUUAAUGUAAAUUCUGUAAAUUAGGCUAAUUACAUUACAUUAGGCUAAUUAUAUUACAUUCCUUAUUUAAUUUGGGUAAUUUAGCUAUUUAUGUAACAUUUGAUACUCUUGUAAAAUACAGAAAAUUCAUCAAUAAAAUACAAAAAGAAUAUUCCUUUCACAUGGUAUCAGAGCCAAAAACCCUAGAUCUACUUUAAUCGUCGUCGUCGCCGCCGACCGCCCGUGAACCGCCGCGUCUUCGUUAACUCCAAGAAGCGCUGCGCGCCAAAAAGUAGAUCUCUGUCCCGUGUGUUCAUCGCUCAGCACGUCGUUCCGUCACAGCCUCGGUGUCGCGCCAUUCCGUCAAGUCGUAGCCUUGGCGUCACGGCGUUCAAAUCAUCGCGUCGUCCUGUCCGUUCUGAAGCGCCAGUCGUCACCGCUGAGUUACAACCCCCUCUGCCGUUCCAAGCCGCACGCGACUCCUCUGUCUUCCCAAGCCGCACGCGACUCCUCUUCCAGUCGUGAGUGCAAGACGACGCCAUCCACCAGAUCUGACGAAUCUUCCAGGUGACUGUCUUCAUUCGUUUGUCUCUGCUCACAGCCGUGAACCUCUGUCCGUAAGCCGUGACCCUCUGUCCGUAUCCUGUCCAUUGUUGCAACCCAGCCGUGAAGACAAAUCCUGACCGCGAAUCCAGUCGUGUCCUUGCCGUCGCAACUCAGCCGCGACCCAGACAAGAAGACGCUCACCUGUCACGAAUCCCAGCCUUGCGAAUCCCAAUCGCAAAAUCCAGAAUCUGACGAAUCCAGUCACGAAUUAAUCGAAACUCAGCCGGAAAUUCUCAUUGUUAACCUCAACUGCGAAUCCAAAUGGAGAGAGACCAUGUCUUGAGACCCAUUGGUACAAUUCUUGAUGGUACAAAUUAUAUCACAUGCAUGGGCAAAUCAAAUGAAAAGUUUUCUUAUUGGAAGAAAACUAUGACGCAUUGUAACUGGUGACAUAACCAAACCAAUUGCACAAAACAAGGACAAGGAAGGAGAUAACAAAUUCAUUGAACACCUCGAAGAUUGGGACAGUAAUUAAAAAUCAUCAAAUUAUCACCUGGCUUGGUAACACCUCUAUUCCCGCUAUACAUGCACAGUUUGAUGCCUUUGAUGAUGCUAAAAAAUUAUGGGAUUUUUUGUCUACACGCUUCAAGUCUAUUGGUUUAGCCCAUUAUUAUCAACUGCACAAUACACUUGUAAAUCUAAAUUAGGAUAUUGGUCAGUCUGUCAAUGAAUAUUUGGCAGUUCUUCAACCCAUUUAGACUCAGCUUGACCAAGCAAGCAUCAGCAAAGAUCGUCUUCGCCUUAUUAAAGUCCUUAUGGGAAUACGCCCAGAAUAUGAAUCUGUUAGAGCUGCUUUACUACAUCGGAAUCCCUUACCCUCAUUAGAUGCAGCUAUUCAAGAAAUUAUGUUUGAAGAAAAGCGCCUUGGCAUCAAUUCUACUAAACAAUCUAAUGUUGUCCUUGCCAGCACAUACACUCCCAACAGAGCCUCAAAUAUGUUUUGGAAGAAUUGUAAGCUCUCUCGUCACAAAUUUAUUAACUGUCCUAAAAUAGAGUGCAGGUACUGCCAUAAACAUGGUCACAUUCUGGAUAACUGCCCUACCAGACCACCCCGACCUCCUGUCACUUCCACAAAAGAGAAAAAUUUUACUAAACCUGGUUCCUCAUCUGUUGUUGCUGCAACCUCGGAUGAUUCAUCCCUCAUUCAGAUAAGUGAUCUUCAGAGCUUAUUGAAUCAACUAAUUUCAUCAUCCUCUGCUCUUGCUGUCUCAUCAGGUAAUCGAUGGCUUCUUGAUUCUGCCUGUUGUAAUCAUAUGACCUCUGACUUUUCUCUUAUGUCUACUUCUAGCCCUACAAAAUCUUUACCUCCUAUUUAUGCUGCUGAUGGUAAUUGUAUGAACAUCUCUCAUACUGAUACCAUUGAUACUCCCAGUUUACAUCUUCCCCAUACUUACUGUGUUCCUAACCUGACCUUUAAUCUAGUGUCUGUUGGUCAAUUAUGUGAUCUUGGCUUAAAUGUUUCAUUUUCUCCCAAUGGUUGUCAGGUUCAGGAUCCGCAGACGGGACGGACGAUUGGAACGGGUCGCAAAGUGGGAAGAUUGUUUGAGCUCACAUCACUUCAGGUUUCAUCUCCUUCUUCCAUCUCUUCUUCAGUCACUUAUUCUGACACAUAUCAGUGGCAUCUUCGUCUUGGUCAUGCUUCUUCUGAAAAACUUCGUCAUUUAAUUUCUGUUAACAAUUUGAAUAAUCUUACUAAGUUUGUUCCUUUUAAUUGUUUGAAUUGCAAACUUGCUAAACAACCUGCCUUAUCUUUUUCUCAAUCCAUCUCUAAUUGUGAUAAACCUUUUGAUUUAGUGCAUUCUGAUAUUUGGGGUCCUGCCCCAAUUACUACUGUUCAUGGUUAUCGCUAUUAUGUUUUAUUCAUUGAUGACUACUCUCGAUUUACAUGGAUUUACUUUCUAAAACAUCGUUCUGAAUUAUCUCGCACAUAUAUUGAGUUUGCUAACAUGAUUCGCACUCAAUUUUCCUCUCCCAUCAAAAUUCUUCGCACUGAUAAUGCUUUGGAAUAUAAAGAUUCCAUCCUUCUUUCUUUUCUUUCCCAACAGGGCACUAUUGUUCAGCGCUCUUGCCCUCAUACCUCUCAACAAAAUGGACGUGCUGAGCGCAAACAUCGUCACAUUCUUGACUCAGUACGUGCCCUCCUUCUUUCUGCCUCUUGUCCAGAAAAAUUCUGGGGUGAAGCUGCCCUUACAUCAGUAUAUACAAUCAAUCGUCUUCCCUUCUCUGUUCUUCAAAACACCUCUCCGUUCGAAAGACUAAAUGGUAUUUCUCCCGACUAUUGUAAACUCAAAGUUUUUGGUAGUGCCUGCUUCGUUCUUUUACAUCCUCAUGAACACAAUAAGCUUGAACCACGUGCCCGUCUCUGUUGUUUCCUUGGCUAUGGCACCGAACACAAAGGAUUUCGUUGUUGGGACCCUCUUUCCAACCGACUCCGGAUAUCUCGGCAUGUUACCUUCUGGGAACACACUAUGUUCUCUCGUUUGUCCUCCUUCCACACCUCUUUCUCUAGUCCUCAAUCUUUCUUUACAAAUACAUCUGUCGACAUUUUUCCUCUCUCUGAACCCACCUUGGAUACUGAGCUUACACAAUCGCCACCUGCUACUCCUCUUCGUCGCUCUACCCGGGUAAGAGAACCUCCCACUCAUCUCAUUGAUUACCAUUGUUUUUCCACCAUUGUUUCCCUUGUUGAACCCACCUCUUAUCAAGAGGUCAGUACUAACCCAGUAUGGCAGAAAGCAAUGGAUGAAGAAUUACAGGCUCUUGAAAAGACGCACACUUGGGACUAUGUUGACUUACCUCCCGGUAAAAGACCCAUUGGUUGCAAAUGGAUUUACAAAAUCAAAACUCACUCUAAUGGAACUAUUGAACGUUAUAAAGCUCGGCUUGUUGCAAAAGGAUACUCACAAGAAUAUGGGAUUGACUAUGAAGAAACAUUUGCCCUUGUUGCCCGGAUGACAUCUGUUCGCAGCUUGUUAGUUGUUGCUGCUGCCAAACAGUGGCCUCUUCUUCAGAUGGAUGUCAAAAAUGCCUUUCUUAACAGAAACCUCUAUGAAGAAGUGUAUAUGAAGCCACCUCAGGGCACUUCUCCUCCUCCCAACAAGGUGUGUCUCAUUUGUCGCGCUCUAUACGAUCUAAAACAGGCUCCACGAGCUUGGUUUGCCACGUUUAGCUCCACCAUUACUCAACUUGGAUUUACCUCCAGCUCUCACGACAAUGCCCUUUUUACACGACAGACAACUCAUGGUAUUGUUCUUCUCCUUCUUUAUGUUGAUGAUAUGAUUAUUACUGGUAAUGAUCCACAGGCCAUAUUCGACCUACAACAAUAUCUUGGUCAACAUUUUGAGAUGAAAGACCUUGGACCUCUCAAUUACUUUCUUGGUCUUGAAGUCUCUCACCGUUCAGAUGGUUAUCUGUUAUCUCAAGCGAAAUAUGCAUUUGAUCUGAUAGCACGCUCAGGAAUUACAGACUCCACCACAUCUUCAACAUCGUUAGAUCCUCAUGUCCAUCUAACUCCGUUUGAUGGCGUUUCUCUUGACGAUGCAAGCUUGUAUCGGCAACUUGUUGGCAAUCUUAUAUACCUAACAGUGACUCGCCCAGAUAUUGCAUAUGCUGUUCAUAUUGUCAGUCAAUUUAUGGCUGCUCCUCGAACAAUUCAUUUCAUUGUUGUUCUACGCAUACUUCGCUAUGUCAAAGGCACCUUGGGACAUGGUCUCCAGUUCUCCUCUCAGUCUUCCCUUGUGUUGUCGGGAUAUUCUGAGGCUGAUUGGGCGGGGGAUCCUACUGAUCGACGAUCCACCACAGGAUACUGUUUUUACUUAGGUGAUUCUCUCAUCUCAUGGCGUAGUAAGAAACAAAGUGUUAUAUCUCGUUCAAGUACGGAAUCUGAAUAUCGUGCUCUGGCUGAUGCUACAGCUGAACUUAUAUGGCUUCGGUGGCUCCUUGCUGAUAUGUGUGUCCCUCAACAGGGUCCUACCCUCCUCCAUUGUGACAAUCGUAGUGCCAUUUAGAUUGCUCACAAUGAUUUGUUUCAUGAACGUACAAAACACAUUGAAAAUGACUGUCACUUUGUUCGUCACCACCUCUUAAGCAACACCCUCCUCUUACGUUCUGUUUCUACUCUUGAACAACCUGCGGAUAUCUUCACCAAAGCCUUGCCAUCUAAUCGAUUCUGUCAAUUACUUACCAAACUCAAGUUGAUCGCCACUCUACCACCUUGAGUUUGAGGGAGGGUAUUAAUGUAAAUUCUGUAAAUUAGGCUAAUUACAUUCCAUUAAGCUAAUUAUAUUACAUUCCUUAUUUAAUUUGGGUAAUUUAGCUAUUUAUGUAACAUUUGAUACUCUUGUAAAAUACAGAAAAUUCAUCAAUAAAAUACAGAAAGAUUAUUCCUUUCACAGUAGCAAAUCAACGUACCAUUUGACAGCAAAAAUCAAGCCUCAACAUCAUCAAUAUCAGCUAGCCCGAUACAUAAUUUGCUAUUACACCCAAUUCUCACAGCCCAUAUUCUGUCUAUAUAAUUAUUUCUCACAUAUUGAUUCUAAAAAGCAGUUGGAUUAUCAUACCUUUUGUAGCACACCUUUAUGGUCACGUUAUUCUUGGAAGUAUUUAACUUCAAGAAUAAUAGGAUCACUUUUUUCCUAAAAAAAAUACAUUUCAAGUUCAUUGUUGAUUGGUAUAAGAUUUAGAUCUCUUGUACUUUGUAGUCAUUUCUCUCUCUGAAAACAAAUGGUUUAUUAAGGUUCUUCAUUUCAAUCUUUUGUUUUUGUUUUUUAACUUCUCUUUUUAAAAUUUUAAUUUAUGUUUGACAACUGGUUUUAGUUUAUUCAUGUUUCUUGUAUUUACCUCCGUUAAUUUUGAAGCAGGAUUGAAGUGGUUGCUUUGGAUCGUCUUCCUAGUGAAAAUUUUCUCUUGCAUCUACUCUCCUAACGUAUCUUAUAGUUGCAAUUAAAUUUUAAAAAAUGUAUAGCAACAUUUAUAAAAAAAAUAUAAAAUUACAAAUAUAUAUAAAGUAAUUAAAUCCAUAUAAACAAUUGGAGAGCAGGAGAGGAUAACUUAUUUUUCAAUUGCAUUUCUUUUUUGGCGAUUCAAACUCUCUAUGAGACUCUUUCUUCCCAUGAACUUUCCUUUUCCAGCCUUCACCAAAUAAUCCUACAUUAAUUAUAAAAAUAUUUUUCUACCUAAAUUUUAUAUAUAUUUUGUUGAACAGUCCUAAUUACUAUUUUUUGGGAUGAAGAAAACAGUCUAAAUUUAUUAUUCCUUCUAGAGACAAGGGUGUUAAAGGACAUAUCAACUUAUUUGAGAGAUAAUAAUACACUCCCUCUAAUCUCCUAGAGACUCGGUAUAAAGUUUUAAAAAAAUAUUUCUUGAAUUUAAAUUAAUAUAAUCUCAAUAUAUAUACCAAUUCAACUGGUUAAGCUCACUUAUACUAAGACUAAUAAAUUGGAAGUUGAAAACCUUUAACUUUAAAAAGUUUGAAAUUGAGAACACCCAAUAAUUAAAAGAAGAAAACUUCGAAUAGACCAAAAAUAAAUUUUGUUAGGUAAAAUAUUAUUACAAUCACAAAUAAAAAAUUUCUGGUAGACCUCAAUCACCAAGAUAAAACACUCUCGAAACAUUAUAUUAAUUGCAGAAACUAAGUAUACCAGACCUCAAUCACAAAAGACAAACUUAUUUUAAUAUUUUGUACUCAAACUUUAGUUUACAUGUUCAAAGUUGUUUUGAAAAUUAUUCAGCUGAUAUAUAUUGUGAACUUUAAAUUGGAUUAUUGUUUCUUUUCUGCAGGUAUGUUCCUCACUUGCGCAACAAAAAAGAAAAAAGAAAUCAAACCAUUUUCCAUAAAAAAAAGAGAACAUAUUGUAUAAAAAUUAAGUUUUGGAUUUUUAAAUGUUAAAUGUUUAAUUGAACAUCUUUACCUCUAUCAUACUCAGAGAAAGAGGAAGAAAAAAGAAAGACCUUGAGUAGAAUAUGGGGUUCCAUAAUUUAGUUGUACACAAUUUCCUACAUAAUUUAAUCCCAGUUGUUUUGACUUUGAUAUUAUAUUAUACUACUGCUAAAAUAACAUUUUAUAUAUCAAAGUGAUGUUCUUCCACUCUUCUUCCCUCUCCUCCCCCAAAGUCAAAACGAGUUCAUAACUUUGAGCAAUUCAGCCUAAAGCUUAUUAUUAUAACAAUAAAAGAGAAUAUCUUAAUAAGUAAACCUAUUAAUUACUACUAAAAUGUGAUUCAUGGGAUUUUGAAUGAGAGCUAUAUAUAACUAUAUAUGAUGGUGAUUAUAUUAGAGCCUUAAUUAUACAUAUAUGUUAAGGAAAAUGAAGAUAUAAUUAGUAAGGGGAUAUGGGUGGAAGAAAGCAUUGGGUUUCCAGUUUUGUGGGGUUUGUAUUUCUGUUGGUUUUACUGAAUCAGCUGGUAGAAGCCAGUGCAAUAAGUUCAUCAUGUAGGCAUAUUGCUAUUGGCGUUGUUACUGAUCAAAGUUCAAGGAUGGGAAGGCAACAGAAGAUUGCCAUUGAAAUGGCUUUUCAAACCUUCCAUUUCUCAACUUCCUUUCCAAAAUUGGAGCUAUUCAAUAAUGAUUCAAAUGGCAACUCGGCUCGAGCGAUAACUUCUGGUAAUUCAAACUUUUUUUUUAGAAUGAUAUGAACAAGUAUAUUAGAUCAACAGGCCGUGUAUCGAAAAAUCUCAAUAAAAUUGACAAAUUCACCACUUUUAUCCUAUUCCAACACUGAUUCCAUUAAUGCUUGUGUUUUUAACCUAAUCAUCCAUUUCACUCAUGUAAUUUAUUUUUGAAGGUUUAUGUUAUAUAUUUUUAGACACUGGAUUUUGCUAGAUUACCAUAUUAUUAUUUUCAUUUAGCUUUUUUCUUCUUCUUCUUCUUCUUUUUUUUGUUGGUUUGUGGAUAUAUGUAAUUUGUCUUUUAGUGUAUUUUUACAAGGGUGUUGACUCGAACCAAUUUGAAACAAAAAAAAAUGUUUUCUAAACUAUAUAUUUUUUAUUUUUAAAAUUUAAUUGUAAAUUAAAUAUUUGAUAAUCGUUUUCGUUUCUCAAUUUUAAAUUUGAAGAAACAUUCCUAAAGAAAAGAAAAUAUCUCUUAUCCAUUUAUGACUCCCUAAACAUAACUGAUUGUGUUAAGUCGUUUUGAUGGUUGAGAGACCCGUCCAAUUCAAUUACGUAUCACCCAACCUCAUUUUUAUGUAUUGUUUUUCUUUUUCAAAAUUAAUUCUUCUUUUUAUAUUUUAUAUAUUAUUUAAGUUUUGAAUUUUAGAUUUUUCAAUAGAUUGAUUUAUAUAUUAUUUAAUUUAAAAUUUUAAAAUUUUCAUAUAAAUAUGUAUAUAUUAUUGUCCUUGUGAAUUUUAAAAUUAUAUAUAUAUAUUCUUUCCAUAUAUAUUUUCUGUUUUGAAUUUUAGAUUUCACAAUUAUUUUCUGCUUAGAACAUUUUAGAUGUUUGCAAUGUAUAAAUGAUAUUUUGUUCAUUUAGCUUUAUUUAUAUAUAUAUAUAACCUUAUAUCUAUUAGUAAGAUGAUAGUAGCCUGACAAUUUAUUAGACACUAACACUUCUUUUUUAUAUAUGUAUUCGAAUAUUUAUUUGAAAGAUUUUUGGAAGUGGAGUAUGAUGAAAGUGUUAAUUAAAGAAUAUGCGAGCACUAGUUGUGAUAUUUUUUAAUCCACUCUCUAUCAUAUCUUUCUCUUAAAAAUAUCACUUCUUUUUUUAUGGAUAUAGGAAUUUUAAAUUCUCUAUCGCCAUGUAACAUUUUGAAAUUAGACUUUUCAUUUAACCCAUAAUGUUAUUUGAAUAUUUAUAUUUUCCAUUACAGCUUUGGAUCUGAUUGGCAACAAAGAAGUGAGCACAAUUCUUGGGGCAUUUACUUUGCAAGAAAUGCAAUUAAUGUCCGAAAUUAACAAAAACUUCAUUGAUAUUUCCAUAAUAUCCCUACCAAUUGCUGCUUCUCUUCCUCCUCAUAAUAAUAAUAAUCCACUCCCACUUCCUUCCUUUAUUCGAAUGGCUCACAACAUCACAUUUCACAUCCAAUGCACAGCCGCCAUUGUCGCCCAUUUCCAAUGGCAUAAAGUUACUCUCAUCUAUGACAAUACAGACGACAUGUCCUUCAACAUGGAAGCUUUGACUCUCCUCUCCAACCAACUUGGAGAUUUCAAUAUAGAGAUUGACCAAAUCUCAUCCUUCUCUUCUUCAUAUUCAGAAUCUAUGAUUGAGGAAAAGCUCAAAAGCCUUGUGGGCCGUGAGAGGAACCAGGUUUUCAUUUUGGUGCAAUUUUCUAUCGAAUUGGCCAAACUCCUUUUUCACAAAGCAAAUAAAAUGAAUAUGAUGGAAAAUGGAUUUGUUUGGAUCGUUGGAGAUGAGAUAUCAAGUCAUCUUGAUUCUUUGGAUUCAUCAACUUUUAAUGACAUGCAAGGUGUCAUUGGUUUUAGAACUUAUUUUGAUCAUAACAAAAAUUCUUUCAAGAAAUUUAGAAGCAAAUUCCAUAGAAAGUAUGUUUUGGAAUAUCAUGAAAAUGAAGAGGAGGAGAUGAAAAAUACGGAGCCCACCAUCUUUGCUCUUAGAGCUUACGAUGCAGGAUGGGCUGUGGCACUUGCGAUGCAUAAAUUGCAAGCAAAUUUUAGCAACAAACAAUUGUUGAAGGAAAUUUUAAGGAGUAAAUUUGAAGGGCUUAGUGGGAAAAUAGGAUUCAAGAAUGGUGUCUUAAUGGAACCACCCACUUUUGAAAUUAUUUAUGUGGUGGGUAAGAGUUACAAAGAGAUAGGAUUUUGGAGAGAAAAGGUUGGAUUUUUCAUCAAUUUGAAUGAAAAUAAUGAUCAAGAAAUCAGUAGUAGCAUUAUUAUUGAUGAAGGAAGAAGUAGAAGUGAUAAUAAUAAUAAUAAUAAUAAUAAUAAUAAUAAUAAUAAUGUUGUUUUGAAAUUACCAAGAUUUGUUUUGUGGGAAGUAAAUUAUGCAGAAACAGGAGUAGUGAAAGGAAGGACGAUUAAUAUUGAUAAUUCAAAUUCCGGAGGAAUGGGAAGGACAUUAAGAAUUGGUAUUCCGGCCAACAAUACAUUCCGAGAAUUUGUUAAAGUUUCUUACGACCACAUAAAUGCAAUAUACAUUUCUGGAUUUUCCAUUAGUGUAUUUGAAGCUGUCGUAAAGAAUCUGCCUUAUUCAUUGCCGUAUCAGUUGAUCCCAAUCAAUGGUUCUUAUGAUGGAUUGGUAAAGCAAGUCUACACAAGGGUAAGUACGAUAUAGAUAAUAUAUAUAUAUAUAUAUUGGAUUAUUGCAUGUGAUUCUUGCAUCUAUUCAUUGUAUCCUUCUUUGUAUAUAUAACAAAAAAGGUGAUGUAUUUAUAUGAACAAAUUAUAUAUAUGGUGGUUUUUAUUAGGGUCUGGAUGCCGCGGUGGGAGAUAUCGGAAUAUUUGCGGACCGAUUUAAAUAUGUUGAUUUCACAGAGCCAUAUAUGAUGGGUGGGCUUGUGAUGAUAGUGAAAGAGAAGACAAGAAAUUGGAAAGAAAUAUGGAUAUUCAUGAAAACAUUUACAACACUAAUGUGGAUCAUUUUGCCAAUCUUCCAUCUUGUUAUAAUGUCUGUUGUUUGGAUUGUUAAGGAUCCAAAGGAUGGAGAAUUAUCAGGAGUUUCAGAAAUGAUAUGGUUUGCCGUAACUGUCAUCUUUUUUGCUCACAGUAAGAAUUUUAAAGUCAUGUUUGAUAAUCAUUUUAGUGUCUUUUCACUUCUCAUUUUAGAAAACAAAUUUUUAUGAGUGGAUGCAGGAAAAGAAGUGAAAGGUAAUUUAGCAAGGUUGGUGUUGGGGACAUGGUUGUUUGUAAUUCUUGUGGUAACUUCAAGUUUUACUGCAAGUCUUACAUCUAUGAUGACGGUUUCAAGAUUUGCACCAUCCGUUGUUGAUGUUGAAACAUUAAGGCAAAUGAAUGCAACAGUGGGGUGCAACUAUCAUUCUUUCAUUCCGAGAUAUUUGAAUGAUACAUUGAAAAUUCCACGUAUAAAUAUUAAGAACUUUGUUGGGAUUGACGAUUAUCCAAAGGCAUUUGACAAUGGAGAAAUUGAAGCAGCUUUCUUCAUCACUCCACAUGCUAAGGUCUUUCUUGCUAGGUACUGCAAAGGCUACAUCACUGCAGCUACUUUCAAUCUCGGUGGCAUUGGUUUUGUAAGUUCUCAACUAAUAAUCUACUUCCAGAUGUUUUGCAGUUUUUAGAUUUAAGUUUUGUUUCGAUUUGUUUUACAAGAUUUCAAGAUUUAUACUUUUAAUAAGUUUGAUUUUCUCACUGAAAUACUCCUGGUAUGAAUUAAACCCAAAACUUUAAAAAUCAGAAGGAUUUAAAAAAAAAUAGUUAAAGGUGCUAUCUGAGCUGCAUAUAUUUUUUGUGCGAGCAGCUUAACCAGUUAUAAUAUGUCAUGUAGCCAAAAAAAUCUUUUAAAAAAAUUUAAUUGACUUUUUUUUUCGUUUGUUGGGAUAAAAUAUGAGCUACAAGCUGCACUUAACCAUUGUUUUCUUUUCUUUUAUGAUGUGGAUAGAAAGACACGGUAGUCUAGCACUACACUUGGUAUUUGGUAAUAAUAGGAAAUUUUGUUAUAUGUUGCAGGCUUUUCGGAAAGGGUCAAGUCUAGCAGUGGAUGUAUCGACAUCCAUCGUGGAACUUAUAGAGAGAAGAGAGAUGCCACAGUUAGAAACAAUGUUGUUGUCAACCUUCAAUUGUUCUUCAGGGAGCCAAGUUGAUGGGUCUACAAGUUUGGGGCCUUGGCCUUUCGCAGGUUUAUUCAUCAUUUCAGCAAGUGUUGCUGCUGGAUCACUUCUAUAUUUUUGUAUAUGCGGACCAAAUCACGAUAACAAAGACAAUAAUGCAGCAGCUGGAGAAGUCCACAAUGGCAAUAACAAUGCAGCUGGACAGGAACCCAUGGCCAAUGGCAAUAACAAUGCAGCUGGACAAUUCCAACCCAGGGCCAAUCGCAAUGAUUAAGAAUUAUCAUUUUUGUAUUUUAUUUUGUUUUGAAUAAUUCUUUUUCUCUUAUUUCGUAUCGGUAUAUCGUUGUAAUUUUUAAACUUCAAUCAUAUAAGUUUAUAUACUAUGUAGUCUCUAACUUUGGAUAUAAAACCUCUAUACUCUGCCAUCUCGAAAUCUUCAUUGAUUUACUAAACAAACAUCGAUCUCUCCACAAUGAGAAUACAUUUUUUUGUUUUACUUGACCAACAUAUAUUUACAUGCAGGAUAGAAUAUUGGUAUAAAACUAGUUCAUAAAUCUUUUCCAGAUUUGACAUUCUUUCGAGAUUGUUAUUUAAUAUUUGGAAAGACGACUUUUCAUGUAACAUCCUUUUUACUUAUUUUUCAUGGUAGGUGUACAACAAAAACCUUAAAAAUUGAAAAGCUAAACACACCAAACCAAAUAGAUUUAUUGGAAAAACAAUUAAGAUAUAUUAGUGCACCUCCUGAUCUUGUUCUCCUGCUUGUUACUUAACCUAUCAGUGCACCAAGACUAAUCUCUCAUAUAUUCAAAAAAAAAAAAAAAAGAACAGAACAAUGAGGUUGGGAAAAAGGCUCAAAAUCAAGAACCAAACCAACAAUAAACCCAACUUAAUAACAAUUUGAUCCAUUUUUUUCACUUGCUGGACAUCGGUUUUGGUUCCUUUUCUACAUAAAACCAAUUUGUUUUGUUUUGUUUUUUGGUUGGACUCAAAAUCCAGAAAAUCGAACCUACCUGAUAUUGCUUACUGAGUAUAGUUAGUUGUAGACUCAUUUAAUACUCCAAAGAUUUUGGGUUCUCCCAACUAUCUUUCUAAUAUAAUGUAUAUAUAUCCAUCAAGAUGGAAGUGUGUCUCUUUCAAUUCAUCUCAUUCUUGAAUUAGAGUUUUUUAUUGAACAAGUGAAUAUUAUGUUUAGAUUUCUUAAACUUUGAUAUCAAAUUUAUCUAAGUACGAAUUAGUUCGAUCAAAGACAAACAUCUUUAUUAAUUCGUCAUGUAAAUAUUUAUGAAUAUGGAAAGAUUUAUAUUAGAAGACGAUAACAUGACAAAUACACACAACAAUAAACCAAAGAGAGGAGCAAUAUAUAUAUAUAUAUAGUAAGAGUUGAUCAUGCGUCCUCCAAGAACAAACUCUUUAUUCUAGUUUUUCUUAAUGAGUACGUACUAGAUAUAUAAUAUGAUGAUAACAUAGAAAAGUACAUAAAUUUUACAACUUCUUCAUUUCUUGGUCUUGUUGAUUACUCUGUCAGCAUACUCAAGAACUUUAUCAAGUUCAUCCAAACAAAUAAAGCCAUCUCCAUUAGCAUCAGCCAAAUUCAAAGCAUAGUUAGCUUUGCUAAAUGAAUUGAAGGAACCACACAUGUUAAAAGCUUUUACUAGCUCACUUCUAGUGAGAUAACCAUCACCAUCAAUAUCAUGCUCUAAGAAAAUCUCCCUCAUUUCAUCUUUACUAAGCCUCAUCUUGUACGGCCCACAGGACGCCUUCUCAUCAGGAAUAUUAACCUUAGGUUCAACUUUUUGAGGCUUAAUUUGUUGGUGAUGGUGAGAAGCAGCUUGCUCAAUGAUCAAAGCAGUUAGCUCAUCUUUGGUCAGGAUUGAAUCACCAUUCUUGUCAUACUUUUUUAUCAAAUUACUUGCUUCUUGUUCACUCAUGUAAUUACCUUGGGCUGGGACAGGCUGAUCCUUAAGAGGAUUUGUAGACAUUGUUGAAAACUAUGUGGGUUGUGUUUUGGGAUUUGAUGUGGAGUUUGGAGGUGAUAGAAUUAAAUUAAUGUCUUGAAAGGAUUAACACACUUUAUAUAUACUAACUUUAGAAGCAUAAGUAUUUUUUUUUUCAUGUACAAAUUGGAAUCUUAUUCCUAAUUUCCUCUACUCCAAAAACAAAAGAUUAAAAAAAAAAGAACUUAUUCCUUACCUAAUAAAUCUCUUUAUUCAUUAAGAUAUAUAUAAAGUUCCUUUUUUUAAAAAAAAAAUUAUGGUUAGCAAAGGAAAAUUAUGGUUUAUAUAUAUAUUUUGCAUGUGGAAUGAAAUAAGAUUCUAAAAAGGAAGAUAUUCACAGCUAAUUAGCAAAAUAAACAAAAUAAGAAUAAAAUAUAGAAUCUCUUUGUCACGGUCAAAUAAGAUUUUUUUAGUACAACAGUAGUUAUUAAAUGGUAAUUAAACCUUCAAUAUCUUUGACUUUAACAAAGAUACUACAACAAGUUUUUAGGGCAAUUUUUAGAAAAAGAUACGUUGGAUUAGUAGUGCACCUGGAACAUCUACACUAGGUGGAUACCCCUUAGCACCCUCAUCAUUCCCGCUUCAUUAAAUAAUCGUCAGAUCAGAACAAGAGGCAGAAAAGUAACAAGGGCUAGAGAAAAACCCAGUAGUUAUUAUACAAAAGCAUUCAAGUUUAAAGCAAUAGUGCUAGUGCUAUAAUUUUUAUAGAAAUAAGAUCUACUAGUCUAUAAAUGUGUGAGAUCUUUGACAUUUUUCCAAAUCUCCCGAGUAGUUCUAUCUUUGUUCUGGAAGAUCCUGUUGUUUCUCUCUCCAACUAGAUGAUACAUAACGCAGCAGCAAUCAAAUUGAAAAUGAUGAUGCCUUUUUUGCUUUUUUUCAUUUGUGUUGCAUAUGUUUUGAAAGCAAUAGUCCCGAGUAGUUUCGAUGGCAAUUUAGAACUGCUAUCAAAGUUCGUUUUGUCAUCUUACUCUAUAUUGACAUGCAAUUUCAAUUUACAGUACGUGUCAUCACAAAUAUAUGAUGUUAGUACAAAACUGAUAUAUAAAUCUAAAAUUGUUGUACUAAGACAAUGCCAUUUUUUUCAAUACCAUAAUUAUGGAAACAUGAAUCGAACCUUCCGUCUCUAAAAUAGAAAGUAGUUUUGAUUACCAUUGAAUUAAUUAAGUUCAUGUUGACUCAUGUUAAUUACUCUUAAAACAAAUUUUAAAAAUAAUUGAAAGAAGGUUAAGGAAAUAGGAAAUAAAAAACGCCAACCUUAUUUUGGUUUCUUGUUUCUCAUAACUUCUGUUUCUAUUUUUGUUUCUAUUGUUACCAUUUUGCAUUUGGCAAUUUUAUUUUCAUGUUUUUUUCUUUUUCAUAAAAAAAAAAAUUAAUGAAACAAUUGUUUUAUAUCAAAUUUGUUUCUUAGUUCUCUAAAAAAUUUGUUUAGAAAAAGUAAGAGUUAACUUUUAAAAUUAAAUAACUUUAUUAUUGUUAUAUUUGUUUAUUUGUAAUACUUGUAUUUAUUUCAUAAAAGAGCAUCCUAUUUCCUGAAGAGAGUUAACUUUACUACCAACCUAACUUUUGAUAUUUCAGAAUUUCUCCAAUUUAUUAAUCAUCAUUAUCUUUUGAGUGAAAUGAUAUGAUGUACCUCUUGGAAGAUCAAGAUGGAGAGUAAAAUUAUAAGACUAAAAAAUAUUAUUUUCUAAAAACAAUAAAUUACCAUAUGGUGAUUAGUUUUAAUUGAUACGUAUAGUAGAUGGAUAAAGCGUUGCACAUAAAUGUUUUCAAAUUAUAAUAUUACAUACUUAGGGUAAUAAAUCUCAAAACAACCAUAUAUUUAAUUUAAUUUUUCUUUUCAUUUUUGACAAUUUCCUAUUUAUUUUAAAAUAACAAAAAAUAAUAUUCGUAAAACAAAGGCUGCACUUGUACUUGGCUGAUGUAGAAUAAUUGUCUUCUAAAUCUGAAAGCAAUGAUGAAAGCAAAUAAUUCUCUCUAAAGAUUCUUGAGUUCGUUUUAAAAAUUAAAUGUAUCUAGAAAUUCCAACUUUAACUAAUAAUCCUACUCUUUAUUACUAUUAUUAUUUACAACUUUAAGGCUAAUGUUAAGGACAGAUCUUUUAACCCCCCUGAUGCCAAGCUAAUUUUUAGAAACUAAUAGGAGAAAAAAAAAAUGAUAUGCAAACAUUGGAACAUGCAGGACAUGAACUUUUACUUGAUAUAUCUGUUAAAUAAUUAAAGAAUCAACCCAAAUGUUUAAGUUAAUGAACUAUGGUACAUUUUAAUUAUCUCAUUUAUAACAAAAAAAAAAUUACUUGUAUAUGUGUCUAUAUCACUAGACUAAUAGAUGAUAUAAAGUGGGGAAAUUAUGUAAAAAUAUUUGAAUAAGAAAUAUUUCUAUAUUUCCAAAUGCAUAACGUUAUUUCCCUCUAUUUUAGCAAUUAAUUGGAGUUGUUUUGUAAUAAAUACAAGCUAUGUAAUAUGAAGGUAAGAUCUUGCUAACUAUCGAGUUUGGAAGAUUAAUUUUAGUGUAACAUGACAACAAAGAUCAAAAAGGUAAUUCAAAUAAAAAGAUAAAGAGGAAUAUAUAAAAUAUGAUAUAGACUUGGUUAGAAUAAGAUUCUCUCUGUCUUACUCAUUUUAGUAAAAUGGAUGUAGAAUACGGUUCUUUUAUUAUAUUGUUAUUAUAUUGUUGAAAAUUAGAAUUAGAUUCUUUUUAUCUUAUAAUAAUAAUAAUGAAAUAUUACAAACUUUGUUAUUUUUAACUCCGAAGCAACUUUUCUUUUUACCUCACAAAAUAAUACCCAUAUCUUUUAGGUUCCAUACAAAUAUUAUCUACACAAUACAUCAUCUGAAUUUAUUUAUUUAUGAUGUAAUGUAUGUGCGUUACUUUUUGGUCUAGAAAAAUGAUGAAGAUGUUAAAGUUACAUAAAUAGCAAAUUAAAAUGUUGAAAUUAUAUUUAGCAAAAUUCAUCUAACUUUCUCUAAUUCAUUUAAAAUUUUUGUUAUGAUUUAUAAAUAGUUUCAUUUCUUGAUGCUAUUCCUAACAAUUUUUCCUUUAUAUAAUAUAUAAAAUUAUGCAUUAUAUUGUAAUUUUGGGGUAAGGUAUUUUGUUUAUUUUAACAAAAACAUUGCUGUUGCAGGGGUCGUACUUGGGCAAGGGUUUUGAAAACGAUGAUAGGUUGAAUUUUGAGAUUUAUGCCUAAUUUUUAUAAUUUUCUGUAAAAAGCAAUGUUAAAUAUAUAUAUAUAUAUAUAUAUUAUCAUAACUCUCCCAUAAAAUAUUUAGCUUAAAAUUUAUUUAGAGGACAUACAAUUAAAAUAAUUUUAUAGGUUAAUUACUCAUUUAAAACCAUAAAUUAAAUAAACCAUCCAUGGGCGGAUAUAUGUGUACAAUAACUUUCAAAUACAAGAUUAAUUGUUUUGAUCAUGUUCAUUGAUUGGAUUUCUAUUUUGUGUGAUUUGUGAAUUUAUGCUAUUGUCAAUUCAAAGUAUUUGUAGUGUGUGAGUGGAUAGCUUUUAUCCACAUUACACAGAUUCUAGAUUUUUCGACUGAAUUUAUGCUACUCUAUAUAUAUAUAGUCACAAAAACAGAAAGAAGAAAGAAACGUCACUUUUUUAAAAAAAGAGAUUUGUCACGUACGUGACUGUUGGACACUUGGGUAAUUGCAUAAACAUAUCUCUACAAAGCUAAUAUUGCAACGCAGAGCAAUCAACAUCCUCUUUUGAAAGCUUUCUCAAAAUAAAAGAGUUUUAGAAUUACAUAAAUUAUUAUAUUGAAGACGUGAUUCGUUACCUAAUUUAAAAGACAAGUACUGAUCUACAUUUCAUGCUUUAUAUGUAAUCUGAGAAUGUUGAUAUUUUAGAAAUUUUUUGUUAAUUUUUAGAACAGACUCUCUUGUCAGUAUGAUCUAUUUUUUUAUAAAUUUAACAAGGAAUUAAGAAACCCUCUUUGAUUAACAAAACCACAACACUAAAGGAGAAGAAAUUAGAAAGAUCUUACAAUAAGUGGCAAACAAAAUCUUAUUGUAGAUAGCUCUUUCCAUCAUCUUGUUGAUUGAAGACCCUUGGUGUCAAGAAUAAAAAAUUUCAGCUCUAACAAACCAGAAUGGAUGCUCAAACGGCAUCGCUAGACAGAAGUGGGUUUUCUUUCCAAUUUCUCACUUUGGUGACGUUUGAAUUCUCUUGAUCCGCUGCUGCUGCUGCUGCAAGAUUAUUUACAAAAAUAACCUAAUUGAAACUAUCCAUACAAAACUAAUUGAAACUAAGCCAAUAUAUAUAUCUCGUGAACGAAAUUAAAACUCGAAAUAAAAAGAGAAAAGAAGAGAGAAAUGUACAAAGUUUAAUUGAUUGGAUUUUGGAUACCUUACCCAACACAGAAUAGUGCUUAAACAAAAGGGAAAGAGAGAAGUAAUGAUCAUGUGGAAAAGUUUUUCUUUUUCUUUUUUUGGAGUACUACUCAUUUUAAUAUAUAUGUAAAUUAAAGAGAACAAAAUGACGAGAUUUUCUUUACUUCUAAUAGAAAAAAUAUUGUAUAUUGUGUAGCCUUUGCUGCAUCGGAUUAAAAACUAUCACGUAGCACUUUAUAUUAUUUUUAAAAAAUUAUUAAAAUACUGAUUUUUUUUCUAUGUAGAAAAAAUAUUGAUGGAUAGACUUAAAGUUCAAUCCCUAUAUAAAAUGAUGUUUUAGUGGCGAUAUAUGCUUAAGUAUUGAAAUAUCAUCAUUAUCAAUACAUCUAAACUAAGUACUUUGAAAAAAUCCAUUAUCAUUAAAAUGAUAAAUAAUGAAAAUUGGUAACAACUUAUGCAGAUAAAAAUUGACACAAUACAUGCAUAACAUAUAAUUUACCAAGUAUUCAUGCAUACAAUUAAUGAAAGGAGAAUAUAUAUAUAUAUAUAUAUAUAUAUUAUGUUAACGAUGUUUUUUUAACAAAAUACUGGAGGAAGAAGGAUUUGUGGGUGCACUGUAUCUCUAAUUUGAGUGCUUAUAGAAAAAGUGAUUUGAGUUGAAAACUCUUUUUCCCUUACAAAGAAAUCAACAAUAUAAUAUCAUGUUAAAAGUUUCUACUAGUGUUCUAAUCAACAUGAAACAUAUUAAUUAGUUUAUACCAAUAGUUCAAACUGACCCAUAAUAUGUGCUAACAAUCAAGAAGACUAUAAUUUGAUUCUCCUACCUCUGUUUUACUAAGAAGAAAGUUAAAAGUUUAAUUCAAAAAAUAAAGGAAUGGCAAUAUCUUGGCUUAACUUUUUUUUUUUUUUUUUUUUGAGAAAGAUACUUUGGGAUACCAGUAGAACAUCUCUACUAGGUGGACAUUCCUAAACACUCACGUCAAACUCGCUUCAUUAAAAAUAAAGAGAUGAAUACAAGAAGCAGGAGAUACAAAAAGGGCUAGACGGAAGCCCUAUGAACCCAAACAACUAAAAAACGUUUAAGUUUAAAGCAAUAGAACUGGUCGAGUAAUUUUUGAAAAGAGGAGAACGACUUGUCUAGAGACCAGUUGUAGCUCGAAUGUCCUUCCACACAGAGCCAACUAGUUUUUCUUCCCCCUUGAAAAUCUUUUUGUUUCUUUCAUUCCAUAUAUUUUAAAGGGUGGCAGCCACUAAGUGCAGUUUGAUAGUUUGUUUUUUUUUGUUUUACCCUUUGUUUUGUAGAUUUCUUUGCACAGAUAAGUGGAAUUUGAUGGAGAUAGGAGUCGCCCAAGAUAACUUCAACUUUUUUCCAGAGCUUUGAAGAGAAGGGACAAAGGGAGAACAAAUGGUUUCUGUCUUCCUCGGCAGCUUUGCCAAGAAUUCACCAAGAGGGUUUUAUAUUUCAAGUUGGAGUCUUCUUUUAAGCAUACCCAUGAUAUUAAUACACUCAUAAAGGAGAGUCCAUAAACAAGAAUUUACACCUUUUGGGAUGGAUGAUUUUCAUACAAUUGCUAUAAAUUACCCAAUCAUUAUAGUUAACUUCUGCUUGGUUGUUGAGAGGUCUCUCAAGAUGGCCUAUCUCACUGUAUGAAAAGUUUUGCCCAAAUUGUAAUUUAGCUCGAUUUGAUCAAUAUCUAAUUGUUAAUGUUUAUUAGUAAUUAAUUAAGUAAUAACUUUUAGCUUGCUUUUAAUGUAACGAUUGUUUAAAUAAGAUUAGCCUAAAACCCACAUAUUAACUAAUAAUAGAUAUUAGAAGCCUUUUCCAUUUCGCAACAAGAUUACAUAAACACAAGAAGGACCAACUUGCUCAAGCCCAGCCCUUCCUUCCUUUAUUAGUGAAAGUCAAAAGCUUAGGAAACAAAAACAUAAAAUCAUAGGGUGUUGCCAAUUUUAAUUUCUAUCAACGCCUUCUUUUCUGAAACCUUUCGGCAUAAUCGAUGAGUUUGUCAAGCUCGUCUUCUGAGAUGAGGCCGUCACCAUUCUCAUCACAAUAAGCCAUGCCGUAGUGAGCUUUGUAGAAUGGUAUAGAGUGACCCAAGAACCCCAUGGCUUUGAUGAGCUCACUGAUGCUGAGGUAACCGUCUCCGUCGAUGUCGUGCUCACGGAAGAUUUCCUUCAUCUCUUCCCUUGAGAAAUUGAACUUGCUUACACCAGGAAGAGCCAUUUCUUUUGUGGGAAAAAGGAUAUAGCUUCGUGUUUGUUUAUUGCGUUUGGGGUUGUGAGUUUUGAGUGUGUGUGUUUUGGGGUAUUUAUGGAUGUACAAACAAAGGCUUUAUUCUUAUUAUAUCUUAUGAUAUGAUGGUCCCAUUAUAUUCUUACCUUAUGACAACAGUCACAUAUUCCACCUCAAAAACUUGCAUCUGGUCACCUUUCACUCAUUAUUUAAUUUUAUGGUUAACUAAUAAUCUUUUAUCUAGAUAUUAACAAGAGGGGAAUCAAGAAAUGCAUCCAAACAUCUCUAUUGGGUUAAUCAAGAAAUGCGUCUAAACAUCUCUAUUCGGUUAAUGUACCUAUUUUAGUUUUCAGGCUUAAAAUAACUUGUUACCUAAAAUGUCAAUAAAUGUACAAAAUAAUUUGUAUUUGUAUUGUUAGUAUUACUUGAUUGUAACACUUAACUUAUUGUUAUUUUUCUGAAAAACAAAAGUAGGUCAAAAUUUUGUUGACACGUUGAAUUCUGUGUAUGCUUUUUCAUGAAAACUCUAUUGAAAGCUUCUUUUUAAAAAAGAAAAAAGAAAAUCUAAGAUUUAUCCAUUUAGACAUUUAAAAGUAUAUAAUCUUAUAAUAAAUUAAAAGAAAAACUAAAAUAAUAUUUUAACAAAAUUUAUAUAUUUUUAAAAAAAACACGUACAAGUGAUACAUCGUCCAAAUAUCUUCACUAAGUAGACAUCUUCUUAGCAUCUUCAUUUGAUAUGUAUAAAAAAAAGUAAAACGACGACAAAAUAUGAGUUAGAGAUAAGUGCAUUAAAUAAAGAAAAUCAAUAACUAGUGAUGUUAAAAUUAAGUUUAUUUAGUUAAAAUAAUGUAACAUUUUUAUUUAUAGGCAUUUGAAGAACUUUCCUAUAUUUCUUUUACUCCCUGCUCUUGAAAAGAAAGAAUUCAAACUUUAAAUAAAAACCAUAUCAUUUUCCAUCAUUAACUUCCUAUUUUUUAAUUAUUAUUUUUAAAUAGAGCAAAAUAAAAAUUAUAAUAAAAUGUAUCUAUACGUGUCCUUAUCACCAACAAAUGGUAAAAUUUUAUUGUAUUUGUAAUUAUUUUCAACAAUUAUAUUAUUUAAAAUCAUUAUUCUUUUUGAAUUGAAAACUAAAGUAUUGAUUAAAUUUAUUGUAAUAUAUCAGCAACUUUUGAGGUCAUUGUUUCAUCUUUGAUCUCUCUCUAUGGAAGACCUAAAUUUGGUUCAAUUCAAAAUGAUUCUAUCAUUGAUCAUCUGUUCUUCUUUUUCUUCUAAAAAAGGCAUACAACAGUGUGUGAUGACGAAGGACCAAAAUUUAUGCAUACAAUACAGUGUAUAUAUACAUAUAUAGUAUGGGGUUAUUCUAGAAGAAAAAGAGAAUAUAAGUCUUUUUGUUGUGGCAGAAAUUUGGAAUCUGCAUGGGAUGAAAAAGGGCAUCUGCUUCUAUUUAUAUUAUAUAAUAUUCUUUGAAAUGACAAUAAUGGAGGGAAGCAUAAAUUUACAAUACCUCUCAUAAACAUCAAAUAAUUUAUAAUGGGACUCCCAUCUAAUACUUAGGGAAAGGGAAAAUAUUUCUUUACAAAUUAAAAAGCAUUCAUGCAGUUUUGAAAAAUGCAGAUCAAACGGAGGAAGUGCACUUUCUCAAUCUUUCUCUAUUUGCUAUAUUUGAAAAUAUGUUUUUAAAAAAAUUCAUUUAAAACAAUUACUCUAGAAAAAGGUUAUUGUUAGACUGAUGCUUUUGUAUCGAUAGAUUAUCUGUUAGAGUAUUUAAUAAAUAAUAUUGAUAUAAUUACAUUUUGGUAUUAGGUUAAUUAGUGUUAGUUUAAUUUAGGUAAUAUAGCCUAUCCGAGAUCUUAGUUUAUCUAAGCUUAUAUCAUUGUUGUAAUUGUUAUUUUAGAAACCCUAAUGAAGUUUUUCUAUCUCUCGCUCACUAUACUGUCUUUGUCCCUCUAAAAUUCUAGAGUUUUCAUGGCAUCAGAGUCCAAAAUUUUCUAAAACUCAAAACUCUCCCUUUUUUUCUUUGAAGUCGUCAUAGGCUGCAUGUAACAAGAAACUUAAAACUUAAAACCCUCCCUCUACCCAAACUCUCAAAUCACAUCACAGUAGUCUAUCUUCGGAUCUUUCUUCCACCCUUUUUGAAGAAUUGUUAUUUUUAACCUAACAAAGCUUUUACCUUAUCAGGCUAACUUCAUUUUUUAAAACUAAUUUUUUUCAGAAAAAGGAGUUUUUUCAAAAAUAGAAAAAUUUGUAUAUACACUCUAUAAAACAAAACUGCUAAAAGACACACACAAAAAAAAAAAAAUGUAUACUCAAAGUUCUAUAUUUUAUAAUUUCACUUUGAAAAUAUCAAUUUGUCCCUGUUAUAUUGUAAGUAAUUUCUAUUUCACAUUUUUCUAUUACCACUUUCCAAACCCAAUUUCAAAUUUGAAACUUACUAAUUUUUCUUUUGUUGGGCUUUCUUGUAAGGAUAGAAAAAUUAAUGGUAAAAAAAAGUUCUUACGUGGAAUUUCCCUUAAGAUUUGAAAAUUUUGGGAAAAUUUCAUAAAUUCCAACGCUAAACUAUGAACAGUAAAUUUAAAAAAUUGAAAACUUAAAAGAAAACUAUCCUCUUUAAAAAUAAAAAAUAAAAGCCUUAAAUUUAAGUUUAAAACAAUCACUAACUUAAUCUUACUGAGAAAAAUUGAAAUAAAAUUAAAAUAAAGCUUAUGAAAUUGGAAAUUGUUAUUUUAAAAAAAAUGGUAGAAUUAUUAUUUUUUAAGAAAACAUAAAUUUGCAAAUCAAGUGGACAGAUUUGGAAAAGAUACACUGUAGAAUCUACAGCUCGCUAUGUAACGUUAUUGUUCUUGAUCAUAAACAACACAACAAUUCUCGAUCGUCUUCGCUCAAGUUUUGCUUAUAAUAAAAUUAGUCAACCACGCUGUAGUAGCAAAUUUGUUGAUAUCAUAUAUCACUUUACAGUUGAUUUUGUUGUGAUUGGAUAAAAUUUCAUUGCAAGUACAUGUAAAAAUGGCGUAGCAGCAUAGGUUCAGUAAUACUACUCCUUUUUUAUUAUAUAUAAAAUUGAAUGACCCCAUUUUAUAUCUACGUUUGCAUAUUCUUACAUAAGAUCGAAUCCCUAAUGAUCUUCAAAUUUCAAUCCAGAAACCAUCCUUUGUAUUAUGUGAUAAUCAAGAAGCAGCUGUUCAUAUAGCCUCCAACUCAAUCUUCCAUCAAAACUUUGUAAAUUUUAAUAUAUGGGAGAUUAUUUAUAGAUUUCAGGAAAUAUGUAUAAUAUAAAUAAGUUUACGAGUGGAAUUUGUUAACAGAAAAGGGAAAAACAGUAUUGAGGAAAUUUUAAAAACAUUUUUUUCAUUUUUCUUGCAAAGUUUGAGGAGAAACUUCUAUACAUUGUUUCUUUUGUAUUAUUGAUGUUUGGUGCAUGUGAAACAUAUUUUUACCAAUAUAAAGUAUGUGAGGUUCUAAUUUUGUAAAUAUAUACUAAGAAUGUUAACAAUUUUACAAUAAGAGAGUUAUGUUCCAUUAACAUGUGAAAAAGAAAUGAGGUUAAAAAGUCAAACCAAAGUUCCUUUUUGAGCUACUAUAAAAUACUUGAACCAUGUUACGUUUUGUUUCAUCUUCAAACAAUCCAAUCAAACAAACAUAUAUAUAAUUUUAGUUUAAGAAUGUCUGUCUCUCAUCUUCAAGCUUGGGCUAAGAAUGAAGCAAAUGAGUUGAUAAAGAAGUAUGAUAGAAAUGGUGAUGGUGUUCUCACUAAAGAAGAGCUACAAUCUUUCCUUCGUGAUGCUCGUGGUUCAACUCAACUCAAUAAUAUAAGGAAUGUAUCGUCUAGCACAGUCCCAAAAACUAACGAAAAUCUUGCACAGAAGGUUAGCUCAAAUACUUGCAUAACACCAAAAAAGCAGUUGUUGGAUAAAGCUCAAGGUUCGUCGAAACAAUCUAAUGUACCUUUGAGUCGAGAGCAGAUAAAAGAGAUUUUUAAAUAUCAUGACAGCAACAAAGAUGGUUUUCUCAGCAUACGGGAGUUAACAAAAGCUUUCAGCUCUAUGGGAUCAAUUGUCCCAUUUUGCAAAGCUCGAUAUGCUAUGGCUUAUGCUGAUGUCGAUGAAGACGGUCUUGUCAGUGAGGCCGAGCUUGACAAACUCAUUGAUUAUGCCCAUAAAAUCAUCAAGAAGAAAUGAGCUUUCAAGGAUAAUUCUGUGUGUUCUACAUAGAGAAUUAUGUAACUAGAAGUAAAAUAUUAAAAAUAUUAAAAAUAAUUAAAAUAAUUAUUUAAAAUUAAAAUAUCAUAUGUUGGAAUUUUAUUUUUGUUGCAAAAAGCAUUGUAAUUAAAGCUUCUCAUUAUUAAUAAAAUAAAAGAGAUGUAUGUUGGAAUUAAAAAUCUUAAUCUGUUAUCGUUAAGUGUUAAUAUUAAUCUCUCUCUCUUUGUUAAUGAUUAACAAACACAUUAUGAUAAAUAUGGCCUUAAUCUAUGAACAUAAGCUCAAAAUAUUGAACCAAAAUUUAAAAUUUGAUAACUCUUCCCAAUUGAAUUCAUAGUUUAUUUUUUAUUAUAUGUAGAAUGCACUCACAAUAUGAUAUAUUACAUAUUUUUGGAUUUAGGCUGCCCUGUUUUUAAGUUUUAAUUUUUUAGAGUUAGAGGCUGGUUGAGUGGAUGUAAUUUACCUUGUUGUAAUUACUUCUUUUUUUUUCAAUGAAGAUUUGAUUCUCUUUCAACUUGUCUACAACACUAAAUAGGAAAUAGGAUAUAGAAAGGAUUUCAAACUUAUACAUGCAUGAAGCAGAACCUUUUAACAUUUAAAACAUGAUACUUUCCAAAUACUACGUGUAUAUUUCAUAUAAAAUCAUAACUACGUAUAACCAUUAUUCCAAUAUAAAACUGUAAAAAAUUGACCCUUUAAUCUCAAGAAAAGAAAUAGUCAAUUAAUGUUAAAUAGUAUUUAUUUUGACACAAUAUCUCUUUUCUACUUUAAUUGAAAUGACAAAUAUAUUCUAACAAACGUAAAUAAUGACUUCUAAUUUGUUCAAGUAUAUACAGACGUGUGUAUACAUGUGUAAAUAUGUGUGGGUGGGUGUAUAGAAAGAAAGAAGAAAAUCUCCAUCAAAUGUAUACAUUUAAAUAAUAAUAAUAAAAGAAAUAAACUUAAUUAUUGAGGAAUUCAGCCAUGUUCGUGGUGUAAGGAAAUUCCUUCAGAAAGGUAUUAAGGCAAAUGUACCAGCAUUUAAUUUGUACAUAACAAGGGAACAGAAGAUGGGAAUUUAUUCACAUUUCAAGGAAUUUUCCUCACUUUCUUCCUCAAGGGAAAUAAAUACAUAUCUUAUAGAACUUAGUUAUUGACCUAUGAAUUUAAACUACAUAUAUACUUACAGAACCUAAACUCUUGGUGGAUGAAAACACCAGACUGUACAAUAAUAUACUAUGUCCAGUAUGUAACAAAAAUUUCAACUUAGCAGAUAGCAGCAUGAAAUAUGAACUGAUUCUGCCGAUGAAUUUUGAUGGGAAUUAAUGUGGGCAAUCAGCAAUUGAUCCAGGAGUUUAAUAAUCUCUAUCAAUGAAUUUAGCAAGAAAAUCCACCUGGAUCGGAGCAAGUUACACCAACAAGAUUGUUGGAGAAUAUCAGAGAAAUGCUAAAAUUUCAGCAGAUGACAUAACAUAGGAAUUUGUAAAUCAGAAUCUACUAACCGAGCACAUUUAAUCCCCAGAUUCAAGGAUCACCAAUAAUGUAACGAGAAUCUUUUAGGCAGACAACUUUAAAAAUCUACCAAGGGAGGUGGCAGUUUCCAGUAAUUCCAUGAAUUGAAAUCCUCCUGUGAAAACAACCGAAGAAUUGGUUCAAUAAAAGUAAUUCAAGAAUUAGUCCAAGUUCAGUUUGGAGAUUAAGAACCUGCUCGGAUGAGGUCAUGGGAGGAAACAUCCCAUUGACAAGAGUGUGAAGAGAAGUAUAAGAUUUCGUGUCGACACGGCGGUUUACAACAACCUCCCCCUACAAGCAUGAAUUUUUUUAUGAAUUCUGAUGCUACCAAGUAAUAUAAGAUUAUUCUGUUUUUCAACUCAUAUUCAUGAAUCCCCCCCCCUAAAUACCUUGGGAUUAAUAAUGAAAAUUUUUCCUUUUGGAAUUCCAACUUUAAGGUAGCUAAAUUCAUCCGUGUCCCUGUUUCCAAACCCAGCAUAAAAUGGAUUGCAAUCUGGAGGAAAUAGUUCUCGAAUUCUCUAAAAGUUACAAAAAGCAGACUAUGAGCCAUCUUAUUCAGAAGUCAGAUCACAUGUAAACAUAUGAUAUUCAAAAUUUCUAAUUUGAGGGAUUGUAUCCAGAAAAUUGCUUAAUUCCAAGUAAAAAUACAUUUUUAACAGUCAUGCAUCGAAACUGCAGCUCAUCAAAGUAUACUUAUGAAAAUGAAGAAUGUAAAAUUUGUAUAAGUUUCAAUAUCAAAGAAAAAUAUCAACAAAGAUAGAAGAAACUAACCUCCAAGCAAGCAAUCUUGAACUCAUGAGGAGCCCGCCUAAUAACUGUGAAGGAGGAAAUGAGCUCAAAGGUAUUUAUUCACAAAUCCAAGCAUGCCUAGCCUAUUUAUAUGUUUUUCAAUUAUUGCAUUGUUAAGAACUUUUCUCUUCAAAUUAUGCUUACAACCCAUUCUCCACAAUUAGCCAGGAAAACUUCACGCACCCCAAAGCUAGAAUUAGGAGAUAGGUUUUUUUACCAGAAAGCUUAAUUUUAAGUUUUUUUCCAAGGAAAGCAUCCCCUGCUCUAUACCCUCCCUCUACCCCGGGCAUAUGCUUUCAAUAAACCAGGCAUUUAGAAUCACAAGAUGGAUGCAAAUGCCGGAGACUCUUAAAAGGCCAAAGGAUUUGAAGGACUCUGCUAAAGUAUGUGUAUUUCAAGGGAAAAACAUACUGCAUCAAACUACUAAAUAGUUGCAAUUUCCUAGUUUAAAUAUAAACAAUAAAUCUAAGAAUACAUUCAAUAACCAAAACUUUCUCCAGAACAUCUAGCAAUUUACUAAAAUCUAGACUUAGAAGAGAGAAGUGUUGAAUAGUAAUUCUCAAAAGCAUAAAUAGGAGGGAAAAGCUAUAAUAUGUUUCACGUAAUUUCUAACUAAGAGAAGGGAUAAAAGGCAGUAACCUUCACGAUAUAGUGAAGGGAAAAGCCCAUCAGGGGAGAUAACAACAGGCCCCUCUGGUAAAGCCUUCCCAUCCUGCAUUGAUACAAACCAGGUAAAGAUCAAUCGUGGAGUAGUCAAGAAUUUAAGCUCUAAAUAGUGAAUACAUUACUUGUUUAAGGUUGAAAAGAAAUUGACGGGUGUGAUACGCCUGAGAAAUUGAUCGUGCACUGAGAAAAAGCAAUUGGUACCCAUUUUCCUGAAAAGAUAUAAAAAUAAAUUAAAUUGGGAGAGUUCAUUGCAUCAUAAUUCAUCACAUACGAUCGUCCAACUAAUGAGGAUGGGAUAAAAGCUUACCUUAAUAGCAGAAAAUAAAUUUGUGACACCUGUUUGUGACCAAUCCAUUCCAACAAAGGGCAUGAAUUGACCCAGAACAUCCGACCUAAGAAAGUGACAGAAGAGGAAAAAGUAAAGAGAGUGAGCACAAGAGAGGAAAAAAAAGAAGAAAAAAGGGUAAAUAUUUGUUUAAGUCCCGUUUGAUAACUUCUUUUUUAGAAAUUGACUAAGAAUUCAAGUGUUUCUGUAAGGAAGUUGAAAGUCGUAGCUUGGAACUUGAGAGGAAACAAGCAUGAAUUUCAAAUUCAGAAAACUAAAAAUUAAAUCAUCGUCAAAUGAGGUUUGAGCUGUUUAUUGUGCAAGAACAUUUGGCAAAACAAGAAAGAACUCCAUUGACUGAAAAGCUAACGGUACAAAUAAGCCAGACUUGAACAAAUGAUAGAAAAGCAAGGAAAAUUUACUGUGGAAAAUUUCUGUUUUCAUUUUCUUUCUUUAAUGGCAAAAAAAAACAGUGAUUAAUUAAUAAUAGAAUGGAAAGUGAAACAAAUCACCAAUGUAAUAACAAAUAUGGGAAUCCUCCUACACUGCGUACAAACAAAAGAAAUACUAAAAUCAAAAGAUUUGACUUUCUUCAGCUAUAACCAAAAAUGGACUCUAGUUCAAUAGGUUCGACAUCUUCCUAAAAGUCUUCCUUUUCUUUACCACCGGAUGAUCAAAUAACAUGAACAAACUGCUGAACCGUACAUUUCUGAAGAGUACCACUCUUCUUUGACGUCAUUCCACCAAAAAUAAAGUUCAACAGCCACCAAACCAGCCAAGUAGUAAUUCAGGCUUCUCAUCUCUCAGUUACAUACUAUUUUGCAGCCCUAUUUAUACAAUGAACAGAAAGUUCAUCAUCAAAACUCUAUUCUGAAAAGUUUACCCAACCACCAUUGUAUUCUCUGAACAGCCAACAGGCGAAAAGCAUUUAUCUGAUUUCUUAUGAUCUGAAUUUCAAGGAGUCAGUGAUGGUUAAAUUCCUGCAUUGGCAAUACAGUUGGCUUGUGUUUCCCAAGCUUGCAUGAAAACUUCCUACUAACAUAGAAAUUAGGAAGUGUUCAAGAACUACCUAUUCAUGUUUAGUUCACAAAGGUUUCGUUUCUGCAGCUGGAGAAUUUAACCCUAAUAUAAUUUUCCCACAACUGAAUCGCUAAGUGAAUAAUGAAGAAAACUCGUGUACAAGAAACUUGAUUCCAGGGCUUUUUUUCUUCCGAUAAGAAACAAACGUCCAAUAUCAAAGAGAAUGUUAAUUUGAUGGCAGAAGAUUCUAAUGACUCAACCAAGUGCCCUGUUUUCAUUCUGGAAAGGUAUAUAAAGGAGCCAACAACUGGAGCAAAUAAUACCAAACAAGAGUUACUCUGCAUAAAUAAAACUAUGCUCAAAAUCAGUAUAUCACAUCCAAAAUCAUCAGGAUAAAAGAACAUACUUUGUUAUUGUCCCAUCCACAUCUGAUAUCACUACACGAGUAUUCCAUUUCCAUAAAUAAAUCCGGGCAUCAACCUAUUCAGAAACAUAAUCAUAAACAAAUGCAAAUAUGAAGGGAAAUAAAUAAAGAAAUAGGACAGGGGUGGCUGAAUUCUUCUUAUUAUUAUUAUUUAAAAAAAAAAAAACCUUGACCUGCUGCUUUCCAAGCACUGCAGUGUAAAAUGUGAAAGUUAUCGUGUUCCCCCCUUCCUUGAGAUUUAAGGAUGCCAGCUGCUCUGAUGUCGGUGAGAGGGAUUUAACCAUCUGUUUCUCUACCUUGUGCUUAACAAUGCUUGCUUCUCCAUCCAGUCCAUUAUUUCUAUCUGAAUCCUUCUUAAUAUCAAAAUCUAUGCAUCCAUCAACAGCUGAUUGAGUUCCUUUACUAGAAUUAGAUCUUUUAAAAGAGAAAGGCCAAAGUUUCCAAUUUCCAACUGGGUCAACAGUUGCUUCUGCUGGACUACCUGCACAAGUUUUCUCAAUGGGAUCAAGAGCUAUAAUGCGUUUCAUUACGAACAUACAUUCAUGUUUUCACUAAUAAUGAUCCUCAACUAAAUAGAGCACCUCACUCCAUAAAGAAUAACUGCCAAAUUUUAAUCAUAAAGAAAGGAAGCAAUAUAAUUCUUAAAAAACACAAAGGAUCAUUUACAUAAUCUAGAGCCUAAACAGUUACAAAAUUGAUGAAACAGUAAAGGUACUCAAAGAUAAAUUUUUACAAUAAGAUAUCUAAAUUAUCUUACCUGCUCCAGAGUUACGAAUAAUAUUUUUUCGUUCUUCUGAAACCCAUGGUUCUUCAGAUUUUGACCGAUCCUCUGCCACUUUCUCUUCUCCAUCACCACCAGUCUUGGAGCUUGCAUUAUCCUUACAAAAUUCCAUCCAGUUCAAUGGUUUUGAAUUUGAGUCCACAGAAUGGCUUAGAGGAUGAUUGAGCUUACAGACAAUUGAAUUAUCAAUCCUAGCCUGCAUAUUGGGUAGUGAAGCUGCCAGACGCUCAACUUCUUUACUAGAAAUUGGAUGACUUGGAGGAAUUGUGAUGGGACUUGUAAUCCUCUGAUUGAAGAUCUCUUGACUGUCUACAGAACUGCUUGUCACAUAACUUCUAUUUGCAAACCUAUCCUCUUCAUCAAUGCUACUUGGAUAUACUAAUGGAUAAUCUUCUUUAUCAUCGAAAUGUUGACUUUCUGACUCUAUACUCCCAUUAACCUCAGUUUUUGGAACAUCAAUAUCACUGAAAAGGAAUUGUUCAUCAUCUGAAUUUGUUGCCGGCAGUAUAUGACUUUCUUUUGUUGCAACUCUGUUAUCAAUAGAACUCAAAGAAUUUUGGAACUUGCUGGUCACACUUCCAUCUACACUUUUGUCAUCUUGAAAAUCUGAGCAGAAACUUGAACCUGUGCUAUCAAACUUCAAUUCUUUAACGGAACCAGGCAUUUCUUCUGUGGACACAAUUUGAGAAUAGGAAGCUUCAAGUGUUGGUGUUUUUUCUUGAUCCAUUGUGUUGCCUUCAUGAACAGAACUAAUACAAUGAUCCACUUGUUGAGAAGAGUUCACAAGGACUUCAACUUUUUCAGUCUCUAUUUCAAAAUCUCCUGCUACCACACUAGAUUCUGUAUCCUGAUCAAAAAAUUUGGAUAUAUCAGUGCUAAUAAAAAAGAGUCGCAUUAAUGGGAAAAAAAAUUCAGUAGACCUUCUAACCUUAAAGGUCAUAGCAACUUCUUUUUAUCAACUCUUUAUAUCGGUAAGAAUGCUAGAACUAGACUUUGAAUUUAACAAUCCUAUGAGUGUGUGACUGUUUUGUUCACGUCAGAAUAAAGCUUACCUCAAGAUGAACUUUAGUUGUCAAGUGCAAUCCCUCAGUUUGAAUAUCAAUGAUCCCAGAUCCUCCAUUGGUCAGAUGGGAGACUUCAUGAGUCAGUACCCUUGAAUCAUCCAUUGUCAACAUUGAUUGCUUGGAAGUUUCAUAGAACAUUAAAGAUUGCACUGCAUCGGAUUCACUCUUGUCUUCAGACAUGUUGAAUACAUGAGAAGCAAUAUUUGUUUCAUCAGAUAAGUGCUCCAUUAGCAACGAAAUUUGGGACUUGGAAUCUACAUUUUCAGCGAAGGUUCCCAUCGCCUGCACAGUCUCUUUUUCACUCUGUUGGAUAUCUAUUGGUGCAUAUUUCACUUCAUAUGUCCUGUCAAAAACCUUUUCCCCUAUAAUAGAAGUUUCAACCAUUUGAUCCUUGAUGUUUAAACUUGACAUUUCUCUAGUCACCUCAAUAGAAAGCUCUAGCUUUUCUGAUUCUAAUUGAGAGCCAUUUGUCACGGGCUUGUUGCAGGUGUUGUUAUCGAAGAUUUUAUCAAUACUAUUUCCCAUGUUAGCUUUUACAGUUGAUGUCACGUGGCUUUUCUCAUCAUCUCUCCUCAAAUUUUCCUCAUCCUUGCCAUCUGAAGUGUCAAUGGAAGAAAACUUAGAAGAAUCCGUUUUCUCAAGCUUUUGGGCGCGAAGAUUGGUAGACCACCUAACCUCUAAAAGAUCAGCUGCAAUUUCAGCACGCUCCAGAGAAUCUACCCUUGCAACAGAUGUACCCGCAUGAAGAUCUUCUUUCAUUGAUUUACGACCCCAUACAAAUCCAAGUAUCUGUCGCCGGGAGGUAGUUUUUGUCACUAUCUUCCCAUUAUUAUUACUCUGCUCGAUCCCAUCUAUUGAACUCUUAGUGUUAUAGUAGCAACUUUGUGAACUAAGGAUCCUCCUACCAUCCAGUUCCUGCAGUAUCUCAUCACCUGAAGAAGAAGGAUAUAAUCCAGGUUCUCCUUCAACAUCAACUUCCCUCAAAAAAUAAGCUUCUCCUUUAUGAUCUAAAUACAUCUGAAAAUUAGCUUCAACCCCAUUUACAACUAUGCUGACCACCUUCUCCUUCGUCUUCAAAACACCUUGAAAUUUUCCAAACUUUACAUACCAAGGUGAUGAUUUAAAACUACCAUCCUGCUGUUGGACUACAACAAUAUCCACAGCUCCACCAAACGGAUGAAAUGGCCCAGAAACGGUAUAAACACCCUUUGAAAUGUAGCUCCCUAGUAACCCCACAGCGUUCAUUGUCCAAAGUUGUGAUUUCUCAAAUCACCCGAUUUACAAAUCUCAAAUUCUGGCCAUCAUAUAAUAACCUGUACAAGUUCCCCAAUAAAACCGUGCGCCCAAUGUUUCAGCUCAAUAUCCCCAAUCAUAUACCUCCAAAACUCUUAAAACUAAAAGAGAAAACUAAACUACAAGUACAACUAGCCCAGAUCACAAAUUUCCAAUACAACGAUCUCAAUAACAAGCAGAAUCAAUCAAUUUAACCAAUCAAUCAAUUUUAUCUCCAGUUCCCCACUUACAACAAUUAUUAGAAGGAACCCAGAUGAUAAAACCACGGAGUUAACCAAUUUUGAAACAGUCAAACAAUUCAAAUCAAAGAAAGAACCGAACGACAGUAUUGAUGGGGCAAUAACCAAUAACCUGAAGACGCCAUUAAUCAGAGAGAGAGGGAGUCACCAUAAUUGUAAGGCUGAUUGAUAGGCAACUGCAACAGGUAUAAGAAAGAACCGCGAAGAAAAUACGCCGUUGGUAUGAUCAGAGCAUAUUCGCUUUUAAUUAUUCGAAUGUUCCUCCGCCAUUAUCCAAUUUUGCAGAACAAGAACAGCACGUGAUGUGCGAAACGUCGAAACCUUUGCACAAUUAAGGAUCCAAAUUUGGUGAAAUUAAAAAUAUAUAUAUAAAAUGAUAAAUACUGUCUUUUUGCUUUUAUUUUUUUUAGAACAAUAACGUCUUUUGGUUCAUCUUUACUUUUAUUAUUUAUUUUUUUACGAUCAAAAAUUACAAAACGGAAAAACUACCUAAAUUAUUGAUUUGUAUUCUUUUAUUAUUCCGGAAGAAACCAUUUUUUAAGUUAUGGUUAUAUGAAAUGUAAUAAAAUAUGUUUAACAUAUUUACAAUUAUAACAAAAUCUACUUUCUAUAGCGACAUGGUGAUAAAGUCAAAUAAAUAUCUAUUAUAAGAUGAUAUAUUGAUACAUUUUUAUUUGAAUUAAUAUUUCUAUCAUCCAUAGAAAGAGUUUAUGGAUGAAUCAAUAUCUUGUCCCAUUAAGAAGAUUCUAAGAAGUAAUAGGAAGGUUAAAAGGAACUAAAACCUACUACUUGUAUUAACAAGGUGUAUCUUUUUUCGAUGUCUCAUCAUAAGACUUUCAAAGUUAAAGCGUGUUUCGGGUAGAGAAUUUUCGAAUCUAUGUUAGUUUGUGGGGACAAGCAUUCGAAAACUUGUAAUGUCUGUCAUUUAAAUAAAUUUUCUAUUUUGGACAUAAGGGAGUUAAAUUAUUUUUAAAAAAAACGUCAAUAGAAAUGUAGCUAGAUAAAGAACUCCAUUUGGAUUGAGUUAUUAUGAUCCAAAUUGUAAUAUGGUUUGGUUGAAUUUUCAAACAUGAUUGAAUGAAUAUUAAACAUUUUUUUUUGUGAGACAAGCUUACGUUUGUAGCUGGAUCAGCUGAUGUAUCGAUCUGUUCAGUAUCAAUCAUCUCAAGAUAUUGGGCUAACAGAAAGUAGGAUUUGGAAAUUCUACAAUAGGCCAGUUAUAAGGUGUACGGCCCCAAAUUGACUCUUUGUACUAGGAAUUCGUUGGGGGCAGACCAGCGAAGGGUCAUGGCUUCGUGUUGCUUAUCUGGGCGACAAAUGACAAAAAGUCAUGAUCCCAUAAAGAAAUUUGAAAAAUAAAAAGAUAUGGGUAGAGUGAAUCUGAAGUCAAAUACCAUAAUUUUAGUGGCCAGUUUGCUCUCGUAGUCAGUGGAUCAAGAAACUAAUGUUAUACAUUCAUCAACUCAUCCUUGUUUUGGUCUAAUUAUGAUUGUUUCUGGUAUUGUUCAGAAUUUGGUAUCUGUUUUAAUCUCUUCUUUAAAUUUUUCAUGUUGUCUUUUGCCCAUUGGGGUUCGGUUAAACCAUUUUAGAUCAUUGAGUCUUCUUACGUGUUUAGGAAAACAGUUAGACGGAAACAAAAUAAGGGUGAGUAAAUUGAGCUUCGAUUCAUGUGGAAGAAGUUUAUUGAAAGCAAGUUUAAGAAUCUGUGCGCUGUUUUUGAUGGGUUAUGCAUGUUAAGUGUUUGAUUAAAGUUCUCUUAUAGAGCCUUGUGUUAUUUUUGCUUUAUAUCAAUUGAUUAACCAUUUGAUAAGCUAAAUGUGGUCGCCAGAAGCUCAAAUUCUGAGAAUAUAUAAUAUUAUCUCUUUUUGAGCCCCAACAGCCAUCACCUUUUUCUGUGGGGGCUUCCUUGAUGGAUGGCAGAGCAAGGAUCAGCCAGUUGUCUCUUUCAUUGAUCCUAGAAAAAUGGCAUUUCAUUCAUCUUUUAGCUAUGAAAUUCAAUGACCAUAUUGGAUUUUCUUAUUAAGAUGUGCACAGGCACCUUAUUCACACAGCACAUAUUCACACGACUGACUAAUAAAAGCAUUGCGGUUGUUCACUUGUUCACUGCUUUCUUUGUUUGUAGGCUUAGGGUGAUUUUGAAAAGACUGAAAGCACUUCUUUUAGAGCGAGGGGGAUUCAUCAGGUGGGUUUGAUAUAUGACAAUGCAAUAAUAAUCAUUAUCAUAAAAAAGGAUGGUCCUCCUCCUACUCACAUGAAAAAGGUAGCUUUUCUGUCAGUUGCCCACAUCUUUACAUUUUAUAUCAUUCGUUCUUAUAUUUUUUUAAUUUUAAGGAGGAAUAUUUUUUAAAUAGUAAAAUAUUAAAACUAUUUACAAAUAAAAUCUAACCAAUUUUCUUUAGUUUAUUUAAUCUUUUUAAUAUAGUUUUUUUUUUCUAUCCGUGACCAUUCCUCUUUUAAAAAAUCAUUUCAACUGCUGUGGAAGGCAUUGAUACUUUUUUUAAAUAUAUAUUUUAAAAUUUAUUAAGUGUUGGGUAAUUGGGUUAGGAUUAUCAAUAUUUAUACGAAGUCUUAGGUAUUAUUUCACUUGACCCCACACCCUUUUGAGCCCCAUAAUCUCUCUUUUCAGAGCUUUCACUUGUUUCGAUAUAUUUAGAAAUGGUUCAUCACUUUUCAACUUGUCUAUUUAUUUUAGGGACUUUGCCCCCUGAUAUCUUAAGCAAUGUUCUUGGGCAAUUACUCCCACACCUUUAUACUUUCUCAAUAUCAUUUUGAUCCUUUUAGGAAGUUUUAUAUAUAAUGAGGUAAUGUCGAUUGGAAAAUUAUUUACUGUCUCAUAACCAUAAGGGAGAUAUAAAAAACUUCAAAACAAUAAAUGGGCGUGGUAGAGAAAAAAAAAAUCUUCAGUAGAUUAAGACAAUUAUUGAAUUUGCUCACUUUUUCAAACUUACGUGAGAGCUAUGGUCCCAACGUUUUAUGUGGUUUUUGUCUGGCUUAUAAAUGAUUCAAAAAGACGAAAAAGAGAGUAGAGCUGGCAGAAGAGGAGUAUUUGUCUAUCCAAUCUUGGAUGGUUGUUUGAUUUAACCUAUGCUCAUGACCACUCGAUUCGUAAAGAGAUCACCAGGUCGAUGAUAGAUUCGUCACAUUUUCCUUUCUUUUGAAGGUUAGUAGAUCAAUCAACUUUUCUUGUGUCAUUUUCUAUAUUCUUAUCUGCUGAAUUCCUUGCCCCAGUUGUAAAAUCCAAAAUGUUAAUAAACUCUCUUCAAAUCAGAGCUUGUUUUUCCACAUUAUUAGCUUUUGUUCAAGGGUAAAUGAGAUUCAAUAACCAUUGUUUUGUACAAACGUACAUCUAAAUCUAAUAUUGCACAGUUGUGACUAUCCACCUGUUCAAAUGAAAUAAAUCUAAGUCAUCCGAAAAAUUGAAGAACCUGUCAAUUAAAACAUCUAAAAAUACUAAAGUGCAUUUUAAGCUACAAUCAUCUUUAUAUGUCAUGUAUUAAACUCUUCUUCCUUUUCCCUUUUCGGAUAAGAGUGAAAUGCACAAAAGCGGUGCAUCUAAGUAUUAUUCUUAAAACAACUCUUUUAAGUUACAUGAUCAAAAAAUCAUUGAAAGGGCCGGUGCACACUCAUUAUAUAUAUCAAACCGGACCUUCUGGACUGAUUUGCUAUCUCUUUUUGUCUAUAUACACGUACAUACCACGCACAUAAAUGCAGAAAAAGCAAAGAGGCUGAAUAAUUUUCAAUAAAGAAAUAGAAUAUGAUUUAUGAACAAAAUGUAUCCGCUGUAUAUGCUCUUUAACACUUGAGCCUUUCCUCUUUCAAUAUUGAAUUCUUGCAAUGAGCGAUUGCUGCUUGAAUUGCUGCCUGCAGCUCCUCCAUUGUGCUAUCACUAUUAGUGGAAGGAGGAAGCGUUGUAGUUGUAAGGAGAACACCACUAUUGGUUGGAGAUGUUCUCAUGGAAACUGGCGCUGAGAAGAACUCGCCUCUUCUUCCUCUCGAUUCUCGCUUCUUUCUCAACCUUAAAUUACCUGAAAAUGAAUAAGACUGUCUGUGUAGUUGCAUAUCAUCUCUUCUCCCUCUCAGGGGUAGAAAUGGCCUCACCAUUCUUGCAUAUCUCUUCAGUACAUUGCUCAAAUUGAAUCCCAACUUCCUUUUCUCCUGUUCCACUUUAUUUUCUUGCUCUUCAACGUCAGACCUCUUUCUCCACCUUAAACCGAGCAAGGAGAAAGAUUUGGACUUAGGUUUUUCUCUUGUAUCAUUUGUGUUGUUUUGGCAGUGUUCAUUGCUCUUGCAAUUGAUGAAGCUGCUACUUUCUUUCUUGGGCUCCUUUUCACUUAUUAGGUCUCUAAUGGGAAGGGUAUAGCUUUCCAUGGAGUUGGUUGAGCAGCGAGGAGGAACUGGAAGAUGAGAGAGGAGGUGAAGAGGAAGCAAAUGGCCAUGGAAGAAGAUGUCAUCUGCUGGUGAUAAAUCAAUAGUGAAGGAAGGUGAGGUUUUGGCUUUGUCUGUGGAGGAAGUUUGAAGAGAAACUGAGAAGGAAAAUUCAUGAGAAGGAGAUGAAGAUGCUGAAUGAGGAGAAGAGGAAUUAGCGGGCAAUUGUUGCUUCUCCAAUUGCCUUUCUUUGUCUUCUAGAUGCUGAUGAAUGUCCAUAACCCAAACCAGAAAGGUUUUGCUGACAGACAAUUGAUUCUGAAUCUCAAAAUGCCACUUCAAGACUUCAGUUUUAAGGACAUUACCAUAGCUUUAUGAAGGGAUAAGAAGAUUAGAGGGUAGAAAAGGAGAUGAUGGGGGGGGUCUGGCCUUUUUGCCUCUCAGCACUUGCUUAAAUUAAAUUCUUAUUCUUCUUUUUUUUCCUUUUCUUUUUUGGGAGCAGCACGUGUCAAGGAUUGGUGGGUCCUUGUCAAAUCUUACAGCUAUUGAGAGUACAGAUUUGGGAAAGAAAAAUCCAACAAACACCCAAGAAAAUUUCCCACAAAAGCCCAAUAACCUUUACAAGGGGGUACUGUUUUUUGGUAUUUGUUGCAUCAUGGAUCUUACCUAGGAAAGUAUAUGACAUUAGUCAUUAAUUAAACCCCCUUUCUCAAGAGGAAACUUCGAAGAACUCAUCAUAUUCCAUUGCUUCUCUGUAGAUCCUUUUUCUUUUGUAUUCUAUAAGAUGCAUUGAAUGAGACUACCCAUAUAUCUAUAAUUGAUCAGUAUUUUGAAGCAAUUAGGGUCCCAACUUUGCAUGGAAACAAAAUACUUACAAUCUCUUAUCGAAUCAUGAUGACUGUAUGAUUUACAAAAAUUAGGUAAGGUUUUGACUUUUUAUUAACGCAAGUUAUUAAAUAAUUGAUUUGUGUGUUGAUGAUAUUAUGAUGUACUAAUUUAUAAUAUGUCUUUUUAAAUAGGAGAAAUUCAUAUGCCUUUGAUAAGUACCUCACUGAAAUCUCAAAAUGGUGUACUGUCAGACGCCAGUGACUUAAAAUUUAAAAAUAAUUGGACCGAAAGACUUAUUACACUUGUUUCACGCCUCACUUUUCAUCCAAAGUUUUAACGUAUUCUAUUUUAAUAGUAGUUCUGUUGCUUGGUAGGAGAAGAUUGGCAUGGAGGAAUGAGCUGGCUGGUUAGAGAUUUCAGAGGUAGUACAUUGCGAGAGGUUGCAGUUUUAUUUACUACAGAUACCCAGUAAAAGUACCGCUUGAAGCCAAAGUCGUCCUGGAAGGUUCAAGAGAGUUGGAGGCUCUUUUGGAAGGGUAGAAAUCUCCGAUCCUGGUGAUUUUGGUUGGAAUCAUUUACUCUUGAAGUUAAUCUUUUCAACAGUUUAGAUUCGGAACUUUCAAUAGUCUCUUUUUUCGUUGAAGAGUCACACACUCUCUUGCUUACUUGUGAAUUAUAUUAUUAUGGCUUUUGUCAAAAUUUCAAGAGAGGGAAACAAAGGUGUUAAUGAUCACAGCUUUGACUUUUUUUUCUUCAAUUGUUUCUUUGGUGUGGCUUCACUCUUGACUCUCGUUCAAUGAAAGGUCCUUUUAGCUGUCAUAGUUAAUGAGAAAUAAAAUCACUUUAGGUGUCAUCUAUACCCCAAACGAAAAAACAAGUUUGAUAUUUUUUAAAAAAAGAAAUUGAUCAUAUCCUUUUAUUUAUAGUUUAAAAGAACAGAAUGUAUAAUUAAUCUAAAAGUAUUUAGCAAAAUUAUUUUAACUUAAUUACUCAUUUAAGAACAGAACUGCGGGUGCUUCUAUAAUUACUUCAGCAAAGCAAUACCAGUGAAGAAGUUUUAUUAAAUAAAGCACUCCAGUCUUAUUUUCUUAAUGAAAAUAUUAGUUUAAAGAUAGGUUUUUUUUAAAAAAAAUUAACCAUCAUCUUUUAAAGACAUUUCAUAAAUGUUUCAUGAGAGACUAACUAGCAUAAUUUGACAGUAACUUGGAAUAUGAAUUAAGAUCAUCACAUCGUUGUAUUACAAGUUUUGAAAGAAUAAUGAUACUCUUAAACAAGCGAUGAAGAUGUUAUUUAAGUUACCUUUACAAAGAUAGAUUUCAUACAAAGUAGUUUGGGUUCCUUUUUCAAAUUCGUGUUAAAAAAAAUGGAGAGAUCGUAUUGAUAGAGGAAUUUAAUUAGAUGGUAGACCCAAACACACGUGUAGACCAUGAAUGUAUAGCAUGGAAUAGAGAGGAAGAAUUGUCUAUAUCUCAAUCAUAGAGGCAUUAUUUUUGGGUGGACUCACUUAUCCCAUCUUUCAAACACCAUAUUCUUUAUUUUCAAUGAGAGAUAGAUAAAGAAAGAUGCAACAAAUUUGGCAAAAAAAACAAAGAUUUCGUACUCAAAAACCCACAGUGAGAGUGAUGGGUCAUGUGGAGAAACCUUUUCCCCUUUUUCUGCUUUUCGCAUUAACCCCUCACCUCAAUUUCUAACCUUUUUCUUUUAAUCUAUUUCUUCAAUCGUAAGCCAAUUCCAUUCUCCAUGGCUAUACAAUAGCCAAUUCCAUUCUCCAUGGCUAUAAAAACAACAAAUUUUAAAAGUUUUUUUUUUUUUUAAUUAAAGGCAAUGAUAUAUAAAUGAUCCAGAAAGUUUGAUACAUGUAAUCACAACUUUUUCAGCAUACUCAUAUCUCCAAUCACAACUUUUAUUAAGAAAAUAGUAAUUAAAAAAGCGAUUUACAUCUAAGUAUUUUCAUUCGUUUUUCUUAGUUGUUUAUUCUUGUAAAUUUUUAUAUGUUUUGGGUUUUUCUUAUAUUUUCAUAAAAUUCAAUUGGGAAUAAAUGUGGGAGCCUAAUUGAAUAGUAGUAUUACAUCUUAAAACCUUUCUUUCAAGAUUAUUGUGCUGGAGCCUAAUUCAAUCGUAUUUGACAUAUAUUUAUAAUUUUUUUUUCAAAGAAAGAGGCUGUUUGUGAGAUAAUUAUGCUAAUAAGCAAUUAAAAUCCAUCACAUAAGAGGGAAAGUGGUGACUCUGAUUGAUAAUUUUAGUUCAUAAGCUUACCUCAUUCACUACAACAGACAAUCACUAUUACAAUGUGCUUUCAUUUUCUUCUUAGACACAGAUUGUACAAGACAGAGAUUGCAUUUUACUCAAAAACCAAGAUGAUAAAAGUAGUUGCAUUAUGUGCACUUCCCAUCAGGCUACCUCUUACCUGAAAUGAAUGACAGCAUUUGAUCAUUUUAGAGUGGCAGGAGAACAUGGUGUUAAACGUGUAUUAAAAGAACAGGAGGACCCCAGCCAAUAAGAGGGAGGCUGGGUCUUAAUAUUAUGUUUAAAAGUUCAUUAAAAUUGAAGCAAUUACAGAGGGGCAUUCAUCAAAAUAGAAGGAAGUGAUUUUGCUUUAACAUUACCUGAGUUGGGGAACAGAAAUGUCAAUCAUUUAGCUACUGUUAGAAUCGCUAUCUUCUCUGGAACUGUUGGUCCUGAGAAUGUGUACCUGAAAAGAAAGAAUGGGAAAAAUAUAUUAUAUCUGUGAAUUAGUCGACCCACGCGCUAAAUAUAUACAGAUCAAACUCGUGAUUAUAAUUUUUUGAAAAAAGACUGAUUUAGCCCAAUGAACAUUUUGAAAAUAUAGACUCAACAUUAACUAAAGUUAAUGAUAUAGGGACUAAAAGGAACCUAUUGAAAAUAUAGGAAUCAAAACGAAUCAAAGCAAAAAGCAAAAUAAACCUUUGAAAAAAAAUGGAAUAAUCAAAGAAACGACUUUUAAAACCAAAACGUGCAUGGAUUUGAUGAGCUUUCUUUGGGACUUAGUAACCAAUCUCCUUUUGUGAUGUAAUCUACCAAAAAAGCUUUUCAAAAUCAAAAAUUUUAAUUUAGGUAAAACAGGAAAAUGAGCUUUAGAAAAUGAGAUAGAUGAAUGGAGAACAACCACAACCUAAUUUUUAAAGAAGUGACAGUGAACAAAAGAACGUGCGUUUAUGCAUAGAAGGUAUGCACAGAUACGGCAGACGAUGAUUCAAAGGAUCAUGAAACCUACCUUGCAUGUUGUAGGUUUAAUGAAUUGAAAAAUUACAGCAUCCCCAUCUGCCAACUUAUGAGCGACUGCAAAACCCUUCCAUCCGCCACUAAGUCCUGUUUUUCGUGCUAAAUAUAUUGUCGGAUACUCAUCACCAUCUUCAUCUAUUAAAGUCAUUACUCCAUCACGAUUUGGAAGGCGAUUCUUGCAGAAAUGAGAAGGAAGACCCUGUGUUUACAAGUAUUUUUUUUUAUUAGAUGUUAUCUAACAGAAGAAGAAUCUUUACAGCCUUUUCAUAUUCAAAUACUCAAGCAAAACUUUAGAAAAUCUACCUUCUUCAUUGAUUUCAUAUCUUAGUAUCACACACUCAGUUCAACAAGAUUAACAGAGAGAGGGAGAGGGAGAAGAAGGUCAUACGCUUAACAAAUAGUCCUCACUAGCUUACCAGCCAGAAUCCACCACUAACAUGAGACUGAAGCAUUGACUUUAUAAAACUGGGAUAAUUCGGCUCCAACCCAGAUUGCAAUUGUUCAGCUCUUUCAAAAGCUUCUUUUCUUGCUUCGUCCGAAGCAUAAACUCGAUUUGAUAAAUCUCUAGCUUUAGAGAUCCUACAAUCCCCAAAAAAUGCACAUCAGUAACAACAAUACUAUUCAUUCAACGAUAUGAAAGUCAUUGAUUUUCAUUUAAAAUUCUUUAGAUACCUUCUAGGAAUCACCACGCGAUUAAUAAUAACCUGCCAGAUUAAUUAAACAGAAAUGAAAACCGAACUAAUGAAAAAUGGAUUUUGAGAACAUAAAUCUCUCUCCAGAGAAAGCAGCAGUAAACUGUAAUCCAUUAUCCAAGUGCGCAAUAUGAGACAAGAAUGACUCACUUCGGCGUAAACAGGAGCUGUCUGUUUAGCUACUCGACUGGAUCUCCUCACCACCACGAGUUCUUUCUGAGUCACGCGAGGCUUGGUGAGCUUACUCUGCGGAUUGGUCAAGUAGCAAAAUAAGCACAAUACAAGAAUCCAUUGAGAAUAAGAUCGUAAUAGGAGACAACGAAACAGAAAAAAACCAAAAAAACAAAGAAACAAUGAAUUACAGGUGAGGACUUGGAAGGGGAAGAAUCGAUGAGAGCUUGAGAAAGCAUGGGUAAAUUUAGGGCUUCCAUUCGCUUCUUGUUUUCUUCGAGUCUCUUGCGACGACAUUCCUCAUACGAGAGGUUUGCGAUCCCCAUAGUCUCUUCUUCCUCCUCCUCGGUUCGUAGGGUUUGGACUAUAUGCGAAAUGGAAACAGUGAGAUGAUGAAUAACAGAAACGACUGAAUUUUGUAUAUUUGGCGAAAUUUAUAUAAAUUAGUUUGAAGGAGUCGACCGUUAACUUCCCACUUUUUUGAAAAAAAAAACGAGCACUGAUUUUAAUUUAGGUUAAAAUUGGGGUCUCUUCGUAAAUAAUAAAAACAUCAGAAGCAUUUACAAAACAUAACGAAAAAACAAAAAAUUUCCCUUAAAAUUGUUAAAUUUUGAAUUUUUUUUUCCAUAUUUUAAGUUAAAGGAUUGCUUUGGUUCAAAUAAUUAAUUUUAGUGUAUGUAACUUUAAUUAUCUAAUUUUAAUUUACUUUUUUUUACUUGUAUCGAAACCGGUUAAAUAAUAAUAAUCAUAAUAAUAUUCAUGAAAUAAAAUAAUAUGUGGUUUUCAAACUUUAUAAUAAAGAUGUUCAUUGAUAAAAAAAUAUAUAUAAAAAACUAAUAAUCAAGUAGGAUGAAGACCUAAAUUUGAGCUUUAUCGAGAAUAUAUAAGGAACUUUUGCAAGAAUAAAAAAGAAAAAUUAUGAUAAUCUAUUUUCUAAAUUUGUAAAAAUAGUAAAUUUGAAAGUGAUCACGGUAUGAUUACCAUAUUAUAGUUUUUCGAUAGUCUUAUGAUUACUAUAUGAUAUAACUAAUUUUAUCAUUUUCGUAAUAUAAAAAAAAUGUUAUCAUGAGCUGCUUUUCUAUAAAUAUUUUUGUCAUUUUAUGCAAUUUCUCACUCUAUAAACUAAACUAAAGAAUUGAACCAACUUAAAAAAUGCCCAUGCAGACAUAAAUAGUAUGGUAGAAAAUCUUUAGAAUUUAGUUUGUUGUUUGUUAAUAUUAUUCCAAAUAAAUGUAGUUUUUAUUAGCAUUUCCUUUAUAAAAUGUGUAUGAAAAUAUACACCUAGUACUUCUUUUCCACUACGAAAAAUGUUA
rnacentral:lncRNA from 1 species